rnacentral:lncRNA from 1 species
UGUUAUAACAAGUCAAAACUGGUUGGGUAUCCAUACCUUAAGGCACACAAGUGGCACCCAACAAACAAUUUGAAUUAUGUUCUAGGAUAUUCUGUAUCUUUCUAGAUAUUCUUUAUGUGUGCCUUGGCCUUAUGCCAAUAGGAUAUGUAGUUUGACUAGAUCUAUGUAUUCUUAUCCUUACCAUAUUGGUAUUGUGUAAUUCCUUAUAUAAAGCCUCUUAUCAAUGAAUAAUACACACAUCUUUCACGAUUCUCUAUUCUGAAAUAUCUCUCACUUCAUUAUGUUAUCAUGCACAUUGUUCUAACCCUAGAGCCAAUAGGCCACAAUUUGUUUUCUAAACCCUAAAAACAAUUUUUUUUUCUUUUCAAACCAAAAGUUCCCGGCCCUGCCUCGGUCCCUACACUGUCGUUGCUCCCAACCCGUCGCUUCCCAGCCGUCAGCUCCGCCUUCUUUUCUGGUUUCGCCGAUCAAGCUUUAGAUCAAGAAAUCCGAGUAGUUUGAAGAAAUUUUACGGUAUGUUUUAAAUCCUAAACUCUUCAAAGUUCAAUAAGGGGAGAUAAAGUGUUUUCUCCCUUUCUCCAUCUCCAUUCUAUGGUUGGGAUUUUGUGCGUGCAGGUACCAAAACCCCAGAAUUUUAUUCGCGGGUCAAGAGUAUGUUUGAUCACUCUUGCUUCCUUGUUCGGGUUCUAUAUGAUCAACCUCGACCUUUCUCCGGAUUGUGUUUGAUCAAUCCGAGCCCUUUGUCGAAUUGUGUUUGAUCAAUUAGCGGCUUUUCCGUAUUAUGUAUGAUCAAUCCGAAGGACAAACCAUUAAAAGCAUUGUUUGUGACCUCUAUCGAGUCUCAUAACAGCUUGGUUUUGUAUGCAAGAGCAACGUAACAUUCUGCUCCUUUAAGUUUUGACGUACUCGAUACCUAAGGCGAAUCUUUGCUUGGUAGCUGUGGAACCUUUCAUUGGAAAAGAUUAAACCACAUGUUUGACCCCCAGGCUAACAAGCCUAGAUGCCGAGAUUUCACAUCUCAUGCGCUCAAACUCUUUGACACGCCACAUCGACAAAAGCCUUCAAUGGCAAUCUGUACAAAAAGUAAUGACCACAAAGUACUGUGGAAUUGACACGACCCACCUCGAAUUUCACCCUGAAACCCGGAGUAAGUGGUGCGGGGACCACCUCCAAGAAAGAUAUUACCGAAAAAUCGGCAUAACCUCCCUUGAAAAUGGACAACCCUUCUUAAAGAAAACCUGCAAACACUUCCAAAAAUUUUAAUCCAACCUUAACUCCUGGAGCCUACGUGCUCCCCAAAUACAACUACCACCAACAACACAACAUUAUCCAAACAUCAAAUAUAAUUAUCCAAAAGAUAACAUAAAUCCUCCAACAAAUAUUCUAAGACGUCAACAAGUCUUCACCCACAACCGAAAUAAUACACAUUAAACCCAAGUAUUCAGAGCUACUAACACUAGCGGAAAAAGAAACCACAGGUAGGUUAAAUAGGUAACCUACUGAUGAAAAGUGGUGGAAAUGCGGGUGACUAUGCCUCGUCUCCUACUAGGUCCAACCCGAACUCUGCAGACUGGGCAUUUUAAAACGAAGGGCCUAGGGGAAACAUUUGAACACGUUAGAGUGAGUGGACAAAAAUAAAAUAAAUGAAAUAAUUCUUUAUGCUUUCCCAAUUUUAUUUUUCCAUAGAAAAAUAUGCUGCAUGCGACAGCUCAAAACACUCAACACGAAAACUGGAAAUUUCAUGACUAGCUCCGGCCAGUCUCUAACGCUCAAUAAAAUACAGCCUCUCAGGCUAAAAUAAAAUAUGUAUGUAUUACACUCGUCAUAUCCCUUGUAUGAAUUUUCUUGAAACAACAAAAACAAAUAGAAAAUUCACACAAGGCUACGACGCUUGCGUCUAACGCUCACGUCGCACCAUAAUGGCAUUUUACCUCAUUAUGGUGGAAAGACGGUGUAUAAAUAUACGCGCAUAUCCCCUAUAUAAAUUAUUAUUUUUAUAUAGGGCUACGAUGAUUGCGUCUAACGCUCACGUCGCACCAAAAUGGAAUUUUACCUCAGUAUGGUGGAAAAGCACGUAUAGCUAGCUAGCAUUCUCUCAUAUACAUAUUAUUCUCAUAAUCAUCCACAUAUGGAUAUAUAUAUAUAUAUAUACUCACCGAAAUUUUCAAUUUCGGUUAUUCUCCAACAACAUAAAUUAUUUCGCAUGCACAUUAUUUAAAACAAAAGUCCACUCACAAAUUAGGCCUAAGCCUGAUGUCGAUCUGGGGCCUCGUCAGCUCGAGCCUCCUCACGACCUGUUCCAAAUAUAAUAUUAAGUUCCCAAUUAACAAUCCAAUAAUUAAUCAAAAUAGGCAAAAUUACCCGAGAGCCAUAAACACGCUCAUCAUUACCUAACUUCGAUAUUCUUGAAUCGGAACGAUCCGAACUUAAAUAUCAUCCUCGACAGUCGUAAAUAUAACCUCCCAAAAAUACGACUUAAAUCUUACGGCCGGAUUCUACAUUAAUUAACCGCCAAAAAUACCAAACUUCGGAAAUUCACAAACCUAUCCAAAUCUCAUCCAAAAAUUCCAUAAAUCACCUCAAUAUAAUCCCCUUAAUAUUCCACAUUUAAAACCCUAAAAAUCUCCCAAACCGGCAGCGGCUCCGCAGGCAGCGGCGGUCGGAGGCUAAAAUCAGCGACCUCCAAUUCCUAUGAAAUUUUAACAGCAUCUUACUCUCAUCAUGCUCUACAACUUUCCUAACUAGCACAAACCCAAAAUCCAAGCCUAGCUAUGCCAAUCGAACAAAAACAUCAAAAACGCCCUAGAGCUUCCACCUCAAAUUUCUCCUUACCUGAAGCAAACCGGAGUGAGUCCUUUUAGGGCAAGGCAGCUGGGUUGGAGACCUACAAAACCAUACCAAGCUUGCCCGGAUUGGUGGCCCGAGGAGGGAAUUCCGGCGAAAAGCUUCCCGGCGUCUCCGGCGAGUUUUCUCUUCUUCCAGCGGGCUAACGGCUCGGGGGCUAGGUCGGGGAGGGAGAGGAGGAGAUCGGGGUCCGAACUGGGGUGGAGCGGCGGCCGGUGGCUGGCCGGACGGCGGCAGACGGCGGCUGGACGAUCCGGCGGGGAGGAAGACUCGGGGGGGGGGCGCUGAAGGGAAAAACGGGAGAGAAGGGAGGGAAAAGGGUUGGGCCUCUCCAACCGGUCCACUCCCCAUUAUACCCAACUCCCACAAAAAUAAAACACCCCGAAAAAUAAUACCCGAAUAAAAAUUACCUUUUACUAGCUAAAAUUUACUAUUUUUACCGUCGUCGUAUUUUCCUCAUACGAAUAAUCCUCCGCACAUAAUCGUCCCCGAAACCCCUCUAGGGACCAAUUAAACUAUUAACUAAAUGAUCGAGACGGUAAAAUUCUUAUUAUAAUCAUGCUAGUAAAUAAGGUAAAAAUAUAAGGGUCGGGAUGUGACAGGAAUGUACUCUACUUGUUGACACGACCCACCCCGAAUUUCACCCUGAAACCCGGAGUAAGUCGUGCGGGGACCACCUCUAAGGAAAAUUUACUGAAAAGAUUAAGAAAAUCUCCCUUGCAGAUGGACAACCCUAACUCGAAAAUUCCAAAUUACACUCUUAAUUCAACACGUCCAAACAUCACAUAAUUAUCCUUCAGAAAUUCUACGCAUAAUAUACAAUAAUCCCAAAGUAUUCAGAGCUACUAAACACUAGCGGAAGCAAGAAAACACGAGUAGGUUGAACAGGUAACCUACUGACGAAAACUGGCAGAAAUGCGGGUGACUAUGCCUCGCCUCCUACUAGAUCCAACCCGAACUCUGCAGACUGGGCAAUUUAAAACGAAGGGCCCAGGGGAAAACAUUUAAUAACGUUAGAGUGAGUGGACAAAAAUAAAAUAAUAAAUAAAAUAUUUAUGUUUCCCCAAAUUAAUUUCUAAGGAAAAAUCGAAUGCAUGCCGCAAGCGAUAAAACUUUUAUCUCAUAAAAUAUUGAGCCUCUCAGACUCUAUAAUAUAUGUAUGUAUUUACACUCGUCCAUACUCCCUAUAUAAAUUCAUGGGUCUAUAUAGGGCUACUACGCUCGCGUCCAACGCUCACGUCACGCCUUAAUGCGGUGCUACACUACGCCAUCAAGGUGGACAGACGGGUGUAUAAAUAUGUGUCCAUACCCCUAUAUGAAUUAAACACACAAAUAGGGCUACUACGCUCACGUCCAACGCUCACGUCACACCAUAAUGCGGCUAUAUGCUACGCCAUUAAGGUGGACAGACACAUAUGGCUAGCUAACAUUUAUAUACAUACUCUCUCAUAAAUACAUAUUUAUAUCCACCGAAAAUCCCAUUUUCGGUAACUCUCCAAGAGAAAUAAAAAUCGUCAAAUUAAAAUGACAUUAAAAUAUUCUGCAACAUUAAUUGUUCAACCAUGAACUAUAGCAUGCAUUUAUAUAAAAUAAAUGUCCACUCACAAAUUAGGCCUAAGCCUGAUGUCGAUCUGGGGCCUCGUCUGCUCGAGCCUCCUCACGUCCUGUUCCAAAUAUAAUAUUAAUUUCCCAACCAAUAAUCCAAUAUUUAAUCAAAAUAGGCAAAAUUACCCGAGAGCCAUAAAUACGCUCAUCAUUGCCUAACUUCAAUAUUCUUAAAUCGGAACGAUCCGAACUUAAAUAUCAUCCUCAACAGUCGUAAAUACAACCUCCCCAAAAUACGACUUAAAUCCUACGGCCGGAUUUUACAUUAAUUAACCGCCAAAAAUACUAAACUUCGGAAAUUCACAAACCUAUCCAAAUCUCCUCCAAAAAUUCCAUAAAUCACAUCAAUAUACUCCUCUUAAUAUUCCACACUUAAUACCCUAAAAAUCUCUUAACCGGCGGCGGCGCCGCCGGCGGCUCCGCCGGCAGCGGCGGCCGGAGUCCAAUUCCGGCCACCUCCAAAACCUAUGAAAUUUUGACAGAAUAAUCUCCUCAUCAUGCUCUACAACUUUCUUAACCAGUACAUUACCCAAUUCCAAGCCUAACUAGGCUAAUCGAACGAAAACAUCCUAAAAGCCCUAGAAAAUUCAACUCCACAUUUCUCCUUACCUAGCUCAAGAGGGAGUGAGCUGAUUGGAGGGGUUGCUGCACGGGAGGAGGGCUACAAAACGAGCCAGGGAUCGCCGGUUUUGGUGGCCAGAGGAGGGAGUUCCGACGGCCGGAAGUUCGGGGCAGCCUAGCCUUUCGGGCGGCACCGCUCUCUCACGGCGGCGCUAGGGGGGCUGUCACCGGUCCUGGAAGAUAGCUGGGUCGGAGGGCAACCGAACGGGACCGGAGCGGCGGCAGAUGGUGGCCGGACGGCGGCGUACGGACGGCGAGAAGUUUCCAGCGGGGGAGAGGCUCGGGAGGAAAACGGGAAGAAGAGAGGAAGAAAAAGAAAAAGUGAGGGUUGGGUUUGGGCCUGACCAACCAGGUCCAUCACCUAUAUAACAACCCAAUUCCAAAAAUAAAACACCCCGAAAAAUAACACCCGAAUAAAAAUUACCUUUUACUAGCUAAAAUUUACCAUUUUUACCGUCGUCGAAAUUUUCUUUUACGAAUAAUCCUCCGCACAUAAUCGUCCCCGAAACCCUUCUAGGGACCAAUUAAAUUAUUAACUCAAUGACGGAGACGGUAAAAUUCUUAUUAUAAUCAGGCUAGUAAAUAAGGUAAAAAUAUAAGGGUCGGGAUGUGACAAUUCUCCCCUCCUUAUAAAAAUUUCGUCCUCGAAAUUUACAUACCUGUCAUUCGAAGAGAUAGGGAUAUUGCUGCAUCAUUUGCUCCUCCGAUUCCAAAGUAGCUUCUUUUACUUGAUGACUUCUCCAAAGCACCUUGACAAGUGGGAUUGUCUUAUUCCUAAGCACUUGCUCCUUUCGGUCGAGAAUCUGAACCGGUUCCUCUUCAUAGGUCAAAUCUCUCAUCAAACUGAUCGGCUGCUCUUGCAGCACAUGAGAAGGAUCGGCAAUAUACUUGCAAAGCAUGGAUACAUGAAACACAUUAUGUAUCCUAGCUAACUCUGGAGGCAAAAGUAGCCGGUAAGCAAGUGAGCCAACUCGCUCAAUAAUCUCAUAAGGGCCAAUAUACCUCGGACUGAGCUUCCCACGCUUACCGAAACGCACAACCCCUUUCCAAGGAGAUAAUUUCAGGAACACCUAAUCACCCACUUGAAAUUCAAGAUCUCUCCUACGGACAUCCGCAUAACUCUUCUGCCUACUUUGAGCAGUCUUGAGUCUAUCUCUAACCACUUUAAUCUUCUCAUUCGUACAUNNNNNNNNNNNNNNNNNNNNNNNNNNNNNNNNNNNNNNNNNNNNNNNNNNNNNNNNNNNNNNNNNNNNNNNNNNNNNNNNNNNNNNNNNNNNNNNNNNNNNNNNNNNNNNNNNNNNNNNNNNNNNNNNNNNNNNNNNNNNNNNNNNNNNNNNNNNNNNNNNNNNNNNNNNNNNNNNNNNNNNNNNNNNNNNNNNNNNNNNNNNNNNNNNNNNNNNNNNNNNNNNNNNNNNNNNNNNNNNNNNNNNNNNNNNNNNNNNNNNNNNNNNNNNNNNNNNNNNNNNNNNNNNNNNNNNNNNNNNNNNNNNNNNNNNNNNNNNNNNNNNNNNNNNNNNNNNNNNNNNNNNNNNNNNNNNNNNNNNNNNNNNNNNNNNNNNNNNNNNNNNNNNNNNNNNNNNNNNNNNNNNNNNNNNNNNNNNNNNNNNNNNNNNNNNNNNNNNNNNNNNNNNNNNNNNNNNNNNNNNNNNNNNNNNNNNNNNNNNNNNNNNNNNNNNNNNNNNNNNNNNNNNNNNNNNNNNNNNNNNNNNNNNNNNNNNNNNNNNNNNNNNNNNNNNNNNNNNNNNNNNNNNNNNNNNNNNNNNNNNNNNNNNNNNNNNNNNNNNNNNNNNNNNNNNNNNNNNNNNNNNNNNNNNNNNNNNNNNNNNNNNNNNNNNNNNNNNNNNNNNNNNNNNNNNNNNNNNNNNNNNNNNNNNNNNNNNNNNNNNNNNUUUUAUCCCAACUCCCUCUGAACUGCAUGGCACAAGCCCUCAACAUAUCCUCCAAAGUCUGAAUAGUCCUCUCGGACUGCCCAUCAGUCUGAGGAUGAAAAGCAGUGCUGAAGAGUAAUUGGGUACCUAAAGCUGCCUGAAGAGCUCCCCAGAAUUUAGAAGCAAAUCGAGGAUCCCGAUCUGACACUAUUGAUUCAGGAACACCAUGAAGCCUCACAAUUUCAUUCACAUAAAGCUCCGCCAAUGUAUCCAAUUUAUACUUUUUCCCACUGGCAAGAAAUGUGCAGAUUUGGUGAGUCUAUCCACAAUCACCCAAAUACCGUCAUGCCCUUCACGGGUAUGAGGUAAACUAAAAACAAAAUCCAUGUUGAUGUGGUCCCACUUCCACACUGGAAUAGGCAACGGCUCAAGCAACCCAGAAGGCUUCUGCCUUUCAGCCUUGACUUGUUGAAAAAUCAGACAUCUACUCACAUAAGCUGCAAUUUCCCUCUUCAUGUUUGGCCACCAAUAAUAAUCCUUCAAAAUCCGAUACAUUUUUGUGCUACCCGGAUGAGCAGCAUAUGCAGAGCUAUGAGCUUCCUCCAUAAUCUCACUUCAACUCUUCAUUUCUUUUUGGAACACAUAGCCGGUUCUUAAACAAUAGAGUCCCAUCUCUUCUAACUGAAAAAAAGAUCGGCUGCGGCUCCAUUCGAAGCUCUUUCCAUCAAUCGAACUAUGGAAGGAUCAUUAUACUGUGCUUCCCGCACUCUAUCAACCAAAACUGGCCUCACAUGAAAACUGGCUAUCAAAGCACCUACCUCAUCCACUGAUAAAUCCACUCCUGUAGCUCGCAACUCACAAAGAAGCGGAACAUGAACCAUCUUUAUAUGAGAUAAAGAUAUGGAGGGAUUUCGAUUAAGAGCAUCAGCUACCACAUUAGUUUUUCCAAGAUGAUACUCAAUAGUGCAAUCAUAAUCAUUGAUUAACUCCAUCCACCUUCUUUGUCUCAUAUUAAGCUCUCUUUGAGUGAACACAUACCGAAGACUCUUGUGAUCGGUAAAUAUCUGACACUUGGCUCCAUAAAGAUAGUGUCUCCACAACUUGAGAGCAAAAACUACCGCUGCAAGCUCCAGAUCAUGAGUAGGAUAAUUCCCCUCAUGCGGCUUCAAUUGCCUAGAAGCGUAGGCAAUUACUCGAUCAUGCUGCAUCAAAACUCCACCUAGACCACGUCUAUAAGCAUCACAAAAAACCACAUACUCUCCACUAUCAUCCGGAAGUGCCAAAACAGGAGCACUUGUUAAGCAAUUCUUCAAUUCUUGGAAACUUUGCUCACAUUGAUCUGACCAUUCAAACUUAACCCCCUUCCUGGUCAAUCUUGUGAGAGGAGCAGCAAUAUAUGAAAAAUCUUUCACAAAGCGCCGAUAAUAACCUGCUAAUCCCAAAAAACUACGAAUCUCCGUCACAGUGGUGGGUCUUCUCCAAUUCGACACUGCUUCCACCUUUUGGGGAUCCACACUAACUCCUUCUGCGGAAAUCACAUGACCCAAGAAUCCCACUUUAUCUAGCCAAAACUCACACUUGCUAAACUUAGCAAAUAACUGCGACUUUUCCAAAGUCCGCAAUAUUAUUCUUAGAUGCUUGGCAUGCUCCUUCUCACUUCUUGAGUAAACCAAUAUGUCAUCUAUGAAUACGAUCACGAAACGAUUAAGGUAUGGACUAAACACCCUAUUCAUGAGAUCCGUGAACGCCGCGGGUGCAUUAAUAAGUCCAAAUGGCAUCACGACAAACUCAUAAUGACCAUAUCGUGACCGAAAAGCAGUCUUGGCUAUGUCCCCCUCUCGGAUCCGCAACUGAUGAUAACCCGAUCUCAAAUCAAUCUUAGAGAAAACAGAGGCACCCCUCAACUGAUCAAACAAAUCAUCGAUCCGAGGCAACGGAUAUAUAUUCUUCACUGUGACCUGAUUCAACUUCCUAUAAUCAAUGCAUAGUCUCAUGGUGCCCUCUUUCUUCUUAUCAAACAACACCGGAGCACCCCAUGGAGACAUGCUAGGCCGAAUAAAACCCUUAUCUACCAACUCCUGCAAUUGAGUCUUCAACUCUUUCAAUUCCGCUGGAGCCAUUCUGUAAGGCGCCUGAGAGAUAGGCAUAGUUCCGGGAAGUAAUUCUAUAGAGAAGUCUAUCUCCCUUGCAGGAGGCAAACCAGGCAACUCCUCAGGAAAAACAUUCGGAAACUCUCCUACUUCUGGAAUAUCUUCUAAUCCCACAACUCCCAUACUUGUAUCCACCACAUGAGCUAAAAAUGCCUGACAGCCUUUACUCAACAAUUUCCUUGCAGCAACAGCGGAAAUUAUGCAACUAGAAAUAACAUCUCUUUCCCCUUGGAAAGCAACCUCAAAACCAUCUCGACUUCGAAGCACCACUACUUUUUGAAAACAAUCUACCAUAGCUCUAUAUGCUUCCAAAAAGUCCAUUCCCAAGAUCACAUCAAACUCCACUAUAUCUAAAGGAAUUAAAUCAGCCUCGAAAUUAACUCCUUCCACUAAAACUUCACAGCCACUAAAUACCCAAUUUAUUCUCAUCACCUCACCGGAGGGUAGAGACACAUGCCACUCGCCUGGAAGAGACGAUGAUGGUACAUUGGCAUGGAGGGCAAAUCUACUAGACAUGAAUGAAUGCGUGGCUCCGGGAUCAAUUAAAGUAAAACCAGGCUGACCAAAAAUUAAUAACGUACCAAUGAUGACAUCUGGAGAAGUACGACCCUCCUGCUGGGUCAUAGCAUGCAGUCUAGCGUGAGUCAUGGGACGUCCACGCUGACCACUUCCCCGCUGAGAGCCACCUCUAACCGAAACACUGCCCUGGGCACCACUACUAGAGCCUCCAGCUGAAGACUGACCAACUGGCUGAGUAGGGGUGGGAGUGGUCCUCUGAGCCAACAAUGGGCAAUCUCUCCUGAAGUGGUCCUGACCACCACACUCAAAGCACCCAGAAAACUGCUGCUGCUACCCAUAUGAAAAAGUCUGGCUACCGGAUGACCCACCAUGGAAACUGCCACCCGAACCAUACUGCCCAGACUGCUGCCUACCCAACUUACUCCUAGUAGGUCUCCUGUGACGUCCUCUAACCCUGAACCGAGAAUUAGAACCUGAUCCCCCACUACUGCCACUACCAGCUGAUGAACCUGAAGCGGAUGAUGAAGCAGCUUUCUUGGAUGGACCCUGACUGGGGCCACCGAAAUCUCAUGGCCGAGCACUAUAAAUCCCCAUAGACUCAAUGGCCAUGGCUGCAUGAACAGCGUCAGAGAAAGUCGGGUAAUAAACACCCGUCAUUUUAUCUGCAAACACUCCACCAAGUGCCCCAAUGAACAUCUUCAUCCUGGUCCUCUCAUCAGGAACCAGAUAUGACACAUGAUAGCUCAGGGAAGUGAAUCUCUCCUGGAACUCUAUAACACCCUCAUCAUCCCUCUUCUUCAUAUUCAGGAAAUCCGACUGAAUUCUGCUGCGGUGGGCAGGACUGAAAUAUUGCCCCAAGAAAAGCGUCUUAAACUGCUCCCACGACAUAUUCAGAGCAUCCUCAACAUUCCUGCUAGCGAGCGACCACUAGUGAUGUCGCUGAAUCAUCCAGGAAAGUCACUGCCAUCUUCUUCAUAUUCAGGAAAUCCGACUGAAUUCUGCUGCGGUGGGCAGGACUGAAAUACUGUCCCAAGAAAAGCGUCUUAAACUGCUCCCACGACAUAUUCAGAGCAUCCUCAACAUUCCUGCUAGCGAGCGACCACUAGUGAUGUGCUGAAUCAUCCAGGAAAGUCACUGCCAUCUUCACCUUCCUUUCUUCUGGCAAAUCUGUGCUCGCAAAAGCCUUUUUCAUUUUGUCCACCCAAGUAUAAGCAUCAAGGGGUCCCAUGGCACCCUUGAACUCUCUUGCUCCAGCCUCAUAAACUUCUCUCCUCUUCACUGCAUGAGGGUGUGGAGCUCGAUCUAUGACAUCCCUCAGCAUAUUUCCAAUAUCAUCAACCAGUCCCCUGACCUCAUUGCCCUCAUCGGCAUUGGUCGAAGUAGCCACACGGGGUUGCCGUGGGCGCCUAGGAGGCAUAGUACCUGAGGAAGAAGAAAUUUAGUAGUCCAUAAACAAGACUAACACAACAAUCACAUAUACCCAAUAACACAUAGCAUCAAAAGCAUAAAAUGCCAAUGAAUCCGCCGCGGUCGGAUCAUCACUCUAUAGACACUACGUGCUACUUAGGCAAAUAUGAUAGUGACAAGGAAGCCGGAAAAGGAAACCUAUAGCUCUGAUACCAACUGACACGACCCACCCCGAAUUUCACCCUGAAACCCGGAGUAAGUCUUGCGGGGACCACCUCCAAGAAAAAUUUACUGAAAAGAUUAAGAAAAUCUCCCUUGUAGAUGGACAACCCUAACUCGAAAAUUCCAAAUUGCCUAACUUCGAUAUUCUUAAAUCGGAACGAUCCGAACUUAAAUAUCAUACUUAACAGUCGUAAAUACAACCUCCCCAAAAUACGACUUAAAUCCUACGGCCGGAUUCUACAUUAAUUAACCGCCAAAAAUACCAAACUUCGGAAAUUCACAAACCUAUCCAAAUCUCAUCCAAAAAUUCCAUAAAUCACAUCAAUAUACUCCUCUUAAUAUUCCACACUUAAUACCCUAAAAAUCUCUUAACCGGCGGCGGCGCCGCCAGCGGCUCCGCGGGCAACGGCGGCCGGAGGCCAAUUCCGGCGACCUCCAAAACCUAUGAAAUUUUGACAGAAUAAUCUCCUCAUCAUGCUCUACAACUUUCUUAACGAGCACAUUACCCAAUUCCAAGCCUAACUAGGCUAAUCGAACGAAGACAUCCUAAAAGCCCUAGAAAAUUCAACUCCACAUUUCUCCUUACUUAGCUCAAGAGGGAGUGAGCUGAUUGGAGGGGUUGCUGCACGGGAGGAGGGCUACAAAAACGAGCCAAGGAUCGCUGGUUUUGGUGGCCGGGGGAGGGAGUUCCGACGGCCGGAAGUUCGGGGCAGCCUUGCCUUUCGGGCGGCACCGCUCUCUCACGGCGGCGCUAGGGUGGCUGUCACCGGUCCUGGAAGAUAGCUGGGUCGAAGGGCAACCGAACGGGACCGGAGCGGCGGCAGAUGGUGGCCGGACGGCGGCGUACGGACGGCGAGAAGUUUCCGACGGAGGAGAGGCUCGGGAGGAAACCGGGAAGAAGAGAGGAAGAAAAAGAAACAGUGAGGGCUGGGUUUGGGCCUGACCAACCCGGUCCAUCACCUAUAUAACAACCCAAUUCCAAAAAUAAAACACCCCGAAAAAUAACACCCGAAUAAAAAUUACCUUUUACUAGCUAAAAUUUACCAUUUUUACCGUCGUCGAAAUUUUCUCUUACGAAUAAUCCUCCGCACAUAAACGUCCCCGAAACCCUUCUAGGGACCAAUUAAACUAUUAACUCAAUGACGGAGACGGUAAAAUUCUUAUUAUAAUCAGGCUAGUAAAUAAGGUAAAAAUAUAAGGGUCGGGAUGUGACACUUGUUGAGUUAUUAGUCAUGUGGAUUGCUUACCACCUUAAUUGACUACAUAUUGUCGAUGAACUUUUAUGGCAUCAUGAUCCAUAAUUUUUAGCGGAUUCGAUCAUCAUCAAGUUCUCUAGGUCCUCCAAGUUGGUUUGGAAUUACCAACGGGACUUGAUUUUUAUCAUACAAUUGCAAACAGGAAUUGUAUAUACGCUAAUGUGAUAAACAUAUUUGACAUUAUCCCCUAAUAUGGGGACAACAAUAUGGGUCAUGUCAACGGCAUAAAAUGCCAUGCCGAUGUCUAGAAAAGAGGGGGAGGUGUCGCCGGCCCUAAUGGCGACACUCCCGGUCUAGACAUCAAUCUGUCAAAACUACUCACGUCCGCUUAUGACAAUGCAACCAUUGUGGAUCUCCGGAUCGUUGGUUGAAGAGUUAUCGAGCUAUCCUUCAAAUUGUUAAUGCAUACAAAAGGGUACAGAAAAUCAAUAUGAGGAGAAGAACGUCAUCCUCAUGAUCGCGGAUUUCAAAGAUUCGGAUCCUGCUCUAGCUACCCAUGACUUUGACGUCAUUGGCUAGACAUUGAUUUUCUUUCCAAGCUAUAUGUAAUACAGCGUCGUAUCGACGUCCUUCGUCUAUUUGAGACCUCGAUGUACUCACAUUAGCAAUAAUGAAUGCCUUGAGAAUUUUUUUUUCGAAGUGAAACUAUUCUCCUCUUAUGGUUCGUAUUGAUUUACAAAAAAUAUAUACAUUCUUACAUCGUCCUUAGAAACAUGGCAUAUUGUGCCAUUUUGGUCCCUUCCUUUGAAGGUGACUCAUGGCACCGCAUCCUCAAGGAGGAUCGCCCACGUGUUUCCGGUUGAGUCUUCUACCCUAUAGCGGAUUUUCCAUCAUCAAUUGUUCAACUAGGCUCAUCUAAGUUCAGUGUGAUGUCUUAGAAUUGUCCGAAAUUAAGAAGAUAGUGGUUUAAGUGUGCCUCGCACUACCGACCCUCUACGGACAAGCCUGGUCAUACUGAUUUGGAGUUACCGAAAGCUUUUGAUUUUGGAUCCCCGUACGCUAUUAAACCAAUUGUCGUCUUGCAAAAGAUGUUGAAGACUUAUCAAAACCGGACAAUCAUCAUCAUGAUCGAAUCCUCUAGGUCUUCUGAGUUAGUUUAUGUUCAUGUCAAGGAGCUUUUGCUAACUAGUCAUGGAGUUUACGACCUUGGAACGACUGAAAGGACUUGAUUUUGAUCAUGCACACAUCACUUUUGGCUAAGGCAAAAGCCUACAUGCAACCUGCAAGCUUCACAGCUUCGCACAUGCCAAUUCUGCGAAAAACAGCAAUCUGUCUCUUCUAGACAGUCAACUUCGUUUGAGCUUUGUGAACAGCUCUGGACGAACUAGAUAGUGAGCUUUAUAUCAUUGGAAAGCUCUACGAGUCUAGUUUUCAGAACCUUUCGCGGUUCAUCCAUAUCUAUUUUAACAAAGAAGUUAUGGCUGUUUUAGUGCGCAAAAGUCAUUCCGCACGGAAAUUUUAAUGCACUCUCAGGAUUGCAGCUUUUUGUAGCUUCUUUCAAUCCUUCUAAAUGGUUCAAGUGGAACUAUUUACUCUCCUAUCUACUCCAUUUUGUACAUCUGUCUCAUAGAGACAUUAAGUGCUUCGCAAACAGUGGAACUAUUCACAACAUUCUAAGGAACCGGCAACUAUCUUUGGAUAUUAUGCCUUUGUAAAUCUUCUGUAUUGAGAGACACGGUUUAGCUUGAAUUUUGAUGCCUCAUGGCACCAUGAUCAACGUCACAGAUGCCCUCUAUGCAUUGAGAGGCAACCGAACCAUGUUGAGCUUUAAAGACAUUCUUGCUAAUAGUUUUUAUUUGAAAACACAUUAUGAGAAUGAACAAGAAUUCUUUUGUGUAUACAUUCUCAUGAAUGUGGACUGAAAUGCAUCUUGGAGAAGUUCAUGAGUCAAUUUAAUGGAUUGUAUGUCACUACGAUUCGAGUAUCGAAUCCCAUGUUGUCGCCAAACAUGAUAUUUGGGACACCGACUCAUAGAGGCUUUGGUUUGACCAAAUCGGUCAACCUCGAAGAGAUAUAAUGGUCCAAAUUUUGAGAAACAUCCAUUCUUCUGCUCAAAACGAAGACAUUCGGGAUCUAACAUCACCAUGAAGCAUGGUGGUGACCCAGGGGACAUUUGUAACACCCCGGACCAAAUUCUACCUAUUUACUAGGUAUUCUACGAGUUACUGAAGAAUUUAACUGUGUUCGGUAAUUUGGUAAUUUAACACUCGAGUUUAUUGUUGAGUUUUUCUUAAAAUGUUAAAUUCCUCUUUUAAGGCCUCGAUAUAGUAGUACGUGUCGACACAGGUUCAACAGUGGCAUUGGAUUAUUUGUUGGAGCUUCGAGUUAUUUUUUCUAUUAUUUAUUAGAGGUUUGGUUUUAGAAAUUUAUUUUCUCGGAAGAAAAUAACUUUUAUCCGGGCUUCCAUUAGGGUUUUGAUAUGAGUUGUAGAAUUUAAGCUUAAAAGGUAAAGAGGAGGUUGACCCAGUCAAAGAACCCAACUCGGGUUUGACCGAGCCCAACAGAGUCUCCUCCUUCUCUCUCACUUCUCUCUCGUCGUUCGCCUUCUCCGGCGCAAUGGCGACGAUUCCGAGCACCUCCCACAGCGUAACUACCACCAAAAUAUUCUUCUCUUCAAUCUCUACAAAACCCAUACCUCAGUUCACACAGGCAUCCACAUACGAGGGAGAUCGAUGUCGAAGAGGCACGGCUGUGUUUCUCGUUUUCCGGCGAGCUCCGACGGCGACGGCGAUAGUGAGGGGUAGGAUUCUUCUCCUUUUUCCUUCUUCUCCCUUCCUAUGUCUUUAAUCUUUUGAUUCGUGCCCUAAUCAGAGGAACCCUUUUCUCCUGUUUUUGGGUUUUCACGGCGUAUCUCCGGCGACCGAGUUCUUGCCGUUUCCGACCUCUUCUCCAUGUUCCGACAAGCAAGGCUACUUCUUGGCAGACCCAGUGGCCGAGUGGAGGAGGUGGUUGGAGUUUGGUAGCAGAUGGGGUUCUUCUGGUUGGGACAGUGAGAGGCAGAGGGCUGCAGGUCGGUCUCCGGCAAGGAGAAGUUUCUGGGUUGGGGUUUUGAGCGGACUGAAGGUAAAGGUUAAAAAUCUGAGCUGCUGUGUUGUUGCUAUGUUGUGCUUAUUGUGUUGUUUAGGUGUUGAUUCGGCUGUUUCCUUUGUGAUAUGUCGAGAACUUGGUGUUUUGAAGAACACGGGGAGGUUAUGGCCAUUUUCUGGUGAGUGGCCGGAAUCCGGUAGAAUAUUCCGGCAAGUCGCCGGAAUCCGACGAAGGCAGUAAUUUUGGAAGAAGGUGAUGAGGUAGUUAUCGACGUUUUUCCUUUCUGAUUUGUAUCGUUUCAGAAAUGGAAAGUUUGUCGGUUUGUAAUCGGAAAUCUUUCUAAGGGAGGAAAGUUUCUAUUUUAGGAAACUUUCCCUUUUUUGGAAGCUUCCUAUUUAUGGAAACCCAUUUGGGUGCCCUUAGUAAAUUUUGGAAGUAAAUUGGUUGUUGUAUUAAAGGCAUGGAAAUUGAUUAUGACUUCGAUUCCAAGUUAAGGUUUUGUUUAGAGGCAACGUUCGAGGAGUAUUCCAAGCAUUAUAUUGAGAAGUUUAAGCCUAACACUGUGAGUGGACAUUUUGGUUUUUCUUAAAUAUGCGUGCAUGACUUUAUAAAUUAUGAUUUUAUUUUCCGAGCAUAUAUUAUAACUUCGGCUUACUAAAUGAUCUUGGAAAUUAUUUUAAGUUUGAUGCAUGGAUUAAUUGUGCACCAUGAUUUAUGGAUUUGAGCUCGGAUCAUUAAUUUGGUACUUGAGUUUGGAUAUCAUUUAUGAUUUCCGGAUUUAAUUAUUAUCGGCUUUAUUGUUGACUUUGAGAUUUAUUAAAGACUACCGAAACUGGGAUUUUCAGUAAUUCUCUUUUUAUAACUUUCUCGGUUAUUUGUGGUUUAUCGACCUUGACAUUGAGAAUAUUUUGACGUGUGAGACACGUCAUUGAGUAUUGUUACAUUGCUUGGUUGAGUGGGCCGGGAUACUUAUCUCGUGAGCUUUAUCUAGUGGGCCGGGAUACCUUUCUCGUGAGCUCUAUCUAGUGGGCCGGGAUAUUUAUCUUGUGAGCUCUAUAUGAUCUUCUUAUUUCAUUAUAUAAGGGUUGUUGUAUAUUAUUAUUGCUAGCUAGCCUUUAGCGUGGGACGUUAUUAAUAGAGUCUGGGAGGCUCCGACCCUAGCCUGGGAGGCUCAUCUUUAUGGUGAAACCCCUUUCUAGUUUCUUGGAUUUAUUCGAACCAACGGGAUUGGUUCGUCAUUUGUACUCUUUUAGAAGUAUUAUGAGUGAGCAUCAAGUGUUGCAUGCAUAGUUGUAUUUUCGUUGAUCAAAUCGGGAAAACAUAAAUAUUUUUAUUGGUUUAUUUCCUUUAAAUUUAUUCUUGUCCACUCACUCUAACGUUUUCGAAUGUUUUCCCCUAGGCCCUUCGGUUUUAAAUGCCCAGUUUGCAAGUUAGUAUAAUUGAGGUCGGGCGUACUUGGAGUCGAGGCAUAGUCCAUCGUAUAGCUUAAGCUUAAAUAUAUAUUUAUCUCCCCUUCACUGUUAGAAUUGCUCUGAACCUAUUAAUUGUUGGUUAUGGGAUUUUUGUUAGAUUAGUAAAUAUAAAUUUUUUAGAUGUUGUGAUUUGUGGGGAGCACGGAGGCUUCAGGAGUUUAUAAGAUUGAAGUUGAAAUUUUUAGAAGUGUUUGCAGGUAUUUUUAUUUAGGAAGGGUUGCCUAUUUUCAAGGGAGGUUAUGCCGAGUUUUCGGUAAAUUUUCCUUGGAGGUGGACCCCGUAGGAUUUACUUCUGGUUUCAGAGUGAAAUUCGGGGUGGGUCCUGACAACAUUGACGUCACCCGAACACGGCUCCAACUUCCCGAAGGCCGUCCGGUCAAUUCCUCAAGCAAUUGAGGUGCACCGGCCUUCCCUCUAUGUCUCAUUGGCCCCUGUAAUGCUCAUUGCUCGUUUUGAAAGCCUAUUUUUAACUAAAUUAGGAGUGAGACUCUCCUAUGCUAAAUUACACAAAGUGAACAUUCCAUUCUUACAUCAACCUAUGUUGAUAGAUACAACCAACUUGCGAACACCUUUUUUUAUGCUUUAUGGUGUUGGUUGAAGUGUUAACACACUGGUCACGUGUUACACUAUUAUCUACUGCUUAUGCUGCUUAUACUUCUACGGGCUCACUACCCAUUCUUUAAAAAAGUUUAUCGGGAUGUCAGUUGAAGUGUCUUGUACCCCAUGUUCACACGCAAUACGGUCUCACCGAGGCUACGACCAAGCAACUUUAGCUUGUCGCUCGAACAUUAUUGAUGCACACCAAUCUUUUUAUUGCGUCUUGGGGCUAUGCAAUAUUUGCAUGCAGCUUUACUAUUCAUCUACGACCCACCAUCAUUGAAUAUUUUUGUACUACAGCUCGUGACUGUCACUACCAGGACAAGCACUUUAGCCGACGAAAAAGUUUCAUCGGCCAGUUAGCUUAAUUCGUCGGCUAAGAUCUUACCCGACGAGCCUUCGUCGGCUAUAGUUUCGUCGGGAAAGAGGCGUCGGUGAUGACUUUAGCCGACGAAAUUAGAAAACGUCGUCGGCUAUUGUCCCAGUAUUUAGCCGACGACAGAAGACGUCGUUGACCAUAGUCUGAGACUUUAGCGAACGAAACAUUUAAGAUAUUCGUCGGCUAAAGUAUGUAAUAAAAAAUUAAAAAAUAACUAUAGCCGACGAAAUAUAGUCUGUUUCGUCGGCUUUAGAAGUGUUUAGCCGACGAAACAUGCCAUAAUUUGUCGGCUAAACCUUAUAAAAAAAUUAAAAAAUACUAUAGCCGAAUAUAGUCGGCUAAAGUAUUUAAAUAUCGUCGGCUAAAGUAUUUAAAUAUCGUCGGCUAAAGUAUUUAAAUAUCGUCGGCUAAAGUUGCUGGUUUUUGAAAAAAAAAACUGUAGAAACUUUCGGCCACCUCCAAUCAUCACCAAAAUUUGACAAAAUCUUCCUCUCAACAUUUCGAACAACUUUCUAGAAGAAGUCAAACCCAAUUCUAAGCCUAAACAGGUCAAUUGAAUCAAAAUAUAAAAAUCCCUAAUUUUAAACCCUAAAAACUUUAAAUCUUCGAUUCUCUUCACACACACCGAAUCGAGCUACCAAAUUCUAGGGGAAUGUAGUACUAAUCAAACUCAACUUAUCCAUAUAUAGAACUCACCAAAUGGUGACCUAAGGAAGGAGAAAUUCGAUCGACACCGAAUCCAAACCGGCGGAGUUUUAGAGCUCGAUUUAUCCCUCACGGCGGCGCCACUCAAUGCACCACCUGUCCAGCAAUGAAGUAGAGAUGACGGCGAAGUUUUUAGGACAAGUGUGGCGGUCUCCGGUGGCUUGACGGCGGAGCUAGGCCGAGAAGAAAAUCCGGCAGGCGAAACAAUAACUUUUUCUGAUUUUCUGACUUCUUACCAUCCACCUCUGGUAAAACUCCUAUAUAAAGAACUUUACCCGACGAAAUUCUUUAUUUUCAUCGGCUAAACUCUUUUGAAAAUUUUGAUUGACCGCAAAAAUUUUUUUGACAAUAGCCGACGAAAUCAUAUAUUUUCGUCGGCUAGAGUCCUUUGAAAAUUUUCCUCCAAAUUUGGUUUACCACCAAAAAAAUUUUGACCUUAGCCGACGACUUUUUUAAGAUCUCGUCAGCUAAAGUCUAUAAAUUCACGAAAACGCUCAUAUCUCCCUCUAUAGUAAGUAGUUUGGUCAAACCUUCCACACGAAAAACUUUCACGUAGAUGAGACGCAACCGCCUAUAUAAAAAUUUGAGACAUUUACCUUCCGACGAUAGGGCUCCCCAUAGGGAAUAAUAACGGUAAAUAGGGUUGACCGCUACUAUCGGUACCGAGACGUUACCUGAUUUACAUGAUUUUUGAACCAUAGCCGUAUUUCACCAUUCUAAACACAUCUUAUUUCACGAGAUUUUUGAUAAUUUUGCUUCCUAUGUAGAGUUGGUUCACAAAGUUGUAUUACCUACUAAACAAGUUAUACAACAUUCGUAGACACGUUGUGAUUACGAUGAUUAAAAUUCACAAACCAAAAUUCGACCAUCAGAUAUGAUCAUUAUGAUAAAAGAUGUCUGGAAUUCAACUGGAUCCGACAACGUUAAGGGCUCGAUCGAAACGGUCAACCCUAAUCCAUCGUCACUUAUCACACAAAAACGCUCAUAUCUCCCUCUAUAUUACAUAGUUUGGUCAAACCUUCCACAUGAAAAACUCUCACGUAGAUGAGACGCAACUGACCAUAUAAAAAUUUUGAGACAUUUACCUUCCGACGAUAGGGCUCCCCAUAGGGAAUAAUAACGGUAAAUAGAGUUGAUCGCUACUAUCGGCACCGUGACGUUACCCGGUUUACGUGAUUUUUGAACCAUAGCCGUGUUUCACCAUUCCAAACAUGUCUUAUUUUUACAAAAUUUUUGAUAAUUUUGCUUCCUAUGUAGAGUUGGUUCACAAAAUAUAAAAAUUUUGAGACAUUUACCUUCCGACGAUAGGGCUCCCCAUAGGGAAUAAUAACGGUAAAUAGAGUUGACCGCUACUAUCGGCACCGAGACGUUACCCGGUUUACAUGAUUUUUGAACCAUAGCCGUAUUUCACCAUUCUAAACACGUCUUAUUUUCACAAGAUUUUUGAUAAUUUUGCUUCCUAUGUAGAGUUGGUUCACAAAGUUGUAUAACCUACUAAACAAGUUAUACAACAUUAGUAGACACGUUGUGAUUCUGAUGACUAAAAUUCACAAACCAAAACUCGACCGUCAGAUAUGAUCAUUAUGAUGAAAGAUGUCUAUGGUAAAAAAUUCAACUGGAUUCGACAACGUUAAGGGCUCGAUCGAAACGGUCAACUCUAAUCGGAAAUAAGAAAACUGCAUUUUGAAGCCCUAAAUAGACUUGGAUGGCCAAAAAGGCCCAUAUUUCAUGGCAUAGCAAUGAGUUUGACUCGUAGGGCCGUUACGCUUCCGGAAAGGUAUCAUAAUAGUCAAUCGGACACUGAACGCCAAAUCUGCAGCAUACCGGGUUUCGAUUGUUCUACAUCAGAGACGUUACCCGAUUUACGUGACUUUUGAACCAUAGUCGUGUUUCACCAUUCUGAACACAUCUUAUUUCAUGAGAUUUUUGUUAAUUUUGCUUCUAUGUAGAGUUGGUUCACAAAGUUGUGUAUUUGUUUAAAACCUACUAAGCAAGUUAUACAACAUUUUAUUGUUUUUCUUUUAGCAGACGGAUAAUAGCCAACGAGAUUUUUUUUCGCCUACUAAAAUACUUUAGCCGACGAGUAAAAACUUUGGCCGACGAAAAAAAAUUUUGUCGGCUAAAGUAUAGUAUAGCAGACGAAAUUUUUUUUCCGUCGCACUAGGAAGAAAACAAACUUAGCAUAACCUGAUCCAUUGAUCAGUGAUACUCAAAUCUGUCUCAUGAAGUCUGAAUUGUGAUUAUCGUUGGGGGACACCUCAAUGUCAAAUCCAAUCCAUAUAGAGAUCUAUACAAGUAUUACACUAGUGUACAUGAGGACGCGGGAUAAUGAGUCUACUAUCGAACCACCCUUCGUUGAUUGGCCAAAUGGAAAGAUGCGAUCCAGCAUUAACAAAGAGAUAGGUCCUUGGGCAGGUGAUGCCGACACCGCAAGUUAAACCCUAUCAACUAUGCCUUUGUUAGAUAGCGUAGUGAGAACAAGAGCUUAGACUCACCUUAUGGCGCAAGGUCUCUCACUAACAAGCACUGAGAUCGACUACGAUGAGAUAUGCUCUCGUAAUGGAUGUCAUUGCACUCCACUACUUUGUCAGUUUGGUAGUUUUCCGAAUAACUGAACAUGCAGCCUAUGAAUGUGGUCAUAAUAACAUCUCUACAGGAUCAGAGAUAUACAUGAAGAUCUUAAACAGACUUCAUUCAUCUUAAUCAAGUUGCUCCAGACCACAGGAGCACGCGUUCGCUAAAGGUUUUGAAACGCACAUUAAGUAACUAAUUUGCGUGUUCAUUCUGGAUUUACAUGGACUCUUGAUGGAUCAAGAGAUGCCAAUAUGUAUCAACAUUUUAAGAAAAAGAUCUUGAGAAGACACAGUCUCGACAAGGCACUCGAUGAUUGUAUUGAUGAUGAUUUUCCAUCAAUCGGCUUAGGCGCUCUAUAACUAGUGAGGCCUACAUAUACUCCCAUGAUUAGUCAAAGUCUUUGCUUUAAAGAGAGAUCCGUUUUUUUGUCUAAAGCAAGAUGACAAAUAUGUGUUAAGAGAUGGAGUUCCCAUCUAAGUACAAUAAGAUGCAUCAAUGUACUCAACACAAUACGAAACACUUGACAUCUCAUUCGUUAUGAAAAGUUGUAAAGCUAAGUGUAGCUAUGCGCCCACGUAACGCCAAUGUAAUGGCAGUAACUCUUUUUUUAAAUAGUUAAUGGUAUGAAAGGUUGAGGCUUAUUCUAUCCCUACAUAAGAAAGACACAUCAAUAGCGAAAUUAGAAUCUGCCAAGUUUCGUAGGUCAAUUUCUACGGGACCUACAGGAAAUUUCACUCACUGGAAAAUGGUGAAAUUGGUGCCACUGGAAAGCUCUAUGUGUCUACUUUCCAGGGACACCAACCAUUUAAUCAUAUCUAUCAUAUUGAGUGAGUUAUGGCUUUUUUCGUAAAGUAGGACGAAUCUGUCCGAGAAUCUGAUUUUGGCAAAACAGUUAAAUUUGACAGGACUUUGUGAAUAGCUCCUGACGAACCAGAACAUGUGUAAUAUACAGUUGGAAAGCUAAAUGAGUCUAGUUUCCAAAACCGUUUACGGUUCAUUCAUAUGUAUUUCCUAGAGGAAGUUACGGCUGUUCUAGUAACUGAAGGUCAUGCUGUGCGGAAAUCUGAUUUCCUGCACGAACUUAUGUUUUGAGUUCACAAGCGGUCUUCUCCUCAAGAUCUAAAUGUAAAAGAUCAUGUUUGAGGACAAUACGGCAUGAUCUAGUUAAUCAUUGCCCAAUGCCACAUUUGAAGACAUGUUAAAGAGCAUUGACAUGCGAAGUUAUUGAAGUUUCCGUGAUUAGUAAGAAUCAGGAAGAGCCCUAUGAUUGAUGUAAGGGAAAAUUUCAAAAACAGUACACCAAUUAUGGUCCACUCUAAAGACUAGUACAUUAUCUUUUGAGAAAAUCAAAACAGUACAUGAAGUUGUAAUUAUGACCCAAAAUCGAUACAUGCCGUUAUUUUUUCUGUUAUUUGGUGUCUCUACCAUUAAACUUCAAAGGAUAAAUUCGUCCUUCUCUUGCUUCCUCCUUCUAUCUCUGAAACUAGAAAAAGCUGCAGCAAUUUUGCAAACUCUUUUAAAUAUAAAACAGAUGAGCAUGAACCAAAAAAAACCCAAAAUCCCAAAACCCUGUAUGGUUCAUUGGUUCUUCUACCAAGGGUUUUAAUCUCCAAUUUAUUUAUGAAACCCAUUGCUUCCUAGUGAGCCCAACCGCUGUCCUCUCACCAGAAUCAUCGUCUUAAAUGAAAAAAGUUAAAAAAAAAAAAAAAAAAGUAGAUUCCUCCUGCAAUUAUGAAUGGGUAUUGCAUGUUCUUCUAUUUGUUCAUAUCUGGGUAAUAUUGUUGCUUUUUUUUGUUGUUGCUAUGGUAUGGUAGGAUUGUCAAACUUCAAGAAUUUGUGAAGAACAUUUCAAACCCGUCACCAUGCGAACUGAAUUUCCAACCCCAAAAUCAAUAGAAAAAACCCAAACUCAUCUAUUUUAUAUUUAAAAAAGUUUGCAAAGUUGCUGUAGUUUUUUCUUGUUACAAAGAUAUAUAGAAGGAGGAAGCAAGAGAAGGACGAAUUUAUCCUUUGAAGUUUAACGGUAGAGACACCAAAUAACAGAAAAAAUAACGGCAUGUAUCGAUUUUGGGUCAUAAUUACAAUUUCAUGUACUGUUUUGAUUUUCUUGAAAGAUAAUGUACUAAUCUUUAGAGUGGACCAUAAUUGGUGUACUGUUUUUGCAAUUUUCCCUUGAUGUAAAGAUCAGGGGGAGGUGCGAACUUCAGGGGGAGUCUAGCACAUACAUACAUGUCACUAUCAAAUGUGAAGGGUGCGUUGUACUCUUUUUCUCCUACGAUUAAGGUUCAGUUUUUCUCCCACAGGGUUUUUGUGACUUGACGAGGUUUUUGACGAGGCAAAAAAUCAGCACCAUCGGCAUAUCAGCGCGCGGCACAAGGGAGAGUGUUCUAGGAUAUUCUGUAUCUUUCUAGAUAUUCUUUAUGUGUGCCUUGGCCUUAUGCCAAUAGGAUAUGUAGUUUGACUAAAUCUAUGUAUUCCUAUCCUUACCAUAUUGGUAUUGUGUAAUUCCUUAUAUAAAGGGCUCCUAUCUUUGAAUAAUACACACAUCUUUCACAAUUCUCUAUUCUCAAAUAUCUCUCACUUCAUCAAAUUAGUAAUUAAUGGUUAUUUGAAUUAUGAGACUAGAGUUAGAAUAAAAAUUAUGAUACUCAUCCUAAUUUAAAGAUAUUGAGGAAAAAGAUGCAGGAAAUGGCCUCAACUUGAAAAGUUAAAACUUAGAAGUAUAUACCUAUCUUCUCAUCAGGAAUGGAGGUAGAAAAUCCCUUUAAGAUUGGUUUAUAUUAGUAAGGAUGUCUAACACAACAUCACACACUAAAUUCAUAAACAAGAGAACCCUGACAAGCAACGAAUUGACAAACACAAUAUAGUAUGCAGGUCUUCAAAUUACAAAGCAAACCAAACUAUCUAACUAGUUGUGCAACAAAACCCCUCAAUUAUAAUUGGUUUUUAGACAACCCAUUUGAUAACUAUUACUUUGAAAAAUUAAUUAUGAUUUGUUGGCAAGUUUGGAGAGCAAGGAACGAUACUAUCUUUAGGGGUAAGAAUCCCAACCCCAAAUCUAUUCCAGUUCUUGCUGCUUGCCAUCAAAGCAAUGCCCUACAAAUUGAUAUGCAAAGGUCUACAAUGCAUGAUCCUGUUGAAAUGAACAUGAUUAGGUGGUCACCACCCCCUUCAAAUUGGGUUAAAAUAAAUUUUAAUGGUUCUGUAAGAAGUAAAGCUGCUGCUGGAGGUUUUAUUUUAAGAACAGAAGAUGGUAAACCUCUUGUGGCAGCUGCCUUCAACUCUAGUGUUGCUAGUCUCUCUCUUGCCGAAACUCUUGCACUAAGAAAUAGUCUAGUAUGCGCUAAAGAGAAAGGCUUAUCAAAGAUUGAAGUAGAAGAUGAUUCCAAGCUCAUCAUUGACAUUGUGAAUGGAGUUUGUGAUCCCCUUUGGAGGCUUCUGAAGAUAUUCCAAGAUAUAAAUUUUUUUGAGAUGUAAUUUUGUAUCCAUCAGCUUCAAACAUGUAUUGAGGAAAGCUAAUUUCGUGGCCAAUGUUUUGGCUAACAUAGGGCAUAGGGUUGAGAAUUGUCACUUCUGGGAGGAGUGUCCCGAAGCAUUUCUUGCCCUUGCCUUCGACAAUGUAAACUCUGGGUGCCGGCGAGCACCUCUAUUUAAUAGAUUUUCUUCUCAUCAAAAAUAAAUAAAAAACAAAACCCCUCAAUUUCCAUAAACUCUAACUGCUCCAAUCAUCAGAAACAACAGUUUCGUACACAUUCGAUUGCAUACACAGAGAAUUAAACCUAUAUUUAUGAAUCUCAAAAGACUGGAUUAUGAAAUUACCUCGAGCUUUUCCUCGUUGUUCGCCAUAUUGAGUUCGGAGCUCUAACACGAUCUCACCUCUCUUUCUUCCUCUCUACCUCUCUCCUCUCUCUCUCUCUCUCAAUCUCACACUGGCACUCUCUCUAUGUGUGUUUCUCGUUCAAUUUUGUGUUUCACUAUAAACCCGUCUAGUGGCAGUAGGGUUUGUUCAGCUUGAGGGGGACAUGUGGCGGCAUCCUACUUGAUUGUAUACUGUCCAAGUUUUAUGAAACAUCGCCGUAUUAAACUGAAGAGCAGGCAUGACAUUGGACAAAGAGAGUCCACCCUAAUAGUUUUACCUAUAUAACUCCACUUUUCUUACUCAAAUUAUUUCCCCUUGACUGUCUUACCCUUGUGCAUAAAGAUAUUAGACCUGUGGCGCUCAAAAUGUCUCUCAUUGCUGUCACCCAAAGGGCCAAAACCUCGCUCUGCAACGCCGGCUCGACUACGAUUGCGGUCACCACCGACAACAACGUCGGCUCGACCUCGACUGCAUCUCCAAUUCUAUCGACGAUGACCUCCGACUCGACAUCGGCUGAAUCUUCGAUUUUGACCUCGAUUGGAUCUCCGAUUCUGUCGUCGACAACCUUGAUUGGAUCUCUUAUUCCGUCCUCGACCGGAUCACCAAUUUGGCCGACAAAAACCUCGAUUGGAUCUCUGAUUCUUUCAAUGACCACCUCAACUCGAUCUCUGAUUCCAUCGACUGAGUCUUGCUCGACCUUAGCUGCAUCUCUAAUUCGGUGACAUAAGUUUCUAAUCUCGUUGGCUUUGGUUUACACGAAUUUAAAACAAGCAACUAUGUGCUUUGCUUAUAUUUGUUGUGUGAUGGUGAUGGUUUUUAGGAUGAAAGAGAAGCACGGGAGCCUCAAUGUGAAGGCGAAGUAGAGAAAUAACCAAUUAGGAUCCGGAUCGAGGGAUAUCUAUUUUUACACAAAUUUUGACACUCGUUUUUAGCUUUUAGAUUUUAAAUUUUUUAACGGUGUAGAUUAAUUGUGGAUAUGAUGUGAACCACUACUAGAAAUAAGUUCUUAGGUGACGAAAUUUUUUCGUCACCUAAGAGCUUCUAUUGUCCUGUAUUGAUGUAUACACUAAUACGACGAAAAUUUCGUCACCUAAGGUUCGUCAUCUAAGGGCGGUGGUUAGAGCACUUAGGUGACGAAAAUAUGAAUUUCGUCAUCUUAGUAAUGACUAAGAUGACGAAAACCUUUUUGUCGCCAAGAUACUUAGCUGACGAAAUAAUUUUCGUCGCCAAACUACUUAGUUGACGAAAAUAAUUUUGUCGCAAAUCUGGUUACAUGACGUAGUAUGACCAGCUAAGGUGACGAAAUCAGUCAUUACGAAAACACUAACACUACGAAAACAGUCAGUUUGCUGACAAUUCUUUCAUCGGGCUAGGGCCACGAAAGUUGAAUUUUCAUCACCUUAGUGCUAUUUAUAUUUAUUAAAUUUGAUCAUUAAUAAUUAUUAAAAUCACAUUUAAUAUUAACAAAAAUAAAUUUAAAAAAAAAGUCUCAAUAUUUCAAAAACCCACUAUUGGCCAAAGCAGCACCUAGGCAGUAGCAAACAUAUAUAUAUAUAUAUAUAAUCAAGUUCAUAUACAAACUCAUCAAGAGUAGUACUUGAUCAAUAUAGACUUGUUCAUACAAAAUAUAUACUAGCUAGAAAAUGAACUAGUGACUAUGAAGGGCUAUCAAUUGAAUCAAUGCCUCCAUCAUCAUGAUCAUCAUCAUUGGGAUGCUCCUGGGGUGGGACUGCCGGCUGGCAUACGCCGAAUUUGGUGAAAAGAAACUGCUCACAUUGUUGAAGACGUGCCAUGAUUUGUAUGUUCUCUUCCUUGGCUUUUCGGGCUUCCUCAUUGGCUUUCCGGGCUUCCUCCUUAGCCUUUCAAGCUUCCUCCACAGCAAUAUCAACAAGUGCAGCUCGUUGGGAACGUGAAGUGCAGCUCCUAUCGGGCCCUUGACUCAAACCAUAACUGCCUACUAGUCCCAUGACCCAGAUCUCAUUCAUGUUUCUAUGUCUAAAUGCUUUUUCAAACACAAUCGCUUGAGUUUGUUGGUCAAAAUGAAGAUCAAUAUCUUCUUCCGGAAUGCCAGGGUAUUCCUUCCUCACAUUGUCACGGAUCUCAUCAAGCUUAUCCAUCAGUUUAGCCUAACAAAAGAAGUAUAUGUUUUACAAAAACAAUUACUAUGGAGAAUAGAGUUUUGAGGGCAGUAAUAUCUAUAUUGCUGAAAGUCAUUAAUCAUAGGCUCUCAUCUAGCAUUAUUAACCCAUCUAUAUAUAUUGAUUACCACCACAUAUUAAUCAACCUCCAUAUAUCAAGGUAUCAAGAAACUUAGUCUGAGAUGCACUAUGAAUGACAUUAACUGCCACAAUUCUUUUUUGAGAAGUCACUAGUAUAUGUUCCUUAUUGUGGUUUUUGCUUAUGACAUGCAUUAUUAUAUAUUACAAGUUACUCAUGCAUUUGGCAGGAAGUAAUGCAAGUUAACUAGUUAAUAUCGUGCAAAAAAAAACUAAUUCACAAUAUUGUUGCUUCCAGAGACCAAGAAGUAAUGCAAAGGCAGGAUGUAAACCACUUACUUCAUUUUCAGCUGCUUUCAAGUUGUGAGCUGAGUCAUACACCUGUGAGUAACUUUUAAUAAAAUAGAGGUGUUCACCCUUGUCCUUCAAUUCCUUCGCAUUGUAGAUGAAAGGCCUCGCCCCGGUGUAGUGGUACAAUGUCUUCUUGUCCCGGUUACUCUUGUUUGCAGCCGAUCUUCUCUGUAAUUUCAUCAUAUUAACAAUUUGGUUAUUAACAUCAAGCUUAAUCAUCAAAAACCAUAAACACAAAACUGACCAAAUGAACAGUAGUAAUGCAAAACCCAGAUAUAUACUUGUACCCAGAGAAACUGUUGUAGUAAUGCAAGUAAUAUAUAUAUACUUGUACCUAGAGAAACUACUGUAGUAAUCAGUGGAAUAUAUAUACUUGUACCUAGAGAAAAUGCAAGCAAUAUACUUGUACCUUAAUCUACCUUGUACAGCAAAGAAAAAACUAAAGCCUUAUUUAUUUUCUGCUGGAUACAAAGUUAACCAAUUGAACUAAUCAUUCGAAGGAGCCAGAGAAUGGGGAGUAACAAUUGCAGCUGAUCAAUGGAUUGCCUUGUCAUCAGUUAAAAAAAUCUACCAACUUUUUGUGUAACACAAAAUGUCUCAAACUUUAAAUAGAUCAAUACUUUUGGUAGUCCAAAAUCCAGUAUACUUCUUCUCUACUCACAAGUUUGUGUUUGCUAAUAGAAUGAUGGGGCUAUUUCCGCAUUGCUUAAAAAAACCAAAUUCUAAACCACUUUGGUAAUUCAACAUGGAAGGAUUCCAUAAGGGAUUCCAAGAUUUCAAGUCCAUGGGAUAGAGGCGAAAUGGAUGACGUUAAUAUGAAAUAACAAGCACAAUAUAUGGAUGCAAUAGAGGUUCAAUAUCCUACACAGAUUCAAAACAAGGGUAUCUGAGGACUAAUUAAUCAAGAACUCAAGAAAAAGACAUGCAAAAGCCAAGAAACUGGUUUUCCAAAAAUCAAAUGGUCAGAAACAAGGCAGAACAACAAAGGUAAAACAACCUUGGCACCAACUAGCAAUAGCCAGCUACACAUAACACUGAAUACAAUAAGGGAGAAACUAAUCCUUUUGAUUAAACCAACAAAGUUUUGAAUAAACCAACAAACUUUCAGUAGCAACAGUUAGUUAUAAAAUGAAAGUAAUAUACUAUGAAUCCAUCAGACUCGAAGGGUUUGAGGAGCCAGUUCCACUCAUCCAGCCUGUCACACCCCGGUUCUUAAGUUAUUUUACGGUUAUCUUUGGUAUUAUUUUGGUCUUUUACUGUUUACUAUUUUAAGACUCCAAAAGUUGACUUUUUCUUCCAUUUGGACUUUAGGAAAAAUUCCUUCAUGAAAGUCGUAGAGGACAUUAAUACGAGUUCGUAGCAUGCUAUGCGUUAAAUUCGAUGUUUGCAUGACAAAGUUAUCAAUUAAAAGGGUAAACAUUAGUUGGUAAGGGGUAAAUUUUUAUUGGGUUUUAUUUUGUGGGUGUUUUAAGUGUUGGACCGGGUGUGGAGAAGCCCAACACCCACAUUCUCUUUCUCUCUCUCUUCACUCUCUCUCCCGAGCCUUCCCCGAGCUCUCGCUCCCGCCGAAAACUUUCCCAGCGUCGUCCGCGGCCGUCCGGCCACCAUAGACCGCCGCACCGGUCCCAAACGGUCGGCCGUCGACCCAGCUCUCUUCUUGGACCGGUGGGAACCGCCCUAGCUCCGCCGUGAGAGAGGAAAAGCUCUCGGAAGCUCCGGUUGCGUGGUGGAGUCCCGACGCAGGAACUCGCUCCUCCGGCCACCAUCUCCAGUGAUUUCAGUCCCAUUUGGAAGUGCUCUCCGUGUGUAACAUUUCCAUAGAAGGUAAUGAUCCAAUUCGAAGUGUGUAGGAGGAUUUUCGGGCUAGGGUUUGAAUUGGGGGAUUUUUGGAUGUUUUGAUUUGAUUACCCUAGUUAAGCUUAGAAUUGGACUAAGUGCUAGUUAUGAAAGUUGUUAUGCUUGAUGAGAGGAUUAUUCUGUUAAAUUUUGGGAGGCAAUGGGCACCGCCGGAGGUUUUUUUUCAGGUUUUUGGGUUUGUUAUAAUGAGAGGAGUCUAAUGAAGUAUAGUUUGGAAUUUUUGGAGGAGUUUUGAUAAGGUUUGGGAUUUUUAAAAGAUUAAGGAUUUUGCCGGUUAUUAGAAUGAAAAUCCGGCCUUGGAUUUCCUUGAUAUUUAUUAUUGGAAAAUGGGAAAGUAAUUAAGUUUGGUUAGUUAUGUUGCGAUCAGUUACUUGAUUAUUUUUCGUCCACUCACUCUAACGUUUUUAAAUUACUUUCCCUUGGGCCCUUUGGUUUUAAAUUCCCAGUUUGUAGGCUAAGUCUAAGUGAGGUCGAGCGUACAUGGAGUCGAGGCAUAGUCAGAGGCUGCUUCCGCUUAUUCUUUAUUCUUUGUUUUUCUUUCAUUAUAGAUGUGCUCUGAUAACUAUUUGAGAUAGUUGUUAGUUGAUUAAGGUUUGUUGUAUUUUUGGGAGAUGUGUGGAACUUGAGGAGCAGGAAGGCUCCAGGUUGAGGCUGGUUUAUUUGUUUAUAGAAGUGUAAAUUGGAUUUUUCAGGUAAGGGUUGUCCAUUUUCAAGGUAGAUUAUGCCGAAUUUUUGGAAAAUUUUCCUUGGAAGUGAACCCCGCAAGAUUUACCUCGGGUUUCAGGGUAAAUUUUCCAAGGUAGAUUAUGCCGAAUUUUCGUUAAAAUGCUCAAUGAAAUAACCAAUCCAAAUAAUCAACAUAUUUCAAACCUCAAAUCCUUGAAUCAUUAUAAUUAAUAUAACUUAAAAUACCAAAUCUUUUACCCAAGCUCAAAUUCAUAACUUCCUCAAUGAAUUCAUAAUCAAUGGGUCAAUCACACAUAAAUCCCAUAACCAAUUCAAAAGCCGUAAUUAUAAUUUAAGCUUGGAAAAAUGUAUAAUGAACAACUUAAAAAUCAUGCAUGCAUAUUAGUUAAUAACCAAAAUGUCCACUCACAGAAAAACCCGCUACGUCGGUCCGCGGUCAAAACCCUUCUCACGUGGGGUCUCCUCUCAUCCUGUACAAAAUGAGAUUUAAGACCCGAGACAACAAUCACAAAAUUAAUCAAUUAUAAGGAAAAGCUAUCCUAGCACUAAUCUCACUCACCCAAACUUUCCAAAAUCUACUUAUAGCUCUACUUUAUCAACAACUUCCUACAAUACGACGAGGAAUGGACCAAACGAAUGAGCCUCCUCAAUUUCUCCCCUACCAAAACUAAUUCCAACACCAUAUCCCAAAUUUCAAGCAACCAUCUCCAAAAAUCCCCUACACUAAAUCAACAUUAGUCCCUUCUAAAAAUCAUCACCAUGUAAGGCAGCAGCCACCAGCAGUGGCGGUCAACCACCACCACCAUAUCAACUUCAACCAAAACUAGUAAAGCAUAUACCAAUCUCUUCUUCUCAACAAACACAACAACAAUCAAAACUAGCACGAACUCUAGAAAUCAAAGACUUGGCCGAAAAUUACCUCUAAAGCACAACAACACCAAAAAUUCCGAUUUGCCUUCUACUCCGAAUCAUUCUACCACUUUUGGGUGGUUGAAUGGCCAAUCAAUGAGCUAUAAAACCCCUCAAAGAUCACUUGAAUCGGUGGCCGAAAAAAUGGAGUUCUGGCUAGGGCAAGACUCACGACGGCAGCAGCGUCACCGCGCCUCAACACCGCCGAUUCUGGGCCGGUCACCACCCUAGGCUGGACGAGCGGCGUCUCAACUAUCAAACGUGACCCGCGAGGCAGCCAGGCGUGAUCGGACGACGGCGAUCGGUAGGGGAGAGGUUGGACUGGUCUGGGUCGGGGUCGGGGUCGGGGAGAGAGAAGGUGAGGUGCGGUUAUUUCUGUUUUCUAUCUUAACCCAAAAAAAUAACAAGUUUCCCCCCACUUAUACCCCAGCCCAAAAAUGGUAAUUAUCAUUAUUUUAGCUACCCUUCACUUACAAACUCCAGUUCGGGUAACUAAAAGUCUACACGUUUGUCUACACCACCUCUACCGAAAAUAAAAAUAAAUUCCUGAGUUGACAAGCUACAGUUAAAUCGAAAACCACAAUAUAAAAAUAAUUACUAGGUUCGGGGUGUAUCACCACUUGUACCACUACUGCAAACCCACCUCUCGACAUGCAAACCCGACUUCUCCUCUAGCUCAGCAAUUCUGUCACUCAGUUAGCUACACGAAUCGAAGGCGUUGAGAGUCGCGGGAGCCAGCGACCUCUAUUCUCGGGGUAUGGACAUCGCCCAAGUCCCUUCACGGCACGGGUGCAAAUGGAAAAGAGGCCACCCAAGGCCAAGCCUUUCAAAGUGGACAAAUAUAAGGGGACUGGGGACCCUCAUCUCCAUCUCGAAACAUUCCUUUCGUUGUGUAGUUCCACUCGAUACACAGAUGCCAUGGUUUGUCAUGCCUUCUAAGAAACCCUCUCAAAUGAAGCACUCAGUUGGUUCCUCAACCUGCCACACAACUCCAUUGAUAAUUUUAUGAAAAUCUACCGAAAUUUGUAUUCAUGCAUCACUGGUGUCUCCCUUCUUUCUAUUUUCAUAAUGUAUUACAUGCUAUUCAUAUAUUGUAAGUUUGCAUACAUCUAUAUAUAUAAGCGAAGAGUGUUUUUCACUGUUCACGUGAACAGUGACGUGACCCUUUUGUCUUUCCUUUUUAAAUCUUUUUACACCUCUGCCAUUCAGUUCUUAGGUUUUUUUUUUUUUUUUUUNNNNNNNNNNNNNNNNNNNNUUACAAUCCACCCCCCUUCGGGAGUCCGACGCCCUCGUCGGCACACUCGCACCACACGGCAGAGUGGCUCUGAUACCAUUUGUCACACCCCAGGACCCAUUCCGCCGUAACACGAUAUUGUCCGCUUUGGGCCCACCGGCCCUCACGGUUUUGUUUCCGGCAGCUCAGGAGCAGCUUCCUAGUAGGUCACCCAUCUUGGGAUUGCUCUAGCAUCAACAUGCUUAACCUCGGAGUACCCAUCCCCUCCGAAGCCGCUGAGCCACCAAAAGGCCUCGUGUUAGAUUGGAGGUGGGCAUGUAUAUAUACAGCACAUAACCCCUCUCCGUUUGGCCGAUGUGGGAUAUUACAAUAAAAAAUUUGGACCAUUUCUAGAUUUAUGCGUGUCAUCCUUGCGCAGGGGCCAUGCUAAUCUUCUCUAUAUCGUUCCAAUUUUAUCGGAUGUCCACGUAACACGAUAUUGUCCGCUUUGGGCCCACCGGCCCCCACGGUUUUGUUUCCGGCAGCUCAGGAGCAGCUUCCCAGUAGGUCACCCAUCCUGGGAUUGCUCUAGCAUCAUCAUGCUUAACCUCAGAGUACCCAUCCCCUCCGAAGCCGCUGAGCCACCAAAAGGCCUCGUGUUAGAUUGAAGUUGGGCAUGUACAUAUACAGCACAUAACCCCUCUCUGUUUGGCCGAUAUGGGAUAUUACAGUUUAAUUCAUAUAAGGGGUAUGGACACAUAUUUAUACACCCGUCUGUCCACCUUGAUGGCGUAGUGUAGCACCGCAUUAAGGCGUGACGUGAGCGUUGGACGCGAGCGUAGUAGCCCUAUAUAGACCCAUGAAUUUAUAUAGGGAGUAUGGACGAGUGUAAAUACAUACAUAUAUUAUAGAGUCUGAGAGGCUCGAUAUUUUAUGAGAUAAAAGUUUUAUCGCUUGCGGCAUGCAUUCGAUUUUUCCUUAGAAAUUAAUUUGGGGAAACAUAAAUAUUUUAUUUAUUAUUUUAUUUUUUGUCCACUCACUCUAACGUUAUUAAAUGUUUUCCCCUGGGCCCUUCGUUUUAAAUUGCCCAGUCUGCAGAGUUCGGGUUGGAUCUAGUAGGAGGGGAGGCAUAGUCACCCGCAUUUCUGCCAGUUUUCGUUAGUAGGUUACUUGUUCAACCUACUCGUGUUUUCUUGCUUCCGCUAGUGUUUAGUAGCUCUGAAUACUUUGGGAUUAUUGUAUAUUAUGUGUAGAAUUUCUGAAGGAUAAUUAUGUGAUGUUUGGAAGUGCUAAAUUAAGAGUGUAAUUUGGAAUUUUCGAGUUAGGGUUGUCUAUCUGCAAGGGAGAUUUUCUUAAUCUUUUCAGUAAAUUUUCCUUGGAGGUGGUCCUCGCACGACUUACUCCGGGUUUUAGGGUGAAAUUUGGGGUGGGUCGUGUCAUUGACUAUGCCUUUUCUCCAUGUACGCCCGACCUCAACUAUACUAACCUGCAUACUAGGCAUUUUUGAAACGAAGGGCCCAAGGGAAAACAUUUGAAAUUGUUAGAGUGAGUGGACAAAAAUGAAUUUAAUGAAAAAUGUCACGCCCCGGUUCUUAAGUUAUUUUACGGUUAUUUACUUUAGUAUUAUUUUGGUCUUUUACCGUGUUAAGUAACCGGUUACCCCUUAAGGACCCUAAAGUUGACUUUCUUUUCCGUUUGGAUUUUGGGGAAACUUUCUUCAUGAAAGUUGUAGAGGACGUUAAUACGAGUUCGUAGACAUGCUAUGUGUUAAAAUCGGAGUUAGCAUGAAAAAGUUAUUAUUAAAAGAGUAAAUUUUGAGUUAGAAAAGGGGCGUAAUUAUUAAUGGGUAUUAUUUUUUGGUCGGGUUUAUAGCUGGGCCGGCUGUGGAGAAGCCCAAAACCCUCACCCCUCAUUUCCUCUCUCUCCCUCUCUCCCUCACCCGUCACUUUCUCUCCCUCCCUCACCCGUGCAACUUGACCGCCGGAGAAGAGCCUCUGUCCGCUGCCGUCCGGCCGCCAGGGACCGCCGGACCACCUCUACCUGGACCCCCCGCCACCUCCUCUCCCUCCCCGGCCUAGCCCCCGAGCCGUUAGCCCGCUGGAAGAGGAGAAAACCCGCCGGAGACGCCGGGAAGCUUUUCGUCGGAAAUCCCACCUUCGGCCGCCAUAAGUCGAAAUCUUUAACUCAUCUUGUAGCCCUCAUCAAGGUGAGUAAUCCCUCAAAAGGAAUUAGUCUAUCUCGUUGUGGUUAUAGAGAAAUGUAUAAUUGAAGUUUUAGGGAUUUAUGGAUGUUUUGGUUCGAUUGCCCUAGUUAGCCUUAGAAAUGGACUAAGUGCUAGUUAUGAAUGUUGUUGAGCAUGAUGAGAGGAAUAUUCUGUGAAAAUUUGAGAAGUAUUGGAGGUCUCCGGAAAACGGCUGCCGGCCGCCGCCACCGGCAGGGCAGCUGCCGCCGCCGCCCCUUAAGGGCAGUUUUUCCUGUUUUUGAGAUGGUUUUAAUAAGAGGAGUUUAUUGAAAUAUAGUUUGGAAUUUUUGGAUGAGUUUUGGUUUGGUUUGGAAUUUUUCGGAGAUUGGAGAAAAGGCCGGUUAUUAGAAUGAAAAUCCGGCCGUUGGAUUUCCUUGGUAUUUAUUAUAGAAUGUUAGAAUUGAUGAAUUAAGGUUGUGGUGGAGUUUGGUGUGAAUCCGGCAAGUUUAACCCUAUUAAGAGUAGAGGGUUAAACGGAGGAGAGUUAGAUAUUUUAAUUCACGUAUUUAUUUUCUAGAAUUGAAGUUUGGUUCUAAGCAUGGUUGUUGUACCAGGAUGCGAAGGGAACCUCGCUUGAGUGGCGUUGCGGUUAUCGUCGGGCUUAUGCCCAAAUUUCUGAGUGGACAUUUUGGUUUUAAAAAUAAAUAUGCAUGCAAGAUUUUAUAAUCUAUCAUUUUAUUUUCCGAGCAUAUAAUAUAAUUUUUCAGUUCAUGAGAUGAGCUUGAAAAUUAUUUGAGUUUGGUGCAUUUAUUAAGUGUUGGUCAUGAUUUAUGGAGUUGAGCUCGGAUUAUUAUUUUGAUAUUUGAGUUUGGAUAUUUUUAUAAAUUCCGGAUUUCAUUAAAUGGUUUUAAUGGUGGAUUUUGAGAUUUAUAUAAGAUUUCCGAAAAUGGGAUUUUCGGUAGUUUCCUAUUUUUAAUUCUCGAAAUUAUUGGUGGAAUAUCGAUCUUGACUUUGAGUUUUAUAAAUGAUUACCGAAAAUGGGAUUGUCGGUAGUUCUCCUCAUAAUUUAAUUGUUCAUUUGAGGCAUAAUGAUUUUGACUUGGAGAAUAUUUUAGCGAGUAUUUCGGGCGUAGAUACUAUUAUUUAUGAUUCAUAUUUGUUAUUGAAAUCUCGCUUAUAUUUAUAAAUUGGAGAAUAUUUUGACGUGUGAGACACGUCAUUGAGUUGUGUUAUGAUUUCUUCUGAUGAUUUUCAUGUACGGUUGGGAACCGUACCAUUCGUUUGGUCUUGGGGGAAGUUUAAUGGAUUUAAGUGACUUCGUAUGUUUUAGUCACCAUAUUAUAGGGUCGUUUAUCUUAAUUAUUGCUAGCUAAUCUUAUUGGCGGUCCUCAUCAUAUGUGAGUCGCUAUUAUAGCCUUAUUAGCGGUCUUCUUCAUAUGUGAGUAGAGCGCUUAGCAUGGGACGCUAUUAUAGCUUGGGAGGCAACCGAUCGGUAUUUAUAUUUAUUAGUUAGCUAGCCUUAUUAGCGGUCCUCAUCAUAUGUGAGUUGAGCACUUAGCGUGGGACGCUAUUAUAGCCUUAUUUAGUGGUCCUCAUCAUAUGUGAGUUGAGCGUUUAGUGUGGGACGCUAUUAUAGCCUAGGAGGCAUCGACCUGAGCCUGGGAGGCUCCUUUUUCAUGGUGAUAACUCUUCCCCUAUUUUAUUCUUCUCAAUAAUAUAUUUGAUUAACCAGCGGGGCUGGUUUAUCUCCUCUUAUGAGAUUUAUGUUUUAACUAACCAGCGGGGCUGGUUUGUCCUUUAUUAAGUGAUUUUGGAUUUAAAGUUUUAAGGACGUUUAAGUUGCAUGUUGUUAAGUUUUAAAAGUUGAAAAGUGGGAAAGUAUAUAAGUUUUAUAAUUGUUAAGUUACUGAAUUUAUUUUCGUCCACUCACUCUAACAUUUUUAAAUUAUUUUCCCCUAGGCCAUUUGGUUUAUAAAUGCCCAGUUUGCAGGCUAAGUUAUUUGAGGACGAGCGUACAUGGAGUCGAGGCAUAGUCAGAGGCUGUUUCCGCUUAUUCAUUUUCAUUGUUUUCAUUCAUCAUUAGAUAUGCUCUGAAAGUCCAAUAAUAGCUUAUUAAAUGUCUUUGUUGUUGAUUGUGGAAUUAUUAUUAGAUGAGAAAUUGUUAUUGGGAGUUUUGAUGAACUUGGGGAGCAUGAAGGCUCCAGGAGACGAGGAUGGAUGUUUGUUUAUAGAAGUGUUAAGUUGGAUUUUUCAGGAAAGGGUUGUCCAUUUUCAAGGAAGGUUAUGCCGAAUUUUCGGUAAAUUUUCCUUGAAGGUGGACCCUGCAGGAUUUACCUCGGGUUUCAGGAUGAAAUUCGGGGUGGGUCCUGACAAAAAAUAUUUACGCUUUCCUAGUUUAAAUUUCCAUAGAAAAUAUACUGCAUGCGACAGCUCAAAAGCUCUCAACUCAUCAAUUGGCAAUUACAUGACUAGCUCCGGCUAGUCUCCAAACUUAAUAAAAUAAAGCCUCUCAGGCUAAAAUAAUAUAUAUAUAUAUAUAUAUAUGUAUUUACACUCGUCAUACUCUUUGUACGAAUUCCAUGAAGGAAUAAGAAAAAUAGAAAUUCAUACAAGGCUACUACGCUUGUGUCUAACAUUCACGUCACACCGUAAUUGGAUUUUACCUCAUUAUGGCGGAAAAGCACGAGUGUAUAUAUACGUGCAUAUUCCCUAUAUAAAUUACUAAAUUUAUAUAGGGCUAUGACGAUUGUGUCUAACGCUCACGUCACACCAUAAUAGAAUUUUACCUCAUUAUGGCGGAAAAGCACGUAUAGCUAGCUAGCAUUUAUUUAUAUGCAUACUAUCCUCAUAAUCAUCCAUAUACAUAUGCACCGAAAAUCUCAUUUUCAGUAACUCUCCAGAAAGAAUGAAAAUUGCCAAUUAUAAAAGACGCAAUAAAUAUAUGACUCCACCGAAAAUCUCAUUUUCGGUAACUUUCCAAAUAGCGAAGUUAACAAAUAAAAUAAGAGCAUUUACUUCCAAAAAUAACUUCGCGAAAAUAAACAAUUCCACAAAUUGAUAUUCAAUAAAAUCACCGCAUGCUUAUAAUUUAAAACGAACGUCCACUCACAACUUUAGGGAUAAGCCCGACGAUAUCCAAUUUGCUACUUAAGUGAGGUCUCCUCGAAUCUUGGCACAAUAACCAUGCUUAGGACCAAACUUCAAUUUCAGAAAAAAUAAUUCUUAAAUAUAUCACCCAAAACUCUUCCGCCUAGUCCACUACCCUUUCUAGGGUUAAGCUUAUUGGAUUGACGCCAAACUCCACCCAAAGCCUCAAUUCAUUCAUUUCAACAUUCUAAAACAAUAAUAAGGGAAAUCCAACGGUCAGAUUCUACCCCAUUAACCGCCAAAUUCACCAAUCUUUCAAAAAUCUCAAACCUAUCCAAAACUCCUCCAAAAAUUCCAAACUUCACAUCAUUAAACUCCCCUUAAUAUUACACAUUUAAAACCAUGAAAAUCCCCCUAGGGUCGUCUGCUCCGUCGGCAGCAGCGGCCGGCGACUGACUCUGGAGACCCCCAAUGCCUACUAAAUUUUAACAGCUUCAUCCUCUCAACACGCUCUACAACUUUCCUAACUAGCACCAAGACCAAUUUCAAGCUUAACUAGGCCAAUCGAACAAAAACUUACAAUAAAACCCUAGAACUUCAAACACUUGAAUCUCCUUACCUAGGCCAAGAGGGAGUGAAACCUUUGGAGGGAUGAAUGCACGGGAGAAGAGCUUCCUUUUGAGCUAAGUAGCUUCGGCUAUGGCAGCCGGAGGAGGAAGUUCCGGCGACGGAACACCACGGACAGCCCGAGCUUCCAAGCGCGAUUUCUCUUUCACAGCGGCGCUAGGGAGGCUGCCACCGGUCCAAGAAGGAAGAGGAGAUGAUGGCCGACCGUUUGUGACCGGUACGGUGACCUACGGUGGCCGAACGACAGCGGAUUGACGACGGGAAAAUCCGGUAGGAAAGAGGGAGGGCGUCGGGAGGAAAGAGAGAGAGAAGAGAGAAGAAAAGUGUUAGGCUUUUCCCAACCGGUUUCUACCGAAACCAAAUAUAAACCCAACUCCAAAAUAACACCACCAAAAUAAUACCCUAAUAAAAAUUACCUUUUUACUAGCUAAAAUUUACUAUUUUACCGUCAUCAAAUAUUUCUUCUACGAAUCAUUCCUCCGAAAAAAUCGCUCCUCAAAACCCCUCUAGGGACCUUUGAAACUAUAAACUCAUUUAUGAAGACGGUAAAACUCUUAUUAAUACCAAGCUAGUAAAUAAGGUAAAAAUUUAAGAGUCGGGAUGUGACAUGUCUUGUCCGGACCCGUCCCGGAUUUCACCUUGAAACUCGAAGUAAAUCCUGUGGAGUCCACCUCUGAGGAAAAUUUACCGAAAAUUCGGCAUAACCUCCCUUAAAAAUAGACAACCCUUCCUAAAUAAAAACACCUGCAAACACUUCUAAAAGUUCCAACUCCAACCUUAUAACUCCUGGAGCCUUCGUGCUCCCCAAAACACAACAUCUCCCAAUUUAUUUACUAACUUUAACACUUAAAAUCUCACAACCAACAAUCACAGUUCAGAGCAACUCUAUUAGAGGAGAAAAGAACUAGAAAUAUAGAAAUGAGCAGAAGCUAUACUAUUAACUAUGCCUCUUCUCCAUGUACGCUGGACCUCAAUUAUGCUAACCUGCAUACUGGGCAUUUUUAAAAUAAAGGCCCAGGGGAAAACAUUUGCAAACGUUACAGUGAGUGGACAAAAAUGAAUUCAAUAAAAAUUAUUUAUGCAUUCCCAAUUUAAUUUUCAUAGAAAAUAUGCUGCAUGCGACAGCUCAAAGCUUUCUACUCACAAACUGGCAAAUACAUGACUAGCUCCGGCCAGUCUCCAAAACUCAAUAAAAUGGAGCCUCUCAGGCUAAACUAUAUAUAAAUAUAUAUGUGUAUGUAUUUACACUCGUCAGACUCCUUGUACGAAUUCUAUGAAUAAAAUAGAAAAAUAGAAAUUCAUACAAGGCUACUACGCUUGGGUCUAACGAUCACGUCACACCAUAACGGAAUUUUACCUCAUUAUGGCGGAAAAGCACGAGUGUUUAUACGUGUAGACUCCCUAUAUGAAAACCUAUAUGAAUCGGAUAAGAAAGUAGUUUUCAUAUAGGGCUAUGAUGCUUGUGUCCAACACUCACGUCACGCCGUAAUAGAAUUUUACCUCAUUAUGAUGGACCAAGCACGUAUGGCUAGCUAGCAUUUAUAUACAUACUAUACUCAUAAACAUCCAAUAUACAUAUCCACCGAAAAUCUCAUUUUCGGUAACUCUCCAAAAGAUGAAAAUUGCCAAAUAUCAAAAAAAGCAAUAAAUUUCAGCAGAAGAAUAACUGAUCAACAAUAGAAUGCAUCGCAUGCUUUUAAUUAAAACAAAAGUUCACUCACAGUGAUUCUGUUGCAUUUGCUGUCAAGACAAGACAACGAAGACGAGCUCGGAAAAUCCUCCUAUUCUUUUUCGAUUUAACCCCCUUCUUUCACUUCUAAGAAUGCACAGUAAAGUCCCUAAUAAAAACUAAAGGGUAAGAGAACAAUAUAACCAACUCCCCUUCAUAACCAUUGAAACCAAUUCUCUUAUAUCCUUUUAAUUAAACAAACACACACAUGACUCCCAAAACAAUAAUACCCUUAACUACCAUUUAACUUAGGAGAUUCACCUCUCGGUCAAAAUGGCAAAUGCACCCAAAAUACUCUUUGCAUUCAGAAGUUUUCAUUGUGCACCCAAACCUUUCCUCUAGUCCAAGCCUACAUGCAACCCCACAAUUCCAUAAUUAUAUUCAAAACUCACAACACAAUUCCGAAUUCAAUAGCCGAGAAUUAAAACCUUCUCACCUUGCGGUUUCAAAAGAUUAACACACGGUGCUCCUCCAAUUACUCUUUGCACCCAAAGUGGAAAUUAGCAUCCAACACCAAUCUUCAUUUGCUACACUGCCCUCCACCAAAACUAAACCCAAUAAUAACAUUAACUCCAUCUCCCUAUCCAACACCAAUCUUUCUAACUGUUAAUUUGCUGCCACCUAUUAAUGUAAAAACACUUGAAGUUUAUCUUCCAGUGCCAGUAGUUGUUUUUAAACUUGAUGCCCAAGUUUAAGCUGCUCACUCGGCAGCUAUUUGCAACCCACAAGUCUGAUUGAGGUUUUCAGACUUUCACUUGUGAUUGGCUGCAUGUAGUCAUGUGUUAGGCAUAAGCUAGCAAGUAGGUGAACCAGCAUUUCAAAUAAGACAAAGCAGCAAUCCAAAUUAUUGUUAUUAUUAUUAUUAUUAUUUUUUUUUUAAGUUUGGGGUUUCACAGAACGUCACGGGGUUAAGACUUAACAUGGAUCUCCUGGAAGAGCGCCGCGACAGGGUACACCUCAGGAAUGUCAACUACAAACAAAAGAUUGCUCAACACUACACCAAGAAAGUUGUUCCCCGCCCCCUAAAGGUAGGCGAUUGGGUUAUGAAGGAAGUCAUUCCCCACCCCACUGGACUCAAAUCAAAGUGGGAAGGCCCUCUCGAGAUAGUCAAUGCCUCAGGACCAGCUACAUUCUAUCUCCGGGACACUGAUGGCUGAGUACUACCCCGCACCUGGAACGCUCUCCACCUCCACCUCUACCCCAUUUAAAUUAACAGACCCGGCAUAGUAGCUAGUACUUCAUUAUUGUGUACUUCAACCCGUUAGUGGCUCACAUUAAGUGUACACCUUGCCCAUUAGCGGCCUACCCUAAAUGAAGAUGUUAUGUUUUUUAUCAUUUUUAUAACAUACCGUAUCAAGAACACGAAACAACAAAGCAAACAGUAGUCCACAAACAAAAGCAUUCAUUAAAACAAAUAAGAAUCAACAUGGACUCCUAAGCAAUGCAUAAAAAACAAAUUGUUCAGAUGGCUAACAUUGUUUUACAAGCAAACAAAAGAAAGCAAAUAAACCUAACAAUAACAGCAAAUUACAAAGCAUCAUCAUUUCUCCCCAGAGGACGCGCCACUUGACUUAUUCACGCUUCUGCCACUCCUUGAACCGCUACCACACCCACGACUGUGGCUGAUAUUCACCGACACCCUCUGUCCAUAAGCAUGCUUAGAGCGGUCACGUGACGUUGGUGGAGGCCUCACUGAAACAUUAGGGCGCACCAGGGAACUCACUUGUUGCACCUCAGUGAUAGGGGACUUGCUCGCUGAGGUCUUUUGCACUUCAGAACGCGGUGGCGCCACAAGUCUAGGUGCUUGAGGGAUAGUUGGUUCAAUAACAGAGGAUGUGACCUGAGAUACCACCACUUGAGCAGAAGGGGAUCCCUCAGGACGCGAAGCCCUUAGUGGAGAAGCAACGAUCACCGCAAGUGGCUGAGGCGUACCCACAGUAGGAACUUCUUUUGGCACGGCAGAGGAUGUAGCGCGCUAGGCCUCAUGCUGCUUAGCCAGAGAUCAAGAGAUCUCAGCUUGCUUCCUUUGCUCUGAGGUCAUCUGUUCCCAAGCCUUCUUCGCCACAUCCCUCUCGGCAUACCACUUGCGGAUGGCCGCUUCAUUUAUCCAGCCAAUUUGGCACCAGUCUUGCUUAGCUCAUCUUGUCCCCGGUUAUAAGCGCUCCUCAGUUGCUGCUUACACACUUCACUCUCCCGAAACACCCUCUCCCCAGCCCCAGCAGCCCUUGCACACUUCAGCUUCCACACUCUCUCUUACUUCGCCAGGGCUUGCGUUAACCUCGCCACCUCAGCUUCCAGAGACACCGCCUUGGCAAUGGCCACCUCCCCAGCCUCCACCUGCUUGUUUUUCUCCUGCACAGCUUCCUUCAACUCAGCCACCUCCUUCCCAGAUGCAGCAGCCUGAUCUCGGAAGAUAGCAACAUCUUGCUCCAGACGCUGCGAGAGGGCUCGGUUAUUCUCUUCCGCCUCCCUCAACUGCUGGCAUUUAGCCUCGGCAUCCCCCUGCAAGUGAGCAACAACCCUCUCACUUGCAGCAUACAUCAGCAGCGUCGCCUGCAGACAGCACCAAAAUGUAAGCAAAAAGGCAGGGAACUAAAGGACAAAAUGACCAUUGUGCACACUUACCCGAGUUAGUUUCUCCUUGGCAAGAGCUACACAAGCUAGAGGAUCAAUCUCCUCCAUGCAUGGAUGUCACGAGAGCGGUGACACAUGUCAUAUGCCAUCUGAGCUAGGGAAGGCUGCACCUCCCCGGUCCCCUCUAGAGCUUGGGUGAUCUCGGCCAGGCUCCCCAAGCUCUUGGAACGCCCCUCCUUACGGGACUUCUUUGGUUGGCCUUCACGUGACGACUCGACCCUUUCUUUCCUCUUUCGGGUCCUUGUCAUGACAACCUCUUCUUACCCUUGCCCAAUGGGUUCCACCUCCUUCACCACAACAUCCUCGCCACCAGUUUGGGGCUCACCCACAUUACCCAAAGACGUAUCUUCCACUCCUACUGGCUCCGCAUAAGCUCUUCCUCCACCGGAACCUGCUCAUGAUAGUCCCCGUGGUCGCCACCCUCAGUGUCCGUUUCCUCGUCAUUCACCUCUUGAUCACCCAAGCCCAUAUAUUGCUUCUGCCACCAAGGGAGGCAAAUAAGCAUAAUCCUCGUCCGCCAGCUUCAACCUCAAAAAAUCAUCCUCACCCUCAUCCAGCUCCACCUCUUUCCUCUCGCUAGUCUCCAAGUCGAUAUCGUACCGCUUGACAUGAUCAACCUUGGCACGUAACCCAUCCAGUACGUCCUCAUCCGACACCUUGUCAUAAGGACCUUCCUUCUUCCGCGACCCACCGUCCCGAGGCAUUGUCACUACACCAAACAAAAGAUGAGGAUCAAGUAGAGACCAGAAAGCAUAACCGAAAUGACUAUAUAUGCCAAGGCAGCAUAUCCGAUACGAGCUCCUAGACUCGAAUGCCCACAGCACCCGGCGUAUUCGACGCUCCAUCAGCUCGGUUAAUUUAUACUCUUGGGGCAUGACUUGUAUACAAUUCAUGCAAGCGAACGUAUCGUUGUCAAGAUAGGGAAGUAUUUGUGCCCAAGUUAUCGUACCAUGGGGAUUAGUGGCUAACCCACAAUCCUAAGCUAAUCGGAACAAAAGUCACUAAGCAAACAAAGAAAAAGAAAAAAAAUACUACUCUAAAGCACCAAGCCUUAGCAAUGCUCGGCCUCAGUUAUCACCAAAGCCUAAUCAAUACUAAAUGCCUAGUGAUGGGUAAUUACAAUGAGUCGAUAUAUAAAAUGGAGAUUGAAUGGGGAAUUAACUAAAUUGACGAAAAACUAAAUAAAAAUAAACUACUAACUAAUGAACUAGAGAAUGAUGAGAACAUGGGAGUGUCGGGUGAUUCACACUAACUCAUAUGCAAACAUCGAUACCAAUUUCACAAAUGCAUAUCCUAUUGUAUCAAAUCCCGUAUCUAAUACCGGUUAAGGCUACUAGACCAAUUAUCCUUUCGGUGUAUCGAUUAUGCCGGUUAAGGCCACAAUCAACUCUCUAACAUGGGCAUUACAUCGGUUAAGGCCGUAACAUCCAAAUUAGAGGCCUAGAGUGCAAGAUAAUAGAGACCCAAGCAAGCUUAGCUACAAUCAAGCUAGCUAAUGGUUACCACACUUCAAAUCCUAGAUGCACAAGACUAAUAAGUUGUCAAUUUAUCAAUCUAUCCAUCAAAUUGUCCACAACAUAAUCUCAAAGGGUGACAAAACCUAGAAACAUAUUUCUAAGGACCAACACAUUCAGAUUCAAAGCAUACACAAUGUAAAUUGCAUUUAUAUCAAUCAAAGUACCAACAUUAUACAAAAUGAGUUUAGGGCUUCAAUACCCUAACUCCCAAAAUUAAAUCACUCACAACCCAUAGUCAAAUAGAUCAUCAAUAGCAUAUAAGUUAAAUAGCUAUCAUUCUAGCAUUGGUAUGGCGCCCUUUGAGGCUCUUUAUGGGAGGCAGUGUCGUACGCCUUUGUGUUGGAAUGAAGUAGGGGAAAAAGAGCUUUGUGGCCCAGAGUUAAUCCAUGUUACGAAUGAGAAGAUUAAAGUGGUUAGAGAUAGACUCAAGACUGCUCAGAGUAGGCAGAAGAGUUAUGCGGAUGUCCGUAGGAGAGAUCUUGAAUUUCAAGUGGGUGAUUGGGUGUUCCUGAAAUUAUCUCCUUGGAAAGGGGUUGUGCGUUUCGGUAAGCGUGGGAAGCUUAGUCCGAGGUAUAUUGGCCCUUAUGAGAUUAUAGAGCGAGUUGGCUCACUUGCUUAUCGAUUAGCUUUGCCUCCAGAGUUAUCCCGGAUACAUAAUGUGUUUCAUGUAUCCAUGCUUCGCAAAUAUAUUGCCGAUCCUUCUCAUGUGCUGCAAGAGCAGCCGAUCAGUUUAACGAGAGAUUUGACCUAUGAAGAGGAACCGGUUCAGAUUCUCGACCGAAAGGAGCAAGUGCUUAGGAAUAAGACAAUCCCGCUUGUCAAGGUUCUGUGGAGAAGUCAUCAAGUAGAAGAAGCUACUUGGGAAUCAGAGGAGCAAAUGAUGCAGCAGUAUCCGUAUCUCUUCGGAUGACAUGUAUGUUAAUUUCGAGGACGAAAUUUUUAUAAGGAGGGGAGAAUUGUCACAUCCCGACCCUUAUAUUUUUACCUUAUUUACUAGCGUGAUUAUUAUAAGAAUUUUACCGUCCCAGUCAUGGAGUAAAUAGUUUAAUUGGUCCCUAGAGGGGUUUCGGGGACGAUUAUGUGCGGAGGAUAAUUCGUAUGGGGAAAAUACGACGACGGUAAAAAUAGUAAAUUUUAGCUAGUAAAAGGUAAUUUUUAUUCGGGUAUUAUUUUUCGGGGUGUUUUUAUUUUUGGAAGUUUGGGUUAAGUGUUGUGGACUGGGUUGGGGUGAGGCCCAAAACCCUUUUUCUCUUCUCCCUCUCUCCCGAUUUUCUCUCCUCCCACCCGGUUUUCCCCUCUCUACACCCAGAAGAAUUUCCGGCCGUCCUUCCGCCGCCGUCCGACCUCCGUUCGCCGCCGGACCGGUCCCGUUCGGUCGGUCUCCCUCCCAGCAACAUUUCUAGACCGGUGAGAGGAGCCCUAGCUCCGCCGUGAGAGAGCGGUGCCACCCGAAAGCUCCGACUGCCGAAUCGGUUUUCUCGCCGGAACUUCCUCCUCCGGCCACCAAUCCGGGCAAGCUUGGUACGGUUUUGUAGCCCUCCUCCCGUGCAACAACCCCUCCAAACAGCUCCCUCCCUCUUGAGCUAGGUAAGGAGAAAUUUGAGGUGGAAGUUUUAUGGUGUUUAAGUUGUUUUCGUUCGAUUAGCCUAGUUAGGCUUGGAAUUGGGUGAUGUGUUAGUCAUGAAAGUUGUAGAGGAGAUUGAGAGGAAGAUUCUGUUAAAAUUUGGUAGCAUUUGCAGGUUGCCGGAAAACGGCUGCCGGCCGCCGCUGCCGGCGCCGGCGCCGGUUAGGAGAUUUUUAGGGUUUUAAAUGUGGAAUAUUAAGAGGAGUAUAUUGGUGUGAUUUAUGGAAUUUUUGGAUGAGAUUUGGUUAGGUUUGUGAAUUUCCGAAGUUUGGUAUUUUUGGCGGUUAAUUAAUGUAGAAUCCGGCCGUAGGAUUUAAGUCGUAUUUUGGAGAGGUUGUAUUUACGACUGUUGAGUAUGAUAUUUAAGUUCGGAUCGUUCCGAUGUAAGAAUAUCGAAGUUAGGCAAUGAUGAGCGUAAUUAUGGCUCUCGGGUAAUUUUGCCUAUUUUGAUUAAAUAUUGGAUUUUUUUGGUUGGGAAUUAAUAUUAUAUUUGGAACAGGACGUGAGGAGGCUCGAGCAGACGAGACCCCAGAUCGGCAUCAGGCUUAGGCCUAAUUUGUGAGUGGACGUUUAUUUUAAAUAAAUGCGUGCUAAAGUUCACGAUUGAAUAAUUAAUGUCGUGGAGUAUUUUGACGUCAUUUUAAUUUUUGACGAUUUUUAUUUCUCGCGGAGAGAUACCGAAAAUGGGAUUUUCGGUGGAUAUAAAUAUGUAUUUAUGAGAGAGUAUGUAUAUAAAAUGCUAGCUAGCCAUAUGUGUCUGUCCACCUUAAUGGCGUAGCAUGUAGCCGCAUUAUGGUGUGACGUGAGCGUUGGACGUAAGCGUAGUAGCCAUAUUUGAGUGUUUAAUUCAUAUAGGGGGUAUGGACACAUAUUUAUACACCCGUCUGUCCACCUUGAUGGCGUAGUGUAGCACCGCAUUAAGGCGUGACGUGAGCGUUGGACGCGAGCGUAGUAGCCCUAUAUAGACCCAUGAAUUUAUAUAGGGAGUAUGGACGAGUGUAAAUACAUACAUAUAUUAUAGAGUCUAAGAGGCUCGAUAUUUUAUGGGAUAAAAGUUUUAUCGCUUGCGGCAUGCAUUCGAUUUUUCCUUAGAAAUUAAUUUGGGGAAACAUAAAUAUUUUAUUUAUUAUUUUAUUUUUGUCCACUCACUCUAACGUUAUUAAAUGUUUUCCCCUGGGCCCUUCGUUUUAAAUUGCCCAGUCUGCAGAGUUCGGGUUGGAUCUAGUAGGAGACGAGGCAUAGUCACCCGCAUUUCUGCCAGUUUUCGCCAGUAGGUUACCUGUUCAACCUACUCGUGUUUUCUUGCUUCCGCUUGUGUUUAGUAGCUCUGAAUACUUUAGAAUUUUUGUAUAGUAUGCGAUGUUCAGAAGUGAUAAAUUAAGAGUGUAAUUUGAAAUUUUCGAGUUAGGGUUGUCCAUCUGCAAGGGAGAUUUUCUUAAUCUUUUCAGUAAAUUUUCCUUGGAGGUGGUCCCCGCACGACUUACUCUGGGUUUCAGGGUGAAAUUCGGGGUGGGUCGUGUCAUCGGAGCUAUUUUUAAUAAUAUUUGGAAGUUGGUAUUAUCCAGAAAUUUAUUAAAAAUAAUAUUCUAAGUCGGUUUAAUCUCAGCCGUUAGAUUGGGAAUACAUAUACGUUUGGGUUAGAUUGUAAAACAGAAGAACCGAGCUUGGACCGACUCGGUCUCGAGUUGCGAUUCCUCCUCCGUCGAGCGGCUGUCUCUCGACAUCCAACCGGUGGCCAGAGCUCCAUAUCGUCGUCCCCAACAUGACUGUGUUGUUAGAUUUCCAAAACAAGCUCGGAGAAGGGAGAAUCGAGUAGAAGAAGGAUUUCUGGGUUCGCCGGUGAUCUUCGGAUUCCGGCCACGGCGGUGAGCAUGAACGGUGCUGGUAGCUUUGCCUCAACUCCCUGAACAUCGUUGUGCUAUUGGUUUUUGAAUAGAAGCCUUGAGGAGGGAGAAUCGAACCUCAAAAGUUUUUAGGGUUUUCCGGUCGUGUUCUUCAUUUUCCGGCGAGCUUCAAGUAUCAAUUCAGGUAUCAAAGUUGGUCCAUUUGUCGAACUCUACCUGUUUAUAUGCUUGAAUUCGAGUUUGAUUAAGUUUUGGAGAAGUUGGUGUUUGGGCAGACGUCAGCCGCCGUGAGUACUGCUGUGUACGGCGAUGACAGGUGGUGGUUCUUGUAGUUUCUGGUUUUUCAUAGUAUACUGAUUGUGGAGGGAUGCUUUGAUAUGUAUUUGAAUGGCAGGAGAUUGAAAAUUGGAUGAAGUGGGUUUUGGGGCAGUGUUGUUCGGUGGCGAAAAUGAUGGUUGAUAGUUCUGGGUUUGGUUUAUGUUUUGGAUGAAAUUGCAGGACAUGAUGUUGGUGUUGUAUAUGCUUGAAGUCUAGAAAUGGAAGAGUUGGGAAGUAGAGGAUUCAAGUCGAAUUGUGUUGUUGGAAUGAAGAACAGUAGUGUUCUUCUAUUCAUUGAAGUGCUUGAAUUCAAGAGUUUGAAAGUUGAUAUCGGCAAAAUAGAACAUGGGUGUCCAUAGUAGAUUUGGAGUCAAGUUGGUACUUGGAGCGCAAUUUGGAUAUGAUGACGGCAUUGAGCGUAAAGGCGAAUAAGAAUGUGGAAAUAAAUUGAAAUGAGUACAUUUGAUUCGGAAAUCAUUGGAAAAGAAAAAGGAUUCGGUACGAGGAUCGAAUGCGAGUAGCUGGAUUGCAGAAGGAUAAGGAUUUCUGAAUGUGUGUUGCAAAGUUACUAAUUUUAGCUAGUGUCAGAAGUAGCACUUGGAUUCCAGGUAGGGUCUCUCUCGGGGAACUUUUCUUUAAAUCGGUAAUUAGAUUUUAAUUGAAAUGGGUGAUUUGUGUGUCAUUGAGUGAUUAACUCUUGGUUGUUACCAUUUUCGAUAAAAGUAUGUGAUAUCGUUGAAAUAUAUGAACGAUGUUUUCGCUUAUCAGAAAAGAAUGUAUUGAAUGUUAUGAUAUGAGUAUUGAUAUUUGUUGCAUACAUUUUGCAUUGUGAGAAAUUGUGAGAUUAGUGAGAAUGGUGAUUAUGGAGAUGUGAAUGAGAUUUGAUAGAAUGGAUACAUUUUGUGUAGUUGAGUUUCCUGAUGGGUUGUCCAAGAUCCAAGGUAGCCCACACGUGCACAAAUUCAGGGAAUGUAUGCCUUUCGAUGGCAGACAUCGACAAAACGAUCUUAUCGGGUUUCGGGUUUGGAGGCCAUGAGUAUAACAAGAUGACUAACAAAAGAGGUACAAGCGGUGAGAUAUUACUGAUUGUUAGAUCAUAUAUUCGAGACAUCUGAGUCACCCCCGGUUGGUAAAAUACACGGUAUGGGACGUGUAGGCUCACAUGUCUUUGAUGUAUGGACUGAAUGCCAGUAAUCGAGGAAGUCAUUCAUUAGCAUAAAUGCAUCAAAUUUUCGUUAUAUAUUUAAAGUAUUGUUUGAUUGUUUGAUAACUUGUUUGUGCGAAGUAGUUAAGAAUAACUUAAGAAGGUUAGGCCCUACUGAGCGUAAGCUCACCCCUAUAGAGUUUUUGUUCAGGUUUGUACGAGGACACAUGUUUCUAGAAGACUAACUGUGACGUUAGCUUAAGUGUACAAGAGACGAGAAGUACUGAAGAUUAGAAGCCUCAAGACCUAUUUUGUUUUUGUAAUUGGUUUUGUUAUUUGUAAACGUUUUAUUUUCUUUUAUUUCUGGAAAAGUAGUUGAAAUUUGUAUUAUUUUUUUUACUUUUCCCGCUCACGCCUCGGGUUCGGCGUCAGGUGCUUGGAAACCACUGACACCGGGUUCGGGGUGUGACACCACACGUAUAUACACCCAUCCUCUUCGGUCAUAAUGAGGAAAAAUUUGAUUAUGGCGUGACGUGAGCGUUAGAUGCAAGACUCGUAGCCUUGUAUGAAUUUCUAUUCUUCUACUUUGUUCAUAGAAUUCAUACAAGGAGUCUGACGAGUAUAAAUACAUACAUAUAUAUAUAUAUAUAUAUAUUUAUGUAUAGUUUAGCCUGAGAGGCUCCAUUUUAUUGAGUUUUGGAGACUGGCCGGAGGUAGUCAUGUAUUUGCCAGUUUGUAAGUAAAAAGCUUUGAGCUGUUGCAUGCAGCAUAAUUUCUAUGAAAAUUAAAUUGGGAAUGCAUAAAUAUUUUUAUUGAAUUCAUUUUUGUCUACUCACUUUAACGUUUGCAAAUGUUUUCCCCUGGGCCUUUAUUUUAAAAUGCCCAGUAUGCAGGUUAGCAUAGUUGAGGUCGAGCGUACAUGGAGAAGAGGCAUAAUCAAUAGUAUAGCUUUCGCUUAUUUUUAUAUUUCUAGUUCCUUUCCUCUCAAUUAGAGUUGCUCUGAACUGUGAUUGUUGGUUGUGGGAUUAUUCUUAUUAAAGUUAGUAAAUAAAUUGGGAGAUGUUGUGUCACACCCCGGUUCUUAAGUUAUUUUACGGUUAUUUACUUUGGUAUUAUUUUAGUCUUUUACCGUGUUGAAUAACCGUUUAUUACCUAAGGACCCUAAAGUUGACUUUCUUUUCCGUUUAGAAUUUGGAGAAACUUUCUUCAUGAAAGUUGUAGAGGACGUUAAUAUGAGUUCGUAGACAUGCUAAGUGUUAAAAUCGGAGUUAGCAUGAAAAAGUUAUUAUCUAAAAGAGUAAAUUUUUGAGGUGGUAAAAGAAGGUAUUUUUUUAGUGGGUAAAAUUUAUUGGGUUUAAGGGUUAUGGAUUGGCUGUGAGCAGCCCAUAUCCUCCUUCACUCUCUCUCUUUCUCCCUUCCCUCUUUUCCCCGAGCUCCCCGAGCCCCUCUCCGCCGGAAGCUCCCAGCCACCAGCUGCCAUCGUCCGGCCAGCGUUCGGCUGCUGCUCCAGCCCAGUUCGGACCCCCAUCUCCUCCUCUCCCUCCCCGGCCUAGCCCCCGAGCCUCUAACCCGCCGGAAGAGGAGAAAACCCGCCGGAGACGCCGGGAAGCAUUUCGCCGAAAAUCCCAUUUCCGGCCACCAAAACUUGCAAUUCUUAGCUCAUUUUGUAGCUCUCAUCAAGGUGAGUAUCCCCUCAAAAGGAAUAAAUCUUUCUCGUUGUGGUUACGGAGAAAUGUAUAAUUGAAGUUUUAGGGAUUUUUGAUGUUUUUAGUCGAUUACCCUAGUUAGCCUGAGAAUUGGACUAAGUGCUAGUUAGGAAAGUUGUUGUGCUUGAUAAGAGGAUUAUUCUGUUAAACUUUGGUAGAAAUUGGAGGUCGCCGGAAUCGGCCUCCGGCCGUCGCUGCCGGCCGAGCCGGCGCCGGCGCAGGAGCUGUUUGGGAGAUUUUAAUGUUUUUAGAUUUGGAAUAUUAAGGGGAGUUUAUUGAAGUGAGUUAUGGAAGUUUUGGAUAGGUUUGUGAAUUUCCGAAGUUUGGUAAUUUUGGCAGUUAAUUAAUAUAGAAUCCGGCCGUAGGAUUUAAGUCGUAUUUUGUGGGAAGUUGUUUUUACGGCUGCCGGUAUGUUCGGUGAAGUUUGAACCGUAUUGAGUUAAGAAUGGCGAAUUUGGGCAAUGAUGAGUGUGUGGGAGGCUCACGUUUAAUUUUGCCCAUUUUGUUCAAUUAUUGGAUUUUUGGUGGGAAAUUAAUUAUAUAUUUGGAACAGGACGAGAGGAGGCCCGAGCAGAGGAAGCCUCGGAGCGUCAUCAGGCUUAGGCCUAAGUUGUGAGUGGACCUUUAUUUUAAUUGAAAAGCAUGCGAUGAAUUAUCUGUUGAUCAUUUAUGUCUUUUCCUGAGAUUUAUUUAUUUCUCGGAUAUUUGGCAAUUUUCCUCCUUUGGAGAGAUCCCGAAAAUGAGAUUUUCGGUGGAUAUGUUUAUUGGAUGUUUAUGAUGAUAGUAUGUAUAUAUAAAUGCUAGCUAGCCAUACGUGUUUGAUCCGCCAUAAUGAGGUAAAAUACCAUUAUGGUGUGACGUGAGUGUUAGACACAAGCGUAGUAGCCCUAUAUGAAAAAUAUUUUCUUAUUUGGUUUAUUUAAGUUUUCAUAUAGGGAGUCCACACGUAUAUACACUCGUGCUUUUUCCGCCACACUGAGGUACAAUUCUAUUAUGGUGUGACGUGAGCCUUAGACGCAAGCGUAGUAGCCUUGUAUGAAUUUCUAUUUUUCUAAUUUGUUCUUAGAAUUCAUACAAGGAGUCUGACGAGUGUAAAUACAUACACUUAUAUAUGUUUAUAUAUACUUUAGCCUGAGAGGCUGUAUUUUAUUAAGUUUUGGAGACUAGCCGGUGCUGGUCGUGAAGUUGUCAGUUUUUGAGUUGAGCGCUUUUGAGUGAUUGCAUGCAGUAUUAUUUUAUUUGGAAAUUAAAUUGGGGAAGCAUAAAGAAAUACUUUUAUUUUAAUUUAUUUUUGUCUACUCACUCUAACUGUUCCACAUGUUUUCCCCUGGGCUCUUCGUUUUAAAUUGCCCAGUCUGCAGAGUUCGGGUUGGAUCUAGUAGGAGGCGAGGCAUAGUCACCCGCAUUUCCGCCCGUUUUCAUCAGUAGGUUACAUGUUUAACCUACUCGUGUUUUCUUGCUUCUGCUAGUGUCUAGUAGCUCUGAAUACUUUGGGAUUAUUGUAUUUUAUGUUUAGAAUUUCUGAAGGUUAAUUAUGUGAUGUUUGGACGUGUUGUAUUAAUAGUGUAUUUUGGAAUUUUCGAGUUAGGGUUGUCCAUUUUCAAGGGAGAUUUUAUCAAUCUUUUCAGUAAAUUUUCCUUGGAGGUGGUCCCCGCACGACUUACUCCGGGUUUCAGGGUGAAAUUCGGGGUGGGUCGUGUCAUGUUGUGAUGUGGGCAGCACGAAGGCUCUAGGAGUAGAAGGUUGUAGAUGGAUUUUUUUGAAGUGUAUGCAUGUAUUAUUAGGAAGGGUUGUCUAUUUUCAAGGGAGGUUAUACCGAAUUUUUUCGGUAAUAUUUUUUUUGGAGGUGGUCCCCGCAGGAUUUACUUCAGGUUUCAGGGUGAAAUUCAGGGUGGGUCUUGACACAGAAGCUGAAGAUACUAGGAGCUGAAAAUACUUACCUGUCUUCCGUACCGUCUCUCCCAAACAGGGCCAAACAAACUAGAUGGCAAAUCCACAACCCAACCUCUGCCGCUCAGAUUGGGCCUGACACGAAGUACGUUCUCGCCCAUCCAACGACACCGCCUCAAGGAUGUGUCGUCGAACUGGGCAUGCACUAUGAACAAGGGGCUGCUAGAUAGGGUUUUGAAGAGAAAAGUCUCUUUGUUUUAUCAAUUCUUGUUAAAAUUUGUAGCCCUGAUUUGAUGUCAACAGGUGAAAUCAAUCCUAAAAAUUAAUCAAAUAGUAAUUAAUCAGAGAUCUCCAAUGACCUAAUGUAUGGAUUUGUUACUAAGACAAUUGCGGUAACAAAAUUUGGGUACAAGGUUGGUUGUAACAGCUUGGAAACAGUCCCGCAUUGAUCAAAAAGAACAAAUUGUUUUUUUUAUGGAAGGGCCCUUACGACCAAUUUCAUUGAUCAAAAGCCAAAAUGGCGCGGAUACAUGCUUUCCCUUGCCAAACGUUUGGGAAAGUUAAUGACUUGACAUGGCAUGCUAGUACCAUUCAUUACAAAUUCCACUCACUUAAUUCGAUACAGAAAAGAAAAAAGUGAACCUAAUUAGACCAUGAAACAAAUCACAACAAUUAGGCACACACACAAAAUGCUUAGACUCCUAAAAAAGGAAUUAUUGUAAAUAGACAAGCUACAUACUUAGAAAAUGAGCUAAGGCAUGAACCCUAGCCCAAAUCUAGGCCCAAGCAACUCCAAAAUGGCCCAACCCAAAGCUCGAACAAGGGAGACCCAUGCCUGCAUCCACCACACCCUUUGCCGUCACUACUUCCCAAAGCAUCUUUGAAUCCUUCGUCCACGCCAUCGCCAUCCGAAACGAGUCAGAUCCACCAUGACCCUUACCACACAUGACAACAGCCAUGAUACCAUCAAUUUGCACCGAUCCAACAAGCUUCGCUGUCGACAAUAGAUAGCAAAAAAAUUCUGACGAAAACACGCCGUCGCAAUGCUCAGAUGAAAACAUGCCGCCGCAGGACUCAAAGCCAACAAGCCCCGAUCCCUUCGCUCAAAACUUCAAGCCAAAAAAACCAUGAAGAAACUACUUGGCAACUUGUAGAUCCCGUCCGACGGUCUCUACUCGGAGUCAUCAAAGCCCAAAGGCCAGCCUCUAACCGAGUUCGGCCACCGGAUGAGAUGGAGAUUUGGGUGUGGGAGUCGAGUGUCUUUCGGUUAUGUGUCUUGACCUAAUCGUUUCUUUAUUAUAAUAGAUUACAACAAAAUAACAAAAUGACAUGACAUGGACAAAGAAAAACGUGGUGUUAUAAGAAGUACAACACGAACAAUCAUAGAAAGUGCCAUAUAAGUUGAAGAAGCGGAGACACCAAUGCAAAGAGGAGUUAGCUACACUUCACUAGACUACAGAUUACAGAAUAAAUACAUAGAGCGAGGGAGUGUGUGAGGAAGAAAAGGGAUCAUGUUCCAUUGCCAGCCAAUCGUUCAUAAAUAUACGUCCCCCAUCUUUGUAAUUACCCAAAAAGCCCACUUCAAAGCUGGCACACCCAAACCUCAAAAACUUAAAUAAAAAAUAAUAAUAAUAAAAAGAAAAUAGAAACGGGAUGUUGUGGACUGUAGGAGCACUCUGCACUCCUAUUGAAGAAGCACCGCCCAAUUACUAAACUAGCAGCAUUUUUUCAGUCUUAGACCUAUUUUUGAAAGAUAAUAGUAAUUAAAAAUAAAUAGAAUAAUAGUUUUGGGAUUUGAGUAGUGCCCCCAGAUUAUGUAUUACAGAAAACAACCAAAUGGAGUGGCGCCCAUGUUCUAGUCAAUAUCAAAAUUCCCCACUUGGUCAAUCACCAAACCCCCGCUCUCUCUCCACUGCCCUACUCCCCUCGUCCCCUCACUAUCUUUAAGAUCAUAGCAAUCCCACAUCACAUAUCAACAUGCUUAACUGAUUUCUGAAAUUCUAGGGUUAUAAAAAAGUAACCCAACAUUUUUCUAUUUAACCCUUUCCCAAAAAAAUCAACUCUAAACUUUGAUUGAUCGUAACUUUAUCGUACGACAUCCGUUUUACGCGUGCCACAUGUCUACGAACUCGUAUCGCCGUGCUCUACAAAUUCCGUGAAAGAAGUUUCUUGAGAAACCCAAUGAAUAAAAAGUCAACUAAAAAGUCAACCAAAUAAAAUAAAUAAAUAAUAAUAGAAACUAGUAUCUAAAUUCCGGGGUAUUACAUGUACUCUUGGUUUACCUUAUGUGAUGUUGGGUUGAGUCCGUUAAUGUAGAUUUACUCAUACGACCUGUUAAAGCUUACCGGGUUUGUUGUUUAUAACCCGGUGCACUAAUUCAUGAUGUAGGGGUUAUACCUGCAAGUGAUGAUCAGCAGGGUUGAGGCGGAGGCAUAGUAGCUGGGUUCUAGAGGCUGUACAUUUUAUUUUUAAUAUUAUGGCUGUUUGUUUUUACGCUCUUGCAAGCGACUGUAUUUUACUAGACUUUUUGAAGUUGAUGUAAUUAAGGAGAGAUAAUGUUUAACUCAGUUAAUGAGUUUUGUUGACAUUUACAUUUCUAGCAUUUGAUUUUAGUUGGAAGUUGUUAAGCAGGUUUUGGAAUAUUAAGAUUUUGAGUUAUAUCAUGCCCAAAUUUUUGAAAAUUAUCCUUAAAAAAAUUGGGGUGUGACAAAUGACAUCCAUUACGAGAGCAUAUCUCAUCCCAGUGCGUGUUAGUGAGAGACCUAGCGCUAUAAGGUGAGUAUAAGCUUUUGUUCUUACUACGCUAUCUAACAAACACUACAAGAAUUCGGGGCAUUUACCGAGCAAAAUUUAUGGUGUGCACCAAUGCACACCGUAUUAUGUGCUCUUUUAUGGCGUGCUUUUAAUGCGUGUCGUAAAAAACCUCUGACAUGUAUUCUUUUACUGCGUGCUUUUAAUGCAUGCCAUAAAUGACCAAUCACAUUAAGUCUUUCGUUGCACGCAUGUAUAACGUGCCGUAAUCGUGAUAUGUUUUUACUGCACACAUAUCAAAUGUUUUCCUCUUCUAAGAAGUCCCGCACCUUUGCAAAGCCUCAAACGUCAACCCCCAAACCUCAAUAAUCUCGAUAGAGUUAGAAAGAAGCUCUAAUCCUCCAUCGAAUUCUACAAUGAGUUGCAAACCGGAAAGCCUGCAAAUCGGUUUCUAGGGAUUUCUGGCUGUGGUGGUGCAAGGUAGGUUUGUUUCUUCUUCUUCUUCUCUCUUAUCUUAAUCGAUUUUUGUAUUCUACUUUCUCUUUGAAGCGAUUAGAAUCGCUGAAACCCUUAAUCCUUUUAUUUCUCCGGUUAUGAAUGUCGUUGUUUCAACCCCAGCCGUCAGCCUUCCUCAUCAAUCGCAGCCCCAAACUAUCGUCGGCCACAAACUCUUGGGCUAUCAGACUUCGUGACAUUCGUUGUUGUGUACGGCUGAGAUUGUGAUUCUUAAUCAUAAAAUUCAGGUAUGGCUAAUAGUAAUCCCUAUUAUAGUGUGGGAUUGUAAAUUUCACAGUAAUGUCAAAAGUAAUUUUCUUUUAUAACCUAAGUAAGCUGUGAGUAGGUUGUUAAGUGUUUCAUUGUUAUGUCGAUUGCAAUAUGCUUAUAUGCAGAAGUGUAAAUGUAUUUUUUUGCUAGUAUCAAUUUUGGGAGUGUAAUGAUCUCAAUUUUAUUUAGGUUUAUUUAUCGAAUUGCUUUUGUGUGUUUUUUUUUUCUCUGACUAGGAUUUUGAUUUUGAUUAUAUUUUGGACUACCAAUUAUAUUUCCAAAUUAGAUUUUCUUUUCUACGUGUAUAGUUGUUCUUUAUUUAAUUUUGGGUGAAAAUAUUUAUUUGGGUCUAGAACUAUCCAGUCAUCAUCAGAAGCAGAACACGUUGCCCAUUCUUUUUCGUUCACGUGUCCCUAACUGAUUUCUCCAGAAUUUACUCGUCAGUCUCUCUUCCUCUUCUCCCUUCUCUUCUUGUUCUUCUUCCCCUUUUCUCUACUCUUCACUUCUGUCUCUACUCUGAUCAUCACUCUCUUCUCUAAAUCAACAACACCGAUUUCACUAGCUCACAAGGAAGAGGGGAGGAAUCGCCAUGAAAUUCGUUGCCAAAGAAUCUGAAAUUCUUUGUCUAUUCGCAGCUAACUCCUAUAAGUUUCAAUCUCUUGUAAGUUUCAGUCUUCUCUCUCUCAAACUAGUUAUCCAAUCUCAGUUGUUUCUGUCAAGACCCACCCUGAAUUUCACACUGAAACAUGAAGUAAAUUCUACGGGGACCACCUCUAAGGAAAGUUUACCGAAAAUUCGGCAUAACCUCUCUUGAAAAUGAACAACCCUUCCUAAUAAAACCUGCAUACACUUAUGAUAAACCAAAUCCAACCUUAAACUCCUGGAGCCUUCAUGCUCCCCCAAAUCACAACAUCUCCCAAUUAUUUACUAACUUUAAUAAGAAUAAUCCCACAACCAACAAUCACAGUUUAGAGCAAUUCUAAUUGAGAGGAAAUGAACUAGAAAUUUAGAAAUGAGCGGAAGCUAUACUAUUAACUAUGCCUCUUCUCCAUGUACGCCCGACCUCAACUAUGCUAACCUGCAAACUGGGCAUUUUUAAAACGAAGAGCCCAGGGGAAAACAUUUGAAACCGUUAAAGUGAGUGGACAAAGAUAAAUUAAUAAAUAAAAUAUUUAUGUUUCCCCAAAUCAAUUUCCAAGGAAAAAUCAAAUGUAUGCUGCAAGCGAUAAAACUUUAAUCUCGUAAAAUAUCGAGCCUCUCAGGCUCUAAAAUAUAUGUAUGUAUUUACACACGUCCAUACUCCCUAUAUAAAUUCAUGGGUCUAUAUAGGGCUACUACGCUCGCGUCCAAUGCUCACGUGACGUCUUAAUGCGGUGCUACACUACGCCAUUAAGGUGGACAGACGGGUGUAUAAAUAUGUGUCCAUACCCCCUAUAUGAAUUAAACACUCAUAUAGGGCUACUACGCUCACGUCCAACGCUCACGUCACACCAUAAUGCGGCUAUAUGCUACGCCAUUACGGUGGACAGACACAUAUGGCUAGCUAGCAUUUAUAUACAUACUCUCCUCAAUAUACAUAUUUAUACUCAACGAAAAAUCUCAUUUUUCGGUAACUCUCCAAAAGAAAUAAAAACGUCAAAAAUUAAAUGACGUCAAAACUCCAACAAUUUAAAUGUUCAACCAUGACCAUAGCAUGCAUAUUAUUUAAAACAAAAGUCCCCCCACAACUUUAGGCCUAAGUCUGACGUCGAUCCGAGGUCUCUUCUGCUUGAGCCUCCUCACGUCCUGUUUCCAAAUGUAAAAAUAAUUUCGCAACUAAAAAUCCAAAUAUUUAUACAAAAUAGGCAAAAUAAACAUGAGCUACUAUAUGAACUCCCUAUAUGAAAGCCUAAAUAAACCAAAUAAGAAAAUAGUUUUCAUAUAGGGCUACUACGCUUGUGUCUAACACUCACGUCACACCAUAAUGGUAUUUUACCUCAUUAUGGCGGAUCAAACACGUAUGGCUAGCUACCAUUUACAUAUACAUACUAUCAUCAUAAACAUCCAAUAAACAUAUCCACCGAAAAUCUCAUUUUCGGGAUCUCUCCAAAGGAGGAAAAUUGCCAAAUAUCCGAGAAAUAAAUAAAUUUCAGGAAAAGAAAUAAAUAAUCAACAGAUAAUUCAUCGCAUGCUUUUCAAUUAAAAUAAAGGUCCACUCACAAAUUAGGCCUAAGCCUGAUGACGCUCCGAGGUUUCCUCUGCUCGGGCCUCCUCUCGUCCUGUUCCAAAUAUAUAAUUAAUUUCCCACCAAAAAUCCAAUAAUUAAACAAAAUGGGCAAAAUUAAACGUGAGGCUCCUACACACUCAUCAUUGCCCAAAUUCGCCAUUCUUAACUCAAUACCGCUCAAACUUCGCAGAACAUACCGGCAGCCGUAAAAACAACUUCCCACAGAAUACGACUUAAAUCCUACGGCCGGAUUCUACAUUAAUUAACCGCCAAAAAUACCAAACUUCGGAAAUUCACAAACCUAUCCAAAACUCAUCCAAAAAUACCAUAACUCACUUCAAUAAACUCCCCUUAAUAUUCCAAAUCUAAAAAAACAUUAAAAUCUCCCAAACAACUCCGGUAGCGGCGGCCGGAGGCCGAUUCCGGCGACCUCCAAUUCUUAUGAAAUUUUAACAGCAUCUUCCUCUCAUCAUGCUCUACAACUUUCCUAACUAGCACAAACCCAAAAUCCAAGCCUAGCUAUGCCAAUCGAACAAAAACAUCAAAAACGCCCUAGAGCUUCCACCUCAAAUUUCUCCUUACCUGAAGCAAACCGGGGUGACUCCAUUUAGGGCAAGGCAGCUGGGUUAGAGACCUACAAAACCGUACCAAGCUUGCCCGGAUUGGUGGUCGGAGGAGGGAGAGGAGGUGAUGGGGGUCCGAACUGGGGUGGAGUGGUGGCUGGUGGCUAGUCGGACGGCGGCAGCUGGCAGCUGGAAAUUUCCGGCGAAGGGAGAGAGAGCACGGGAGGGAGAAGGAAGAGAAAAGAGAGAAGAAGAGAAAGAGAGGAAAUGGGUUGGGCCUCUCCAACCGGUCCAACUCCACUAAUAUACCUAACUCCCACAAAUAAAACACCCCGAAAAAUAAUACCCGAAAAAAAUUACCUUUUACUAGCUAAAAUUUACCCCUUUUACCGUCGCCAUAUUUUCGUCCUACGAGUAAUCCUCCGCACAUAAUCGUCCCCGUAACCCCUCUAGGGACCAAUUAAACUAUUAACUCAGUGACGGAGACGGUAAAAUUCUUAUUAAAAACAAGGUAGUAAAUAAGGUAAAAAUAUAAGAGUCGGGAUAUGAUAAUUCUCCCCUCCUUAUAAAAAUUUCGUCCUCGAAAUUUGCAUACCUGUCAUCCGAAGAGAUAGGGAUACUGCUGCAUCAUUUGCUGCUCUGAUUCCCAAGUAGCUUCUUCUACUUGAUGACUUCUCCAAAGCACCUUGACAAGUGAGAUUGUCUUAUUCCUAAGCACUUGCUCCUUUCGGUCGAGAAUCUGAACCGGUUCCUCUUCAUAUGUCAAAUCUCUCGUCAAACUGAUCGGCUGCUCUUGCAGCACAUGAGAAGGAUCGGCAAUAUACUUGCAAAGCAUGGAUACAUGAAACACAUUAUGUAUCCUAGCUAACUCUGGAGGCAAAAGUAGCCGAUAAGCAAGUGAGCCAACUCGCUCUAUGAUCACAUAAGGGCCAAUAUACCUCAGACUAAGCUUCCCACGCUUACCGAAACGCACAACCCCUUUCCAAGGAGAUAAUUUCAGGAACACCCAAUCACCCACUUGAAAUUCAAGAUCUCUCCUACGGACAUCUGCAUAACUCUUCUGCCUACUUUGAGCGGUCUUGAGUCUAUCUCUAACCACUUUAAUCUUCUCAUUCGUAACAUGGAUUAAUUCUGGGCCACAGAGCUCUUUUUCCCCCACUUCAUUUCAACACAAAGGCGUGCGACACAGCCUCCCAUAAAGACCCUCAAAGGGAGCCAUACCAAUGCUAGAAUGAAAGAUAUUAUUAUAGGCAAAUUCCAUCAAAGAUAGGUUUUUAUCCCAACUUCCUCUGAACUGCAAGACACAAGCCCUCAACAUAUCCUCCAACGUCAGAAUUGUCCUCUCGGACUGCCCAUCAGUCUGAGGAUGAAAAGCAGUGCUGAAGAGUAAUUGGGUACCUAAAGCUGCCUGAAGAGCUCCCCAGAAUUUAGAAGCAAAUCGAGGAUCCCGAUCUGACACUAUUGAUUCAGGAACACCAUGAAGCCUCACAAUUUCAUUCACAUAAAGCUCCGCCAAUUUAUCCAAUUUAUACUUCUUUCCCACUGGCAAGAAAUGUGCAGACUUGGUGAGUCGAUCCACAAUCACCCAAAUACCGUCAUGCCCUUUACGGGUACGAGGUAAACUGAAAACGAAAUCCAUGGUGAUGUGGUCCCACUUCCACACUGGAAUAGGCAACGGCUCAAGCAAUCCAGAAGGCUUCUGCCUUUCAGCUUUUACUUGCUGACAAACCAGACAUCUACUCACAUAAGCUGCAAUUUCCCUCUUCAUGUUUGGCCACCAAUAAUAAUUCUUCAAAAUCCGAUACAUUUUUGUGCUACCCGGAUGAGCAGCAUAUGCAGAGCUAUGAGCUUCCUCCAUAAUCUCAUUCUUCAACUCUUCAUUUCUUUUUGGAACUACAUUAGCCGAUUCUUAAACAUAGAGUCCCAUCUCUUCUAACUGAAAAAUGAUCGGCAGCGGCUCCAUUCGAAGCUCUUUCCAUUCAAUCAAACUAUGGAAGGAUCAUUAUACUGUGCUUCCCGCACUCUAUCAACCAAAACUGGCCUCACAUGAAAACUGGCUAUCAAAGCACCAACCUCAUCUACUGAUAAAUCCACUCCUGUAGCUUGCAACUCACAAAGAAGCGGAACACGAACCAUCUUUAUAUGAGAUAAAGAUAUAGAGGGAUUUCGACUAAGAGCAUCCGCUACCACAUUAGCUUUUCCAGGGUGAUACUCAAUAGUGCAAUCAUAAUCAUUGAUUAACUCCAUCCACCUUCUCUGUCCCAUAUUUAGCUCUCUUUGAGUGAAUACAUACCGAAGACUCUUGUGAUCGGUAAAUAUCUGACACUUGCCUCCAUAAAGAUAGUGUUUCCACAACUUGAGAGCAAAAACUACCGCUGCAAGCUCCAGAUCAUGAGUAGGAUAAUUCCCCUCAUGCGGCUUUAAUUGCCUAGAAGCGUAGGCAAUAACUCGUCCAUGCUGCAUCAAUACUCCACCUAGACCAUGUCUAGAAGCAUCACAAUAGAUCACAUACUCUCCACUAUCAUCCGGAAGUGCCAAAACAGGAGCACUUGUUAAGCAAUUCUUCAAUUCUUGGAAACUUUGCUCACAUUGAUCUGACCAUUCAAACUUAACCCUCUUCCUGGUCAAUCUUGUGAGAGGAGCAACAAUCUUUGAAAAAUCUUUCACAAAGCGCCGAUAAUAACCUACUAAUCCCAAGAAACUACGAAUCUCCAUCACAGUGGUGGGUCUUCUCCAAUUCGACACUGCUUUCACCUUUUGGGGAUCCCCACUAACUCCUUCUACCGAAAUCACAUGACCCAAAAACCCCUCUUUAUCUAGCCAAAACUCACACUUGCUAAACUUAGCAAAUAACUGCGACUUUUCCAAAGUCCGUAAUAUUAUUCUUAGAUGCUUGGCAUGCUCCUUCUCACUUCUUGAGUAAACCAAUAUGUCAUCUAUGAAUACGAUCACGAAACGAUCAAGAUAUGGACUAAACACCCUAUUCAUGAGAUCCAUGAACGCCACGGGUGCAUUAGUAAGUCCAAAUAGCAUCACCAUAAACUCAUAAUGACCAUAUCGUGACCGAAAAGCAGUCUUGGCUAUGUCCCCCUCUCGGAUCCGCAACUGAUGAUAACCCGAUCUCAAAUCAAUNNNNNNNNNNNNNNNNNNNNUUAGAGAAAACAGAGGCACCCGUCAACUGAUCAAAUAAAUCAUCGAUCCGAGGCAACGGAUAUUUAUUCUUCACUGUGACCUGAUUCAACUUCCUAUAAUCAAUGCAUAGUCUCAUGGUGCCGUCUUUCUUCUUAACAAACAACACCGGAGCACCCCAUGGAGACAUGCUAGGCCGAAUAAAACCCUUAUGUACCAACUUCUGCAAUUGAGUCUUCAACUCUUUCAAUUCCGCUGGAGCCAUUUUGUAAGGUGCCUGAGAGAUAGAUAUAGUUCCAGGAAGUAAUUCUAUAGAGAAGUCUAUCUCCCUUGCAGGAGGCAAACCAGGCAACUCCUCAGGAAAAACAUCCGGAAACUCCCUUACUACCGGAAUAUCUUCUAAUCCCACAACUCCCAUAAUUGUAUCCACGACAUGAGCUAAAUAUGCCUGACAGCCUUUACUCAACAAUUUCCUUGUAGCAACAGCGGAAAUUAUGCAACUAGAAAUAACAUCUCUUUCCCCUUGGAAAGCAACCUCAAAACCAUCUGGACUUCGAAGCACCACUACUUUUUGAAAACAAUCUACCAUAGCUCUAUAUGCUUCCAAAAAGUCCAUUCCCAAGAUCACAUCAAACUCCACUAUAUCUAAAGGAAUUAAAUCAGCCUCAAAAUUAACUCCUUCCACUAAAACUUCACAACCACUAAAUACCCAAUUUAUUCUCAUCACCUCACCGGAGGGUAGAGACACAUGCCACUCGCCUGGAAGAGACGAUGAUAGCACAUUGGCAUGGAGAGCGAAUCUACUAGACAUGAAUGAAUGCGUGGCUCCUGGAUCAAUUAAAGUAAAAGCAGGCUGACCGAAAAUUAAUAACGUACCAAUGAUGACAUCUGGAGAAGUACGACCCUCCUGCUGGGUCAUAGUAUGUAGUCUAGCGCGAGUCAUGGGACGUCUAUGCUGACCACCACCCCGCUGAGAGCCACCUCUGACCGAUGCACUGCCCUGGGCACCACUACUGGAGCCUCCAGCUGAAGACUGACCAACUGGCUGAGUAGGGGUGGGGGUGGUCCUCUGAGCCAACAAUGGGCAAUCUCUCCUGAAGUUGUCUUGACCACCACACUCAAAGCACCCAGAAAACUGCUGCUACCCAUAAGAAAAAGUCUAGCUACCGGAUGACCCACCAUGGAAAUUACCACCAGAACCAUACUGCCCAGACUGCUGCCUACCCAAAUGACUCCGAGAAGGUCUCCUGAAACAUCCUCUAGUCCUGUUUCGAGCACCAGAGCUCGAUCCCCCACUACUGCCACUACCAGCAGAAGACCCAGAAGCGGAUGAUGUAGCAGCCUUCUUAGAUGGACCUUGACUAGGGCCACCGUAAUCACGAGGCCGAACACCAUAUGUCCCCCUAAACUCAAUGGCCAUGGCUGCACCAACUGCAUCCUCAAAAGUCGGGUAAAUUACCCAUGUCAUCUUGUCCGCAUACACUCCACCAAGUACCCCAAUGAACAUCUCAAUCCUGGUCCUCUCAUCAGAAACCAGAUAUGACACAUGGUAGCUCAGGGAAGUGAAUCUUUCCUGAAACUCUAAGAUACCCUCAUCGUCCCUCUUUGACAUAUGCAGGAAAUCCGACUGAAUUCUGCUGCGGUGGGCAUGAUUGAAAUACUGCCCCAAGAAGAGAGUCUUAAACUACUCCCACGACAUAUUCAGCGCAUCCUCAACAUUCCUGUUGGCAAGUGACCACCAGUGAUGUGCUGAAUCAUCCAGAAAAGUCACUGCUAUCUUCACCUUUCUUUCUUCUGGCAGCUCAGUGCUCGCAAAAGCCUUUUCCAUCUUAUCCACCUAAUUGUGAGCAUCAAGAGGUCCCUUGGCACCCUUGAACUCUCUGGCUCCAGCAUAAAAAACUUCUCUCCUUUUCACAGUAGGAGGGCGUGGAGCUCGAUCCAUGACAUCCCUUAGCAUAUUUCCAAUAUCAUCAACCAGUCCCCUGACCUCAUUGCCCUCAUCGGCAUUGGUUGAAGUGGCCACACGGGGUUGCCGUGGGCGCCUAGGAGGCAUAGUACCUGAGAAAGAAGAAAUUUAGUAGUCCAUAAACAAGACUAACACAACAAUCACACAUACCCAAUAACACAUAGCAUCAAAAGCAUAAAAUGCCAAUGAAUCCGCCGCGGUCUGAUCAUCACUCUAUAGACACUACGUGCUACUUAGGCAAAUAUGAUAGUGACAAGGAAGCAGGAAAAGGAAACCUAAAGCUCUGAUACCAACUGACACGACCCACCCCAAAUUUCACCCUGAAACCCGAAGUCGUGCGGGGACCACCUCCAAGAAAAAUUUACUGAAAAGAUUGAUAAAAUCUCCCUUGAAAAUGGACAACCCUAACUCGAAAAUUCCAAAUUACACUCUUAAUACAACACGUCCAAACAUCACAUAAUUAACCUUCAGAAAUUCUAAACAUAAUAUACAAUAAUCUCAAAGUAUUCAGAGCUACUAGACACUAGCGGAAGCAAGAAAACACGAGUAGGUUAAACAUGUAAUCUACUGAUGAAAACUGGCGGAAAUCCGGGUGACUAUGCCUCGCCUCCUACUAGAUCCAACUCGAACUCUGCAGACUGGGCAAUUUAAAACGAAGAGCCCAAGGGAAAACAUGUGGAACAGUUAGAGUGAGUGGACAAAAACUAAAUUAAAUAAAAAUAUUUCUUUAUGCUUUCCCAAUUUAAUUUCCAAAUAAAAUAAUACUGCAUGCAAUCGCUCAAAAGCGCUCAACUCAAAAACUGACAACUUCACGACUAGCACCGGCUAGUCUCCAAAACUUAAUAAAAUACAGCCUCUCAGGCUAAAUUAUAUAUAAACAUAUAUAAGUGUAUGUAUUUACACUCGUCAGACUCCUUGUAUGAAUUCUAAGAACAAAUUAGAAAAAUAGAAAUUCAUACAAGGCUACUACGCUUGCGUCUAACGCUCACGUCACACCAUAAUGGAAUUGUACCUCAGUAUGGCGGAAAAAGCACGAGUGUAUAUACGUGUGGACUCCCUAUAUGAAAACCUAAAUAAACCAAAUAAGAAAAUAGUUUUCAUAUAGGGCUACUACGCUUGUGUCUAACACUCACGUCACACCAUAAUGGUAUUUUACCUCAUUAUGGCAGAUCAAACACGUAUGGCUAGCUAGCAUUUACAUAUACAUACUAUCAUCAUAAACAUCCAAUAAACAUAUCCACCGAAAAUCUCAUUUUCGGGAUCUUUCCAAAGGAGGAAAAUUGCCAAAUAUCCGAGAAAUAAAUAAAUCUCAUGAAAAGAAAUAAAUAAUCAACAUAUAAUUCAUCGCAUGCUUUUCAAUUAAAAUAGAGGUCCACUCACAAAUUAGGCCUAAGCCUGAUGACGCUCCGACGCUUCCUCUGCUCGGGCCUCCUCUCGUCCUGUUCCAAAUAUAUAAUUAAUUUCCCACCAAAAAUCCAAUAAUUAAACAAAAUGGGCAAAAUUAAACGUGAGCCUCCAACACACUCAUCAUUGCCCAAACCAAAUUCGUCAUUCUUAACUCAAUACAGCUCAAACUUCGGCGAACAUACCGGCAGCUGUAAAAACAACUUCCCACAGAAUACGACUUAAAUCCUACGGCCGGAUUCUACAUUAAUUAACCGCCAAAAAUACCAAACUUCGAAAAUUCAUAAACCUAUCCAAAACUCAUCCAAAAAUUCCAUAACUCACUUCAAUAAACUCCCCUUAAUAUUCCUAAUCUAAAAACAUUAAAAUCUCCCAAACAGCUCCGGUAGCGGCGGCCGGAGGCCGAUUCCGGCGACCUCCAAUUCCUAUGAAAUUUUAACAGCAUCUUCCUCUCAUCAUGCUCUACAACUUUCCUAACUAGCACAAACCCAAAAUCCAAGCCUAGCUAUGUCAAUCGAACAAAAACAUCAAAAACGCCCUAGAGCUUCCACCUCAAAUUGCUCCUUACCUGAAGCAAACCGGAGUGAGUCCUUUUAGGGCAAGGCAGCUGGGUUAGAGACCUACAAAACCGUACCAAGCUUGCCCGGAUUGGUGGCCGGAGGAGGGAUUUCCGACGAAAAGCUUCCCGGCGUUUCCGGUGCGUUUUCUCUUCUUCCGGCGGGCUAACGGCUCGGGGGCUAGGCCGGGGAGGGAGAGGAGGUGAUGGGGGUCCGAACUGGGGUGGAGUGGUGGCUGGUGGCUGGCCGAACGGCGGCAGCUGGCAGCUGGAAGUUUCCGGCGAAGGGAGAGAGAGCACGGGAGGGAGAAGGAAGAGAAAAGAGAGAAGAAGAGAAAGAGAGGAAAUGGGUUGGGCCUCUCCAACCGGUCCAACUCCACUAAUAUACCUAACUCCCACAAAUAAAACACCCCGAAAAAAAAUUACCUUUUACUAACUAAAAUUUACCAUUUUUACCGUCGCCAUAUUUUCCUCCUACGAAUAAUCCUCCGCCCAUAAUCGUCCCCGAAACCCCUCUAAGGACCAAUUAAACUAUUAACUCAAUGACGGAGAUGGUAAAAUUCUUAUUAUAAACAAGCUAGUAAAUAAGGUAAAAAUAUAAGAGUCGGGAUGUGACAGGAGCAGUCGGCGUUUCCGGUGGUUUUCUUCUCUCCGGCGGCGCUACCAGCUCGGACACUAGGCCGGGAAGAGAGAAGAGGUGGCAGGGCUCCAAACUGGGCUGGAGCGGCGGCCGGUUGCUGGCCGGAUGGCGGCAGGCGAUGGUCGGAAGUCGGACGGAGAGAUAAGCUCUGGGGGAGAGGGAGAGAGAAGAGAAAGAGGAGGAAAAAGAAGGAAGAAAAAAAAUGGGCCACUCCUCUAACCCAGUCCAACACCUUAAACAAAACCCCAACUCCCAAAAAUUAACACCUCAGAAUAAUACCCAAAUAAAAAUUACCUUUUACCAGCUAAAAUUUACUAUUUUUACCGUCGUCAAAUUUUUCUCUUACGAAUAGUUCCUCCGAAAUAAUCGUCCAUCAAAACCCCUCUAGGGACUAUUUAAACUAUAAACUCAUUGACAAAGACGGUAAAACUCUUAUUAUUACCAAGCUAGUAAAUAAGUUAAGAAUUUAAGGGUCGGGAUGUGACAGUUUUCCUAAUAAAAUUGGACUCUGAAUUGUAUCAUGAAUCUCAAAUUAGGGAACUUGAAUUGCUUGGGUGCAAGCUGGGACUUUGCUUUCGGAAUCAAACUGCUAUUGUUUGAUUUGGGUGCUUAUGUGUUUGGAGUUGCUUGCUUAUGCCGGUUGCUAUGACAUGAGGUAGGGAAAACAAACUUUUCUUUAUAGCUUUGAUUCUAGUUUCAUGUGUAUUUGGUGUGAUUGUGUUGGAAUGUCUUCUCUGCUAUUUUUCCUUGAUUGAAACUGUCAAGCAUACAUAGCUUGUCGAAUAGAAAUCUUGUUGAGUGUCAUUGUUACUCUGAUUCAAGGUAAUAUGUACCCUUGUCUUAUAUUUAAUAUUGAAAUGAUAGCCUUGAGUAUUUUGGCUGGUAUUCUUUGAAGAAGUUCACAUUGGACAAGGUCCUUCUCGUUCCCAACUCUCUUCUUAUUAUGUUAGUUGCAGCCGUGGCUUGUAUCUUGUUAUACCAUCUAAAGUGGUUUUAUCUGUGUCUACUUUGUCUUAUGUUACUGCUUUCUUGGCUUCUCCUUUGAGUCUAUUACUUAGUUUAGUCCUGCUCUCUGUUAAUGCUCAUGAACUCACUGUACAAAGCUGCUCAAGUUAGUGUCUUUACCCAUUGAUAUUUAUAUUCUUGAGGCCGAUACAAAUCUGAUUCUUGCCCUGUUCUUUAUAAUUUAAAAGGAAGUUUUUAUACAUGGUUUUACUUGAACCAAAAAUUCAAGGCUUUGCUUAUUUUCACUGAUAUGACCUCUGUAAGGGAAUAGAUAAAUGAGAUAACUAGAUUUCUUGCUCUUAGCUAUUCUACUUGUUUGUUUUAUUCUUGGUGCCCGCUACCCUAUAAUUUCUGAAAUUAAUCAAGUACGACUUUUGAAACUGAAGUAUGUCUUCUCACAAUUAUCUGAUUUGUAGCAAAAAGACGUCGUACAUGUGUUAUAUACUUACCUAUACAUACGUUCUUGGUCUUUUGACCUCAAAGUGAAAUUAGCUUUUGGCCUAUUUCAUGUCCAGGCUUACCUAUCAAAUGUUGGUGUUUAAAAUAUACCACUUUUACCUGGUUUUCGACCUAUGAUGCGGCUCCUUAUUUAACGUAUUUUGAAAUAGUCUCAUACUCAUUACCUGGACUUCAUAACCAUAAGUACUGUACAGUUUCUAUGUUAUAUAUCUUAAGAUGCAGCAAAGUGAUUUAUGCAUCCUUUCAAAACCAAAGGUAUAUCUUGUGUACUUCUGGCCAUAUGAAACCAUGAAUUCCAAGUCAAUUUGUACAUGGUUGUACUUGAGUUUAUUCCUACCACUUGAUUGCAAUUUGAAAGUGAUCGUACCUCAUUGUCAUUAUUCUUAGAAAGCUACUUUUGUUCAUAGAAUGAUCCAAUGCUUUGUAUUAUGAGUUGGAGUAUGCGCUUAUUACUAGCUCAUUGUUCGUUGAGGUCUUCUCCAUCAGUCAUGGUCUUUGUUGUUGAUUACUCCAACAGUUUGAAAACCCAAGUCUUUGCUGCUGGCUUUGAAAUCCAUGUAUUGAUGCUUAUCUCAUAACCAGUUUGCUAUUGAAAGUUGAUUCCUCUGUUAUGCCUGUUCAAAUUUACUUGGAAAUAAGCUCCCAUUCUUUGAUAAUUUCCUCUUGUCAUCUGUGAGUUUAUGAACUCAAGUUCUCUACCUCAUUGUCAUUAGUUCUAAACUCGUGUACCUAUUGCUUUGAUCUUCACCUAAAGAUCUGCUCUGUUCAGAUUCCUUUCUAUUGAAAGAACAGAGGUCCAUGUUACAGUACUAUUUCUGGGCAGUGUCAUAUGAUAUUCUGAAAAGGGAUUUCAAGUUUGUUUCUGAAAUCCUUGUUUGAUCAGUUGGUUUGGAAAAUGAAACUUCCUGGAAAGAAAUGAUUGUAUUUCAAAUUUUCUGUUCGGUUAGGCCCGGUGAAUUAUGUGAGUGGGGAUUGUGCCUCCCUUGGGUUGUUUAACCCUAAACCUGAUCAGGGUACCGCAUGUGCGGGGUUUGCUCGGUGGUAUAGCUGGGCGAUGGGCUCUAACCGGCAUCUUAAGGAUUUGUUGAAAUUCGAGUGAAAGAAAGUUCUAUGAGCUUCAUGAGUUUUUCUCAUCAACACCUUUGUUGGUUCAUGAUUAUUCUUAUUUGUUGACCUGGUUGUCAGGUUAUCCUUAUGAUUAGCUUUCUUCUACCUCGUAUGUGUAUAUUGACUGCUGAUGCUUGUUAUACUUGGUAAAGUGUGAUAUCUGAAAUUCCAAUGUUAUGUUUGAGUCGAGUUCAUUUAUUCUACUUCCAGACUUCUGAUUUUCUCUCUCUCACUAGUGUAGCAGCAAUUAUUGGGGUUAAUCUCAUUUCAUUGGUUAUAUCUCUUAAGCUUCAUGUAUGUUCCUACCUUUCAUUUCCAAGUGCAUAUUGAAUUAGAGUCUUUGUUAUAAAGAUUAUUUUGGUCGUACCUACUGAGCUUGUGAAGCUCAUUUCUUAUAUUCUUAUUGUUUUCAGGGAGUCUAUUAGUGGACAAGAUAAUGAUAUUCUGGAGUUUCUUAAGCUUAAGUAUGUUUGUUUCUUACUUUGGGUUGGUGUUGCUGCUAUGGUGUUGUUGGAUGUGUUAUGUUUAAAGGAUUGGAAUAGUUGUCAAGCUCUUAAGCAAUAACCUGGUAUGGUUAUGAUACAAAAUGUGAUGUUUCUUCUAAAAAGUAUCUUCCAUGUUUGUACAAAAUGUAAAGUUGUAUUCAGCCUUCCUCUUAUCAGAUUUAAUUAUUGCUGUGUACUUUUAAAAGGAUUCUACAUUUAUCCAUUGCUUCUGUACAGUUUUACAAUCUUUGGAAAAGAGUGUAGUUUUAUUUCAUGGGAUGUUUAUUGCUCAAGUUCAUGCUUAAUGUUGUUAUUAGAGUGAUUCUUCAGGCAAAUAUUUUGAAUCAGUUGGUUUUAACAAAAUGGUUAUUCCUUCAAAGUUUUAGUGACUAUUUUCGGGUUUUUAUAAAAGUUCCUCAUUCCAAAAGUUUGUUUUAAAAAGAAAUAAUAAUAAUUUCACCGAUCUUUCUUUCGAUUUAUUCCAUCACAUUAGUCAUACCUUGAGGUCAGGGUGUGGCAGGGAGUGUGAUGUUUAGUGGUAGUAGACAGUCAACCUUUUCGCUGGGCUUUUGAUUUGAAUAAAGUUUUGAACUUGGUUGUAAAGGAGGGUUUUAGUUAAUGAUUCUAAUUGCUUGAGAUGCAGGGAUGCACUUGAUGCAUUGGGGUUGGUUCGUUACUGCUACAGGCGCAUGCUUAUGACUCAUGUUAAUCUCAUUGAGAAGCUUCUCAACUACAACAGUAAGUUUUAACUCUUUUUCUAGCUGUCUUUCUCCUGCACAUACACGCAUAGAGUUCCCACAGGUGUAAUCUGUCCUGAGUGUGGCUGAUUUGUUUAUUGGAACUGAGAUUGAAUCUUUGUUACAGCUUUGGAGAAGUCAGAUUUAGUGUCCUGAGUAAUACUUAUGGGAUACUCAUCAGAAUUGGGAGUUGGCUUGAGUUUUUAUCGAAAUGUGACGUUUCUUGUUAGAUUGGAUGAUUCUCUUACUCAUGUGUUGUUUUGUUGAAUGCAAAUAUGGCUUUAUUUUGUUGGAUUUUUAUUUCUUUUUAUCAAUUGGGAUAUAAAUUUUAGCUUUUUAAAACUUCAAUUGAGUUUCAUAUUAGCUUCUACUUGUUGAAAUGUAGAAGGAACAAAGUGAAAAUCUAGAAGCAAUAACAAGGUCUAUUGUAUGGGUACAUGCUUAUGAAACAAAGAAGAAGAAGGGCUCAGAUGAAGUAGUUGAGGAUCAUGAAAUAGUGGUUAGUAUACUCUUCUUGUCGUGUUUGCAGAUAUCAUGUCAAUUUAUCAAAGUUGCAUGAGAUUAACAUUAGUCUUUUUUAGAAACAAGUGAAAUAAUAUCAUGCAGAGGAACAACCUUCACAACCUUGUUCUUUAAAACACAAUGUUGUAGCAAAAGUUCUAGGUCCGGAUCCACGAGGAAGGGUAAGAGGGUUAGGAUUUGGAGAAGUUCCUUCAAGGGUAGAAUAUCAAACUACUGUUGGAAACAAAGUUGCUAAAUUAGAGAAUGCUUUGUCCGCUCAAGCACAAGAGAUGCUUUCUCAAUCGCAAGAGAUUGAACGAUUAAAAGAAGUGUUUAACACUCUUUUAGCUCGAUCAGAGAAAGAAGGGGAUAACUAUGUAAGUUAGUUAGAAUUAUUAACUUUUGGCAGAUAACUCAACUAGGUUACUGAUUUCCUGAACUUUAAAAUGACAGGGUAGUACCAGUGUUCAGCAUUCUGCUAAUAAGGUUGCACAAUAGAAAGAGAAUGCGAAUCAAAGUGUAACCCAAAGCAAGCAAAACAGUCCAAGUGUUCAGAGAUCUGAAAUUCGAAGUCCAAAGAGAAAGCAGAGUAACCAAAGAAAAACUUCACGUCUUCAACACUCUACUGAUCAUGGGAUGCAAAGUAAAGACAAGGAAGGUACAAGGGCCAAAAGUACAAAGGAUGAUCAAAAUAGAAUUGAAUUGUUAAGUUGGUUUGAGAUGAGCAAAGGUGUUGUUGCAAUUGCAAAACUUGAUUCCAAAGAUCCAAAUGCUAUGGUUCAUCAUAUGCCCUUUGGUCCUGAAUGCUGGAAAGUUUGGGUGCUUGAUGUUUUUGAUGAUAUAGCUUUAUAUCGACCAACCAGGGAGUUUGGAACACUGAGCGAGGCUACAGGAAGUACAAUUGCCUAGCCUAUCCAAUACAUCAGACAAAUUUAAUCUAUUAACAAGAUAUAGCAGGUAACAUACUCUUAACAUAUACUUCUUGCAAUAUUUGUUUUCAGUAUUGUACUCUAUUCAUUCAUUAAAUUAAACUCAGUAUAUAUUCAUCGAGAUUCUAUGUUUUGGUUUGUUCUUGUAGAUAGUGCAACCACUCAAUUUGCUUAUAAAUUAAUUACUUUGGCGUAGUUGUAGAUUUGAUAGGUUAUAUGAGGACUGCCACAUUCUUGUCAGCUGGAUACCUAAACUCAAUUUUACAUGUGCUAGGAGACCAUAACUCAUCAUAUUUGGAGAUCUAAACUGAACUCAUAUUUUCUUUUUUCUUGAGUAUUGCCUUAUAUAUGUACGCAAUUAUUUGGAUUCUUAUGAUUCUUAGAUCAACCAAUGUGUAAUAUGUAUAUUUUCAAACUUGUUUCUAGCAGGUAAUGUGAAGUUUUGAGGUGAAUGAAGAUUAAUGCUUAUGUUGCUACUGGUGGGACAUUUUGCAGUUGGAUAAUGGAGUUUGAAAGCUUCCAAGUACUAUGAAUUGUAAUGUUAUUUUUUGAUGGAAUUUUUAGGGGCAUAUAUGCAGUUGUUAUGUGUUGAGAUACAUAAUGAAUAUCCAAAUUGUUCAGAUAUGAAUGUGUAUAUAUAUAUAUAUGAUGUUAGUUCACCUUUGCUAGCUUUAAAUUAGAUUGUUGUUCUUGUAUAAGGUUUUGAAGUUAGUUAUUGUUAACUCUGAUUUGAGUAGCCAAUGGAAUGUAGUACCAUGAAUUUGGAAUAUGAUCAGUAAAUCAUAUAUAAUUGUGGAAACAAUAAAUGCAAAAAGCAACAUGCAGAGCAAAUAGGUUAUUACGGCAUACUUGUGCGCCGUAAAUGUCUUUAAACUAAUACUCUUUUACGGCACGCUAGAGCGCCGUGAAAACAUUCUAAUCCAAGUCUUUGACAGCAUUCUUUUGGAUCAUAUACGGCGCACAAAUAUGCUCAUUUGGAUGUUAUAACGUUGGAGGGAACAUGUCACACCCCGGUCCCGGCGUCAGUGGGUUUUAAGCACCGGACGCCGAUCCUGAAGCGUGAACGAGUGUUACAAAGCGGAAUAAAACAAAAACACUGUCUUCUAGGCUCGUCGGCUACCCUUUCCCGGCUCGAUCAAAUCUAAGUACUUCUCUGCAAAAAAUAUUAGAGAUGGGUGGGUGAGCAUAACCACGCGCUCAGUGAGUAGACCAAUGUAAUAUGCCCGCAAAGCCAUGUCAUUUUACAUACGCUACAAAAUACGUAUAUCGUAUACACAUCACUUCAAGCAAUUCAUCACAUCGCACAAUCCCUUUUUAUUGGAUAUCCUUCAAUUUAGUGAUCCCCAUGGGAACUUAAUGACCUUCAAGUCCAAUACCUCCAUGUGUCACAUCCUUACUUCGGCAUAACCAAUCAAGAAGUUCACAUGUUUUAUGACCAGUCAAACAAUGGAUCCAACACAAAAUAAUAUAUAAAACUCCAUAUAUUUCGCAAAUCGACAUGCUUCACUAUAAAAAUAGAGAGAUAUUUUGUAAAUAGAUCAAAAUCAUGCUUUUUGAAUAUUUGAUAACAAACAAGAAUAUUUAAAACAUAUUACACAAAUCCACUCACCUCGUCAAUACGAAUCCCUACCAAAAACGUCGAGUAAACUGAGCCUCCUAAAACAAGCCAUCUAGAAUCACCGUUGGAUCUAGCUCAAACCUCUAGGGAAGAAAGAGGACAUCGAGACGAACUCGUAGCACUUCACGGAUUCGAAAUCAGAGUUACAGAUCAAAAGUUAUGAUCCGCUAAAGUUUAGUCACAAAAUUCUAGAGAGAGAAAAUUUAGGAGAGAGAGAGAGAAUCUCUCGAAAAAACUACAGAAUGAGAGAAGAAAUGGUGCUGCUCCUCUCUAUAUAUAGCUUCACAAUUGACACGUGUCAACAAAUGAUUGGUCUAUUUGUUGUCACGUGUCAAACCCACACAAUACCUCUCCACUUGAUGACACAUGGGAGGUGACUAAUUGCAGAUGAUGACAUCAUCAGCCCACAUGGGUGACGUCAUCGUCAGCUGUUAUCUUUUUAAAAUGCCACGUGUCAGCUUCUUGGCCAAUUCGAGUUCAACACGUCAUCGUCUCUAUCUUCUUCCGAGAAACUUCGAAAAAUCGUUAAAAAUAGCUCGGAAGUCUGAAAAAUUCACCGAAAAAUACGACGAACUCGUGGCAACAUCUAGUUUCUAAUUCUAAGAAGAAAAAUGAAUUUUGAGAAAUUUCAAAAAUUCGGAAUGUUACAAUCUACCCUCCUAACAAGAAUUUCGUCCCCGAAAUUCAACACACCUCCAAAAACUCCAAAAACACUUAUGGUUCUACGCUAAGAUGCUAGAAUCCUAAUCUACCACAGAUCCUGGGGUUCUAAUCCCUAGUUUGCUCUGAUACCAUUCUCACACCCCAGUCCCGGCGUCGGUGGGUUUUAAGCACCGAACGCCGACUCGAGGCGUGAACGAGUGUUACAAAGCGGAAUAAAACAAAAAACACUAUCUUCUAGGCUCGUCGGCUACCCUUUCCCGGCUCGAUCAAAUCUAAGUACUUCUCUGCAAAAAAUAUUAGAGAUGGGUGGGUGAGCAUAACCACGCGCUCAGUGAGUAGACCAAUGUAAUAUGCCCGCAAAGCCAUGUCAUUUUACACACGCUACAAAAUACGUAUAUCGUAUACACAUCACUUCAAGCAAUUCAUCACAUCGCACAAUCCUUUCUUAUUGGAUAUCCUUCAAUUUAGUGAUCCCCAUGGGAACCUAAUGACCUUCAAGUCCUAUACCUCCAUGUGUCACAUCGUUACUUCGGCAUAACCAAUCAAGAAGUUCACAUGUUUCAUGACUAGUCAAACAAUGGAUCCAACACAAAAUAAUAUAUAAAAAUGGAGAGAUAUUUCGUAAAUAGAUCAAAAUCAUGCUUUUCGAAUAUUUUGAUAACAAAUAAGAAUAUUUAAAACAUAUUACACAAAUCCACUCACCUCGUCAAUACAAAUCCCCACCAAGAACGUCGAUUGUAAACCGAGCCUCCUAAAACGAGCCAUCUAGAAUCACUAUUGGAUCUAGCUCAAACCUCUAGGAUAGAAAGAGGACAUCGAGACGAACCCGUAGCACUUCACAGAUUCGAAAUCGGAGUUACAGAUCAAUAGUUAUGAUCCGCCGAAGUUUAGUCGCAAAAUUCUAGAGAGAAAAUUUAGGGGAGAGAGAGAGAGAGAAUCUCUACGGAAAAACUACAGAAUGAGAGAAGAAAUAGUGCUGCUCCUCUCUAUAUAUAGCUUCACAAUUGACACUUGUCAACAAAUGAUUGGUCCAUUUGUUGUCACGUGUCAAACCCACACAAUACCUUUCCACUUGACGACAUAUGGGAGGUGACUAAUUGCAAAUGAUGACAUCAUCAGCCCACAUGGGUGACGUUAUCGUCAGCUGUUUUCUUUUCAAAAUGCCACGUGUUAGCUUAUUGGCCAAUCCGAGUUCGACACGUCAUCGUCUCUAUCUUCUUCCGAGAAACUUUGAAAAAUUCACCGAAAAAUACGGCGAACUCGUGGCGACAUCUAGUUUCUAAUUCUAAGAAGAAAAAUGAAUUUUGAGAAAUUUCAAAAAUUCGGAAUGUUACAGAUCAGUUUUACAGCGUGUAUUUAUCUAUUUUUAUGGCUCGCAUUGGCGCGCCGUUAAUGUAAUGCGUCUUUUACGGCGUGCAUUGCUGGCCGUAAAAGCCUGUUUUUGGCGUAGUGGAAGACAUAGUUGAUAGGUUUUAGCUUACGGUGUCGGCAUCACUUGUCCAAGGACCUAUCUCUUUGUUAAUGCUGGAUUGCAUCUUUCCAUUGUUCUUACUACGCUAUCUAACAAAGACAUAGUUGAUAGGUUUUAGCUUGCGGUGUCGGCAUCACUUGCCCAAUGACUUAUCUCUUUGUUAAUGCUGGAUCGCAUCUUUCCAUUUGGCUAAUCAACUAAGUUGAUAUCCAUCAAUAAAGGGUGGUUCGAUAGUAGACUCAUUAUCCCACGUUCUCAUGUACACUAGUGUAAUACUUGUAGAGAUCUCUAUAUAGAUUGGAUUUGACAUUGAGGCGUCCCCCAACGAUAAUCACAAUUCAGACUUCAUGAGACCGAUUUGAGUAUCACUGAUCAAUGGAUCACGUUGUGCCAAGCUCGCUUUCUUCCUAGUGCGAGAAAGUAUCGAACCUAAGGGCCUCCUUCCUUUUUAGGGAGCCACACGGCCUUCUGACACCAAUUUUGCCACCAUAUGGUGUCAGCCUAUCACCAUCUAUGGUGAUGGCAUCAAGACCAACUCCUUUUGGUCGUGCUUGAUAGGACAUCAAUCCUUGCAGACAUAUUUGUAGCAUGUGAUCUCAUCACUUUAAAACUUUAAGCAUUUGGGAUUAAGAUGAGAUUUAGUGGGAACAAACCACGACAAUUCAUGACGUUCCACUUGAACACUUGUGUUCUUAUCUCCCCCUAACGGUGGGAAUAUUGUCUCACCAAAAUGAAUCCUACGGAGCUCAAGGAUUGCAAUUUCGUGUCAAUCCUCGUACACAGUCACGAGUUGUCACACCCUGACCUUAGAGUAUGACUAAAGUGGUGGAUUUUUGAAAAUAGAAAAUCUGUGGAAUUUUUUUUUUUUUUUUCUGGAAUUUAGAAAAUAUGAAUCUGCAUCCUUUUGUUUUAAAAGCAUUUGAAUUUGAACAAAAUAAUAACUAGUAUGUAAUGCAUAUGGUGAGCCAAAGAAUUUGGUUUAACAAUAAAACUGAAAGCUUGUAAUAUGUUCUGAGUGAAACAAAACCUAUACAAGGUUCAACAAAAGAAAAGGCUAACUGUACAAGGAUAUUUUCCUAUUGUAAAAGAGAGUACAUUUAACACCAAAGUGGACAUUUAGGAAUUUGAGUUUAACUUUAAAGAUCAAGUAGUUCAAGUCUAAAACAUAAACAGUUGCUGGAACUUAGUAAGAUAAAAUACUUCAUUUUUAUACAUGUGCGAAAUAUACAUUUUACUUACAAAAUAUCUCACCACUUAGCAUCAAAAUUUACAUCAAAUUUACCCAGAUCAGUGUGGACUUUCUACUUCAUACAACUAUCUUAACAAAAACCUCCAUUCCGAACAAAAUGCAUACUGAGCACAAACUAAUGAAAACCAUAGCACAUACUCAAUAAAGCCAAAAUAGAGGCACUUAAUCUACAAGUAAGCAAAACUUGAUCAUGAACUCUGAUUUAAGACAACUCUGGAAUGUCAGAAAUAUCACCAAACUUUUUUCCUGAAAACACAUGAAACAUAGGGAAAUGAGCUUCACAAGCUCAAUAGGUACAACAUAAUAAUCGUUAUAACUAAGAUUCUAAACCAGCAACUACAUCUGAAAUGUGAAGGAUGGUAGAGAUGCUUCAAAUGUACUUUUAAAUGAGAAUAAGAAUAUGGCUGCAAACAAAUUUGGAAUUAAGCUUGAGGAACAAAUGCCAACCGUUAACUGAAUCAAGCACAGAUGAUAACAUGAUAACAUAGAAUUAUUAGGCUGCAACUCACCAAGCAACUCAUAUCAAAUGAGCAGACAACUGAACAUGAAGGAAUCAAGGACAGAUAAUAACAAUCUAAAAUACUUUACUGCAAAUAGACCAAUCAAUUCUGAUCCAAAUCAAUAGAUAACUGAACAAAUGAAGGAUCAAGAGAUAGAUUACGACAUAUAAUCAAUUAUUUCAGAUCAACUAAGUAGACUAAUAAUGAACAGGAAAGGAAAAGUGAGCAAACUGAAAUUCGAGAUUUUCUCACUGGAUACUCAAACACAAGGGAAAGAUUUUCUUUAACUUCCUUUUCUCUUUUUCAAAGUCUAAAAUCUUUCCUUUCCUUUCCAAAACAUUUGUAAAACUCUUUUCCAUAAACCAAACUUCAGCGAAAUCCUUGGAAACCGGUUAGAGCCCACUGCCCAGCUAUACCACUGAGCAAACCCCGCACAUGCGGUACCCUAAUCAGGUUUAGGGUUAAACAACCCAAGGGAGGCACAAUCCCUACUCACACAAUUCACCGGGUCUAACUAAAUAAAACAAAUAAAACCAAAUCUGAUCUUUCCAUGAAACACUUUGCUUUUCCAAACCUAGUCAAUCUGUGACAACCCGGAAUUUUAUUAUGUAUAUAUUAUGUAUAUACCUAUUUACAAACUUGCUUAUAUAUAUAUAUAUAUAGGUAUGAUUGUUUUAAGUGUGUGUGUAUAUAUUUAGUGUUAUAUAUGCUGAAAAUUAAUAUAGUUAUUUAGUUUUUUUUUUAUUAAAAUUUAAUGAGUAGGGUUUUUAUCCAAGCCCAAUACCCAAAUACAAAGCCCAAGCCCAAACUUGAUAGCAAGGAAAAGAGAAGUGUUUGUCGUUCAGGCAAAACGAUGUCGUCCUCUUCUUCUUCAUCUCCUUCACCGCCUUCUGCUUCUUCUCCUCCGCCUUCCUUCCGACCUCUAAACUCGAAGUUUUAUCCUCUCUUCUUCACCGACUUCUUCUUUCUUCCGACCAGAUGUUUCCUAAUCCGAAACAUUGCCGCCAUAAAACCCAGAAACCGUCCUUGAAACGCCUAGCAGCCGACUUCAUUAAGCAGGAGAUGUCAAGAUUCUUGGAGACUAAGUUUCCAGAUGGAUAAGAAUUGGGUUGAAGUGCUCAAUUUGACUUCCUUGAGUCUUUCUUGGACUCCACGUUCUUCCCUCUUUCUAGACCCUAUAAAUAGAGGUUAGUAUUCAGAGUUUUCCAUAUGGUUUCCUUGAAUUCACUGAUAGAGAGAGAGAGAGAGAAGAGAAGAGAAAUUGGUGUUGUAGGAAAUUGGUAGAACUCAGGUUAGAUUCUCUUUAUGUUCAGACCAAUUAAUUGUGUUUAUAUGCUCUUAGUUUGUGAAUUUAGAAUUUGACAUCACUUUGGAAUCUUUGUAUGAUUGUUUAUUUGAUUGGAAUAGUUCCUAUUAAGAAUUGGUUUUGGUUUUGUUGCUGUUGAAUUCUGUGGCAAGUAGGAUUACUAAAUCCUUUGGUUUUGGUUAUCUUUGAUUUGAUUUCUUUGUUAGCCAAAUCAGUUCUUAUAUGUUAUUAAUAGCUAGAGAAUCAAGUAUAUGAUGUUGUUGUUAUUGUUGUUGUUGCUGUUGUUUGAAUUAGCUUAAAAUUUUGUUCAUGUAGUAGAUUUAUUCUUUUGUAAACAGAAUAGAAACUGAUGAAGAUGAUUAUCUUUAGUUCUGCAAGUUUGGGUGUCCUGAGUAAUUACAAUGUUGUUGUUCGAAUUAGAGAUUCUUGUUUUCUCUUACACAACAAGGGCUUAGAGUGACUAAGAAACCUAUAUGAGUAUUUAGACAUCGAUAGAAUUGAUUAGGAACCUUAGACUUUGCAUGAACUGAAGUGACAUUUGAAUGGAAAAGUUUUUGUAACUUGUUCAUUUAGUUAACUUUGAGCAACCAUAUCUUUGAAUUAAUCAUGCUUUUUAGAAAUCAUUUGCAUGUAUUGAAAGUUCAUAUUCUUAGCUUGAUAUCUGGGUAGUUUCAUGCAAGUUCAUUUAGAAUUCGUUAGUCAAGUUUGGAGCCGAAAACAUAGCUGAACAUUCUGCAAAUCAGCUUUCUUGUAUUUUGGAGUCAGUCACCUUGAUUUCUAAAAACCGUACAUUUAGGUUGGUUAUUUGAAGUUUGUUUCUUCAUAAAAGGUGUAGUAGACAUCUUAAAUAUUAUUUUAGAAUUUGAAUCACUUCAAAAGGAUUUCUUUAGGUUAAGAUAUGAUUUUUCAAAGUUCAGGGUCUGCAGUAAGAAAUUCUGCAGAUCAAUUUUCUGUGUUUUUGACCCAGCUGUAUUUUUACUAAACCCUGUGCAUUUCAGUUGAGUAUUUGAAGUUAUUAUCUUCAUAAAAGUUAUAGUACACAUGUUAAAUAUCAUUCCUGAAUUUGAAUCUCUUCAAAAGGAGUUUUGUAGAUUAAGUUAUGAUUUUUCAAAGUUAAGGUUCUGCAUCAGGAAAUUUCUGCAAAUCCGUUUUCCAAGUUUUGGACCAAGUGACCUUUCUAUUAAAACCUGUACAUUUUGGUUCAGUAUUUGCAGUUUGUGUUUUCUCAAAAGUUUUGGUAGACAUCUUAGUUAUCAUUUACUGAAAUCUCCUGAAAAUGAUUUAUGUACAUUAAGUUAUGAAUUUUCAAAGUUGAAGGUUAGCUUUAAAUGGUUUAUGUAUUUGUUACUAUUUUACUGUUUGUUCAUUUUGAUUUCAAUGGUUUCUUUCAUUCAAACUUGUUUAGAUUCACCACCAACUGAACACACACAUUCUCAACUUUCAAACAAAGCUUGUGACAUUAUUUUCCAAAUUUAUUUGAGAUACUUAUGCCAUUUUGAAAUUAGCUAUGUGUAACAGUUUUUCUUCAAAAUAAAUCUACAUCACAUUUUGCUUAGUUUUUUUAACACGUCAAAUGUUAUCUUAAUGGCCUGAGAUUUUAGGUAGUAUGUUUUUGAGACGUAUGCUUUAAAGUAAAGCAUGUUCUUAAAACAUAUGAGGUCACACCCAAUUUUCGAAGGAUAAUUUUCAAAAAUUUGGGCAGGAUAAAUCUAAAAAAUUUGGGCAUGAUAAAUCUAAAAAAAAAACACUCCCAAAACCUAUUCAACAACUUCCAACUAAAUUCAAAUGCUGGAAAUGUAAUGUCAACAAAACUCUUUAACUGAGGUAAACAUUAUCUCUCCUUAAUUACACCAACUUCAAAAAGUCCAGUAAAAUACAGUCGCUCGCAUGAGUUUAAUACUGUCUACCAGAAAUAAUAAAAUAAAGUGUACAACAUCUAAAAUCCUGUCACUAUGCCUCCACCUCAACCCUACUGAUCACCACCUGCAGGUCUAACCCCUACACCAUGAAUUGGUGCACCGGGUUGUAAAACAACAAAACCGGUAAGCUUAAAAGCUCGUAUGAGUAAAUCCCAAAAUAAUAACUCAACAAUUCCAACAUCACAUAAGAUAAAACUGGUAAUUCCUGCAUUAGCAACUUAGUUUAGAAAUCGCCUAAAAGCAAGAGAAUUCAAAAGAAAUAAUUAAGAAAACACGACAAUUCAAAAUGAUAAAUGAAUCCUGCAAAAAGCGUAGUUUAGGAAUUCUAUUAAAAUCACAUAAUUAAGAUUAAAAAAUCUCCUGUGAAUAAGCAUAGUUCAAGAGAUACUCAAACCAAGAAAUUUAAAUGAUAACACAUAAGAACAUCACACAAUCGUUUCUCUACUCUUAUUUAUGAGUUCGUCAACACUUAGUCAUCCCCCAUAAAUAACCAAAAAACGCAUACUCAUGGGUUUGUCAACACUUAGUCAUCCCCCAUGAAGUCCCGACAUACAAACUGGAGCUCUAUACUGACCGUAACCAAUCACCCGGUCAAGACUUGGUUCCUGGUCCACCACGAAGGCUCAUAAUCUAAUGCACACAAUCACCACUAAGGCACAAAUCCACAACUAAUUGAUAGGAGCAUAAAAUGCGACAUUCUUAAUGUGUUAUUAUCUCCAUUUGUACUUUGAUUAUCUCUUAUUGUUGUAGAAUAGAGUCAUAAUGUAAAGUCGAAAGUUUUUGGUAGAGUUGUGCGUAAAAUGUGUUAAACAUAGAGGAAUGAUGUAGAAAAUUGUCAAAAGCCGAUUUGUGGAGCCUUAGAGAUGUUCUUAUGAUUAUGUAAAGCUUUUACAUUGUCACAAAUUGAUUUAACUUCUCUGAUACUUAGGUGAUAUGAGAAGAGUUAUGGGAGAAAGAAUCAGGAGAAUUGAAGUUAUGCUUGAAUCAUUGCCGAGAGAAGUCUUCCUGAUGGACCUAGGGAAGCAAAGCAGCUGAUCCACGAAGCCUAGUCCAUGAAGGAGAGGUCCAAACCAAGUCCAAUAUGGAGAAGAAGAUCUAAAUUCGGCAGAAUAUCAAGGAAUAUCCAAGUCUUGAAAAUCCGGAUUAAAUCGGGAGAAUCCCUGUGCACGUCUGUCAAUUUCAACGGACUCUCCAGGACAGAUCACAAUGAAUCAGAAAACGUGCUAGAUAUGGAUAGAGAGCUACGGGAGUCUAGUUUCCAAAUCAAUUGGAAUCACCUCAAUAUCUAUUUUCUAGAGGGAGUUAUGAUGUAAUCAUCAGACGGAGGUCAUUCUGCCGAAAUUGAGAAGAACUAGGAAUCCUAAACCAACUUGGUUUAGGCUUUGUGGCCGACUUCUCUAGGGUUUUUCCUCUAUAUAAAGCAUGACUUCAAGAGCAGAAAAACAUCAUCUCUACUCUUGCAAUUACAUAGCCGAAACUCUACCAAACCCUAUACAGAAAAUUACUUAGCCGAUUCAUCCACCACAAACCAUAAGAAUCAUUCCAUCCUUCCACCGAUUUUCCCCACACUUGCCGAAUCUUUCAAGGUUGUAAAAGUGUGAUUUUCUCAUGGCUUCUUGUAUUAUUUUCUGUAUGGUUUCGAACUCUAUUGUAAUAUACUUUUCGAUUUUGGUUUUAUUUAUCAAACAUGGUUUUCGGAUUUCUUUGUGAUCUUUGAUUGUUCUUUGUUUUGAUUUGUAACUUCUUGAAUAUAUGAUGAUUUCGUGAUUUAGGUUUUGGGGCAGUAGCAUGUUCUUAUGUGUUUUUGAUUUCUAAUUGAUUAAUUGUCAUGAAUUCGUGCAUCUAAAUCAAUCCUUGAGGCUGCCUCGGCCAUGGUUGUCCUUAAGGUGCGGUUUCAUCUACCAUAAUAAUUUUGGAUCGAUUCAUAUGCAAAGUUGUCUUGGUCUCUGUUAUUAACUUAGGGCCGAUAUAAUUCUGAUAAUUUGCAUGCUAAUAGGAUGAGUGACGCCAUGCCUUAGAUCAUGUUUCCGAUUGACUCGUGUGCUAAAGUGUUUUCUUGUUUAAUCUCUACGCAACGUGUCUUUAAAUGAGUUAGCAUUCAUGUUUAAGAUCAAGCGCAAAGAUGGUUCUAAAUACUUGAGGAGUCUUAACAAUUAGAUAACCGCAAAGGCUCUAAUUAAAUCGGAAUUGGUUAGAGUCUAGGAUAAUUUGAACGUUGUUGCCCGGCCUUGCAUGAAGUUGUUAUGUGUUCUUGAUGGUUUUUCGUGUUAUGUGUUGCAUGAGUAUGUUGAUCACUUGUAUAUAAUAAUCUUAGGUUAAAUUUUCAAAAGGUUAUUUGUUAGAAUUAAUCAAUCUUAAACCCCCAAUAUUUCGAUGUAUAUAUGUGAAUACUUGUUUAUAAAUUGUUUGGUUUCUCUUCUUUCGAUCGCCCUUUGGUUUCCCCGGCUAGAACGAUCCCUACUUGUCCAUAUUACUACGAUUGCAGGGUAAUUAAAUUGAAGUUGUUUGACCCCGGUUACGCGACACGUCACUAAUGCACACAAUCACCACUAAAGCACACAUUCACAACUAAGACACACAAUCACCACCAAGGCAUCAUUCCACAACGAAUGUACACAAUCACCACUAAUGUCACAUCCCGACUCUUAAAUUUUUACCUUAUUUACUAGCUUGGUAAUAAUAAGAGUUUUACUGUAACAUCCCGGACCCAAAUUUUACCUAUUUACUCGGUAUUUCACGAGUUACUGGAGAAUUUAACAGUGCUCGGUAACUUAGUAAGUUAACACUCGAGUUUAUUUGUGAGUUUUUCUGGAAAUGUCAAACUCUUCUUUUUAGGUCCCGAUGUCGUAGUUCAAGUCGAUUCGAGUUCUUCGGUGUCUUCAGAAUUGUUUUGCGGAGCUCCGGAUUAUUUUUCUAUGUUUUAUCGAAGGUUUGGUACUAGGAUUAUUCUUACUGAGAUUAGGGUAUAAAUUUUUUUCGAGUUUUAAAGGAAAAGAAGUGGUGGACUUCGGUCAAAAGCCCAAAGUGGGUGUUGACCAGCUCUUCCACUCCUCUCCCCGACUCCCUCUCUCUCUCGUCUCUCAGUCUUGCCGUGCCGGAGUGGCGCCGUCCGGCCACCUAUGACGACAAGACCCCCACCAAUUCUCUUCCUCUCCCUCUUCUUUACAACGUCUAGCUUUCAAUUCACCAGUGUCCGAACUUUGGAAGGAGAUCGACGGGAAGAAGCACAGCAGCCCUCCGGCGAUUCUUGUUGAUGUCGGCCAUGACUUGGCACCCGAACGGUAGGGUUCGUCUCCUCUAUCCUUCUUCCUUCUUUCUCUGCCUUUGACUCUUCAAAACGAGUUCAAAUUCGGGAGCCCCUUUUUGUGUUUUUAGGUUUUCGUCGGGGUUUUCCGGCGAGUUCGUUCUUGGAGCUCCGGCGGGACUACCGUGCUCUAGUGAGUCUAGAAUCAGUUGAAUGGAGCCCAGACACGUCUUGGGAAGGGUUGGAGGAAGCAAUGGUGGUAUUGAACCGAGGUAGAGGUUUUCUGCCAAAGGGAGGUCCCCUAUUCUUCUAUUGGUUCUUUAUUUUUGUCAAGACGAAGGCUUGGUGAGUUUGGCUUGUGAGGAACCGAAGUAAUCUGGAACUGUUUCGGUGAAGGUGGCAGCUAAGGCAGCCGUUGGGAAUGUUUGGAGGUCUUUCAUGUGGAGUCUGGCAAGGAGGAGCUCUGGUUUGCGAAAUAGAGCAAAUUGAAGGUAAGUUGGUGUUUUCGGCUAUUGUAUUGAGUUGUAUUGAGGUUUGGGUGCUAGUUAGGUGAUUUGGAAUUAUGCUCGGUGUUUUUCGGAAAUGGUUAAUGACUGUUCUUGUUGUUGUGGUUGUUGCAUGUCGAGAACUUGGAGUUCUGAAGAAUACGGGGAGGCUAUGGCGAAAUUCCGGCAAGUCACCAGAAUCCGACGAGUAUUUCUGGCAGAACCCAUGAAGGUAGCUUGUCGACUUUUCUUUUCGUGUAAGUGGUAGUUUACGGUUUAGGAAAACCUGCCAUAUUUAGAAAGUCUCUUUUUAGGGAACUUUCCCCUUUAUGGAAACUUCCAUUCUUGGAAACCCUUUUGGGUGCCCUUAGUAAUUGUUGGUGUGAAGUUGGGUAGAAAAGAAAUGUUGGAAUUGUUGGUUCUGGUUGGCUUAAGCUAGGGGACCAUAAAAUAAUUUUUGUUAAUAUGAUUACUAUCCAUAGUAACCCUAAAAUCUAGACCAUUGGCUUCAUGGUGAUUUUGGAAGUGAAUUGCUUAGUGUGUUAAAGGCAUAGAGAUAGUGUGUGACUUCGAUUUCAGGUUAAGGUUUGGUUUGAAACCGAAUAAGUUUUGGAUGCGAAGUUAGUAGUAGAAAAUGAUUCUUUUAUCUAUUGGUCAACCUAGGAAAUCUUAGUCAAACCAGGAAGAAGUCGAUUCGUUAAUGUUGAUGGAGUCCGGUCUGACCAAUUUAUUCUUCUGUUUAUCGUCAGACGUGGGAUUGGCUAGAGUGUGUAAUUAGUUGGAGGCAGCGCUCGAGGAGUAUUCCGAGCAUUGGAAGGCUUAGGCCUAAUACUGUGAGUGGACUUUUAUUUUAAAUAAUAUGCAUGCUAUGGUUUUGGUUGAGCAUUUAAAAUUGUUGGAGUUUUAACGUCAUUUAAUUUUGACGCUUUUAUUUCUUUUGGAGAGUUACCGAAAAAUAGGAUUUUUCGGUGAGUAUAAAUAUGUAUAUUGAGGAGAGUAUGUAUAUAAAUGCUAGCUAGCCAUAUGUGUUUGUCCACCUUAAUGGCGUAGCAUAUAACCGUAUUAUGGUGUGACGUGAGCGUUGGAUGCGAGCGUAGUAGCCCUAUAUGAGUGUUUAAUUCAUAUAGGGGGUAUGGGCACAUAUUUAUACACCCGUCUGUCCACCUUAAUGGCGUAGUGUAACACCGCAUUAAGACGUGACGUGAGCGUUGGACGCGAGCGUAGUAGCUCUAUAUAGACCCAUGAAUUUAUAUAGGGAGUAUGGACGUGUGUAAAUACAUACAUAUAUUUUUUUAGAGUCUGAGAGACUCGAUAUGUAUGGGAUAAAAGUUCUAUCGCUUGCAGCAUGCAUUCAACUUUCCUUGGAAAUUGAUUUGGGGAAACAUAAAUAUUUUAUUCGUUAAUUUAUUUUUGUCUACUCACUCUAACGUUUAGUUUUCAAAUGUUUUUCCCCUGGGCUCUUCGUUUUAAAAAUGCCCAGUUUGCAAGAUUGCAUAGUUGUGGUCGGACGUAUUUGGAGAAGAGGCAUAGUCAAUAGUGUUGCUUCCGCUCAUUUUUAUAUUUCUAGUUCAUUUCCUUUCAAAUAGAGUUGCUCUGAACUAUGGCUGUUGGCUAUGAGAUUUUCUUGUUUAAGUUAGUAAUUAAAUUUGGAGAUGUUGUGAUUUGGGGAGCACGAAGGCUCCAGGAGUUUAAGGUUGGAUUUGGAUUUUUCAGAAGUGUUUGCAGGUAUUUAUUAGAAAGGGUUGUCCAUUUUCAAGGGAGGUUGUGCCGAUUUUUCGGUAAACUUUCCUUGGAGGUGGUCCCCGCAGGAUUUACUUCGGGUUUCAGGGUGAAAUUCGGGGUGGGUCUUGAUAGUUGGUAUCAGAGCACUAGGUUAUUCGUUUCCUUUCUCAUUUUAGUACUACCUCAUAUUCUUGGUCAUGCUUAGUGUCUAUAGAGUGAUGGUCCGACCGCGGCGGAUCUAUUAGCAUUAUAUGCUUUAGACACUAUGUGUUGAUUAGGUUUGUGAUGUAGUUGUUCUUGUUUUAUUUAUGGUCAGUAUUAUGCCAUAAAUAUCUAUAUCUUCAAGACUAUGCCUCCGUACGCUGACCUUUUAGGUAAUCUUUAUGUUUCGUGUAAUAUAAAGGUAUAUUGAUUACGCCUUUUCCAAGGAUAUUCGAGUUGAUAUCAUAAAUUAUUAGAGUUUAAUUGCGAGUUGGGAACUCCAGUUGGGAACUCAUAAGAGUGGUAGCAUUCGUUUCAUUUGAUCAAUGAUUGUUUGGGUAAUGAUUAAGAUGCUGAGGGGAACAUCUUGUGCGAAUCUGUAGUACGUGAAACGUUUGAUUCGACGGAUGUCUUGAGAGUUUUCUAUUUUUGGUGGGCAAGUAAAGAGCUGUGGUAAUCCGAUAGAAAAUCUUGGCAUCUAGUUACGUGACUUCUGAAAGAAAAGAGUUGGAAAGAAAGUUUGGAGUAGUGGUGUACUCUAUAGAUUUAAAGGUUGGUGGAAGUGAUGUGGUGAGGUACCCAUAGUAAUUCGAAGAGGUACCUAUACGAGUCGAUGAGGACUCUAAUUUUGGGCUGAUUAGUCACGAGGGAUUGUGUGGCUAAUAAAAAGGCUAUCAAUUUAGAGAAGUCUUGAUUCUUGACCAAAUUCCCAACUGCUUUAUCCGCAGCGAAAGUUAGUUGGGAUUGUUUUGGUUAAUGCUUGUUAUGGUCGCGCAUGUUCUGGCCGUACAACUCUAAUUAAGGAUAUGUUUUUAUCCUUGGAAUCAUCAUAUUAAACAGUAAAAUCGGAGAAUUUAGGAGAAGGAGGUUAGCAGCAGUCGGCGGAUAGUAAGAUUUUUUGAUGAAUUUCGCCUAAAUUAAAGAUGGAUUAGUUGAAGUUGGUUUUACAACAGUCAUUAGUCAAUGGCAUUAUGGCAAACUUGAUGUUGUGUCGUGGUCGGGGAAUUAUUAGAAAUUGAAUGGUGUCAUCAAAAGUUUCGAGUUUUGAGUUUCGAGCAAGCUUUAAAGCGUUGAGCGACUUCUGUCAGCUAUAGUAUUUUAAUCGUGGGCCGUUGUAGAUUCUUUCGGAAUUCUAAGUGUUGAAGUUGGAUUCCAGUUUUGUUGAGUGUUUUGGGAAGAAAAUAAAUUUAAAUGAAAUUGAAAAGUAAUGGUGGAGUGAGAGCGGAUGGUUGUGGUCACUCCGGUUUUACGACAACAUCUGGUGAAUUUGUGAUGUGUUGUCAGGGGUAUUCUAAAAUAGUUGUGUAGAGCUGGUGGAAGUGGUAGCAGUGGAAUAAAACCCACUGGAUCUUGGAGCAAGACUGUGUGGGUGUCCAUAGUAAAUUUCAAGCUGCAUUGUUUUAAGUAGUGAUGUAUGUCUCAAAUUUGUGAUCGAAGUUGGUUUUUGAUAUCAUUUCGUUCACAAUGGGUGACUAAUUACGACACAACAAUGAGAGGAUUUGUUCUCGCCUUAUUUCUAAUUCAGUGAGAUGGAGUAAGGUUUUGGUUGUGGUGUGUGUGGGAAUAUUUCAAUUAUUCCUACUGUAGUUUGUGGGUAGCAUCCUCAGAGCUUGAAAUUAUGGAAUGCGAUUUCAACGCUUCGAUUUGAAGGUUAGAGAUUAUGGUUAGUUUGUCGAAUUUUUGAGGCAAAUCAUAAAUUGGUAGUUGUGUCGUAGUCAUGGAGUUCAUUUAAGCGAUGAGUCUUGAUGCCGUAAAUCCUAUGUGGUAGUUUGAGAGUUGCACGGUGAUGUUCAUUUGAUGGUUUGUGCCGUUAUAGACAUGUUGUAGCCUUAUGGAAAAGGGUUUUUCCCUGUUGACUCAAGAAGCGUCUAGAGGUUUAUUAAGAGUUAUAAUAUUGAGGGUAGUAGAUAUGGGGAUAGGUUGAACGAUGUCUCUUCUCGAGAUCGUAUUGUGGUGGGACCACUUAUUGAUCCAAGUUUGAUUUGGGAGAUCUUUGCUUUUUGGUGGUGUGUUCAUCCAUUGGUGUCAGGAUGAUUAGUUGAGGUUUCUAAUGCGAUUUUGAAACGGUUCUGGCGGAUAUCGGAGAUUUGUGGAGCUUUUGAGCUCGAAGUUAGAGGACUUGCCUUUCGUGUGCUUUAAGUUAUUUCUUCUGGAACUUGAGCUGAGUUUAGCCUUGAGUUUUGAUUCUUGCUUGAAUUCAUGGUUUUCAUUGGUUGGAGAACCACAAAAUGUGGUAAUGGGUCUUGUAUAAAAUUUAUCUUUGCAUUUGAUAGUUGCAUGAUUCUGCAUGCUCGGUUAUCAAAGAAUUUUUUUGGUGGGAAGCCGUGGCCCUAGGCGGUGUAGGAGACUUGAGCAUAUUUGUUUUUCAGAUCGUCUUCUGCUAUUAGACUAAUCGUUAAGAAGUGUAUUUGUCGGGUGCAAAGGUUUUGGCUUUUAGAAUCAUUCUUGUGGAACGGCUAGAGUGAGCCAUGUGCUUUUAAUUGUUGCACUUAGGGUCGCAGUUGCACCCGAAUAAUUAGCAUGGUUGGAGAUGUAAAUUUUGUCAAUGCUUAAAGAAGGUGUUCUAUUUAUGUGGAUUUCAACAUCAAGUUUAGCAUCACGAAUUGACUGUGCCAAUUUUUCAUGGGCAUUAUUAGUCAGUUUUGUUUAUGGCGAGCAUGGGGGAAUUUCUAGUUUCCACAUGAUAGUCAUGUUUCAGAUUGUCUUCUGAUUUGUGGUAAAGAGAUUGGUAGAGAUAGCAGAAUCAAGAGAGAGUUGGAUUUCCUAUAAGCUGCUAGUUUGUGGUGCAUAAAAUGGUAAUGUAAUAGUUUUGGUGGAGAUACCUAAGUGACGUGGUAUUGAUCUUUUCAUAAUGUUAUCUCGAAAAUCAAGGUUAUCAUAUGUUGGUGGACUGGUCACUGAGGCAAAGCAAAGCUGUCUUGUGGACUUGCGAGGGCUUUGACUCCACGAAAGACUUUGCGAGGUGUCUCGGUAUUAAAAGUGAUUGUUACAGUUCUGCAGUGUGUGCAUCCUUAAAUCUGUUCAAUUAGCAGGUCUUAAUUUUGACCCCUAUGAGCAUGUGGGAAUGUGUGAACUUUAGUUUUUUUAGCAAGUUGGCUUCGACGCUGAGUUUGUGAGUUGCAUAAUGACUAGUUUGUUGUAUGUCAUUAGGAGAUUUAAGCCUGGCAGUGAUAUUGAAUUUUUCUCUGUAUUAGCUAUUUUAAGUUUCUUAAUGAAACAAAUUGUGAUUUGUUGUCGAUCAAUGAUCAUUACCUUUGGCUCGUUCAGUUUAAAAUUUCGAGCACGAAAUUUUUAUAAGGAGGGGAGAUUGUAACAUCCCGGACCCAAAUUUUACCUAUUUACUUAGUAAGUUAACACUCGAGUUUAUUUGCGAGUUUUUCUGGAAAUGUCAAACUCUUCUUUUAAGGUCCCGAUGUCGUAGUUCAAGUCGAUUCGAGUUCUUCGGUGUCUUCAGAAUUGUUUUACGGAGCUCCGGAUUAUUUUUCUAUGUUUUAUCAUAGGUUUGGUACUAGGAUUAUUCUUACUGAGAUUAGGGUAUAAAUUUUUUUCGAGUUUUAAAGGAAAAGAAGUGGUGGACUUCGGUUAAAAGCCCAAAGUGGGUGUUGACCAGCUCUCCCACUCCUCUCCCCGACUCCCUCUCUCUCUCGUCUCUCAGUCUUGCCGCGCCGGAGUGGCGCCGUCCGGCCACCUAUGACGACAAGACCCCCACCAAUUCUCUUCCUCUCCCUCUUCUUUACAACGUCUAGCUUUCAGUUCACCCGUGCCUGAACUUUGGAAGGAGAUUGACGGGAAGAAGCACAACGGCCCUCCGGCGAUUCUUGUCGAUGUCGGCCAUGACUUGGCACCCGAACGGUAGGGUUCGUCUCCUCUAUCCUUCUUCCUUCUUUCUCUGCCUUUGACUCUUCAAAACGAGUUCAAAUUCGGGAGCCCCUUUUUGUGUUUUUAGGUUUUCGUCGGGGUUUUCCGGCGAGUUCGUUCUUGGAGCUCCGGCGGGACUACCGAGCUCCGGUGAGUCUAGAACCGGUUGAAUGGAGCCCAGACACGUCUUGGGAAGGGUUGGAGGAAGCGACGGUGGUAUUGAACCGAGGUAGAGGCUUUCCGCCAAAGGGAGGUCCCCUGUUCUUCUAUUGGUUCUAUGUUUUAUGGUGUGACGUGAGCGUUCGACGCGAGCGUAGUAGCCCUAUAUGAGUGUUUAAUUCAUAUAGUGGGUAUGGGCACAUAUUUAUACACCCGUCUGUCCACCUUAAUGGCGUAGUGUAGCACCGCAUUAAGGCGUGACGUGAGCGUUGGACGCGAGCGUAGUAGCCCUAUAUAGACCCAUGAAUUUAUAUAGGGAGUAUGGACGUGUGUAAAUACAUACAUAUAUUUUUUUUAGAGUCUGAGAGACUCGAUAUUUAUGGGAUAAAAGUUCUAUCGCUUGCAGCAUGCAUUCAACUUUCCUUAGAAAUUGAUUUGGGGAAACAUAAAUAUUUUAUUCGUUAAUUUAUUUUUAUCCACUCACUCUAACGUUUCGUUUUCAAAUGUUUUUCCCCUGGGCUCUUCGUUUUAAAAAUGCCCAGUUUGCAAGAUUGCAUAGUUGUGGUCGGACGUAUUUGGAGAAGAGGCAUAGUCAAUAGUGUUGCUUCUGCUCAUUUUUAUAUUUCUAGUUCAUUUCCUUUCAAAUAAAGUUGCUCUGAACUGUGGCUGUUGGCUAUGAGAUUUUCUUGUUUAAGUUAGUAAUUAAAUUGGGAGAUGUUGUGAUUUGGGGAGCACGAAAGCUCCAGGAGUUUAAGGUUGGAUUUGGAUUUUUCAGAAGUGUUUGCAGGUAUUUAUUACGAAGGGUUGUCCAUUUUCAAGGGAGGUUAUGCCGAUUUUUCGUUAAACUUUCCUUGGAGGUAGUCCCCGCAGGAUUUACUUCGGGUUUCAGGGUGAAAUUCGGGGUGGGUCUUGAUAUUUACCGUCUUCGUCAAUGAGUUUAUAGUUUAAAUAGUCCCUAGAGAGGUUUUGAGGGACGAUUAUUUCGGAGGAAAUAUUCGUAGGAGAAAAUUGUGACGACGGUAAAAAUAGUAAAUUUCAGCUAGUAAAAGGUAAUUUUUAUUGGGGUAUUAUUUUUGGGGUGUUUUAUUUGUGGAGUUGGGUUUAUUUGGUGGUAUUGGACCGGUUAAGAGUAGAAACCCAAACCAUUUCUCUCUCUUCAUCUCUUCUUCCUCCUGACUCUCUCCCUCUCCCGCUGUAGGAUUUUUCGUCGCCAGCCUGCCGCCAUCCGGCCACCGUUCGCCGCCGCACCGGUCCCAAACAGUCGGCCGUCCACCUAGCUGUCUCCCUGGACCGGUGAGAGCCGCCCUAGCGCGCCGUGAGGGAGAGUUGCCGCUCGAAACCUCCGGCUGUCCAAAGCUCUCCAUCGUCGGAACUCUCUCCUCCGGCCGCCAUAGCCGGAGCAGCUUGGCUCAAAAGAAAGCCCUCCUCCCGAGCAUUCAUCCCUCCAAAGGUUCCACUCCCCCUUGGUCUAGGUAAGGAGAAAGGUGGAGUAGAAAUUCUAGGGCUUAUGUAAUGUUUUCGUUCGAUUGGCAUAGUUAGACUUGGAAUUGGGUAUUGUGCUAGUUAAGAAAGUUGUAGGGUGAGUUGAGAGGAAGAUACUGUCAAAUUUUGGUAGGCAUUGGAGGUCGUCGGAGUCGGCCGCCGGCCGCUGCUGCCGGCGGAGCAGACGGCGGCUCUGCCGCUGUUAAGGGGUUUUUCAUGGUUUUAAGUGUGUUAUAUUAAGGGGAGUUUAAUGGUAUGAAGUUUAGAAUUCUUGGAAGAGUUUUGAAUAAGUUUUGGAUUUUUGAAAGAUUGGUGAAUUUAGCGGUUAAUGGGGUAGAAUCCGACCGUUGGAUUUUCCUUAUUAUUGUUUUAGAAUGUUGAAAUAAAGGAAAUAAGGCUGUGGUUGGAAUUUAAUGUGAAUUCGAUAAGCUUAACCCUAGAAAGGGUAGUGGGUUAGGCGGAAGAGUUUUAGGUUAUAUAUUUAAGUAUUAUUUAUUUCUAAAAUUGAAGUUUGAUCCUAAGCAUGGUUAUUGUGCCAGGAUUCAAGGAGACCUUACUUGAGUGGCGAAUUGGAUUUGAUCGGGCUUAUGGCUAAAGUUGUGAGGGGACUUUUGUUUUAAAUAAUAUGCAUGCAAUGAUUGAUUGUUAAGCAAUUUAUUUUGUUGGAGCAUUGACGUCAUUUUAUUUUGACGAUUUUAUUUUUCGUUUGAAGAGUUACUGAAAAUGGGAUUUUCGGCAAAUAUAAUUAUAUAUUGAUGAGGAGAGUAUGUAUAUAAAUGCUAGCUAGCCAUUUGUGUCUAUCCAGCUUAAUGGCGUAGCAUAUAACCGUAUUAUGGUGUGACAUGAGCGUUGGACGCGAGGGUAGUAGCCCUAUAUGAGUAUCUAAUUCAUAUAGGGGGUAUGGACACAUAUUUAUACACCCGUCCGUCCACCUUAAUGGCGUAGUGUAGCACCGCAUUAAGACGUGACGUGAGCGUUAGACGCAAGCGUAGUAGCCUUAUAUGAAUUUCUAUUUUUCUUAUAUUUCCUUCAUAGAAUUCAUAUAAGGAGUAUGGACGUGUGUAGAUACAUACAUAUAUAUUGAUGGAUAUAUAUUAAUUUACCCUGAGAGGCUCUAUUUUAUAAAGCUUUGGAGACUAGCCGGAGCUAGUCGUGUUAUUGCCAGUUUAUGAGUUGAGAGCUUUUGAGCUUGUUGCAUACAGCAUAAUUUCUGUGGAAAAUAAAUGGGAAUGCAUAAAUAUUUUUAUUGAAUUCAGUUUUGUCCACUCACUCUAACAUUUUCGAAUAUUUCCCCUGGGCCCUUCGUUUUAAAAAUGCCUAACUUGCAGGUUAGCUUAGUUGAGGUCGGGCGUAUAUGGAAAUGAGGCAUAGUCCAUCAUAUAGCUUCCGCUUGUUAAUUUAUUAUGUUUCCUUUCUUCCUAUUAGAGUUGCUCUGAACCUAUAAAUGGUUGGAUAUGGGAUUUGUUUAGAUUAGUAAAUAAAUUGGGUGGUGUUGUGAUUUGGGGAGCACGAAGGCUCCAGGUUUUUAAAGUUGGAUUUGGAAUUUUAGAAGUGUGUGCAGGUGCUUUUAGGAAGGGUUGUCCAUUUUCAAGGGAGGUUAUGCCAAAUUUUCGGUGAAUUUUCAGUAAAUUUUCCUUUGAGGUGGUCCCCGCAGGAUUUACCUCGGGUUUCAGGGUGAAAUUCGGGGUGGGUCCUGACAACUAAGGCACACAUUCACAAGUAAGACACACAAUCACCACUAAGGGUCCAAGGCACCAAUAAUCACAUCAAUAGAACUAAAAAUAUUAUGGUCACAAGAACCUUAAAAAUAAUUAUUUAAAUCAUCAUAAUCAUUAUCAACAUCAUCAUCAUCAAAAUCAUCAUCAUAAUAAUUAUAAAUAAUUGGUCUCAAAAUGAACCUUGGUGAGAUUUUACUCACCUAAAUAAUCCCGCUGCGUCUUCAACACAAAACACAUUUCACAAGUCACCUAUAAUUACACAAUUAAUAACCUUAGUAACCAAAGUACCAUAGGAUAUCAAACACCCUUAAACUAAACCUUAUCCCAAAAGAGGACAACCUUCCAAGGUCAUCGAAUUUAACAACCCAAAACUGCUGCUUCUAAUUCUCAAAACAGAAACUCAAACCUUGCACAAGUCUAAGAUUAACCAAAAAGUCCUAGCAAGAAAUAAUGGUAACCAAAACCUACAACCCAUAUAUCAACACGUUUGUAUCGAAGAGUACUACCUAACCAGCACCAUAAAACACUCCAGACACUACCGGACGCGCUGCCAUGCGCCGCCAUAGGCGACGGCGAGUGGGCCCUAUGCGCCACCCUACCAACCUUCGAAUUAGGGCAAACUCACAACACAAAACUUGUAGAUUGAAGAGCGGGAAGCAUCUUUUAUACCUAAGGUUUCGCCUCAAUCAGCUGGAAAACACCGAGAAACUUGCCGAAAGGUUGGCAUCCACCACCACCACUCUACACCGAGAGUCGAGCUUCAAGACCACCAGAAGUCGAACCAGGACGCCAAGGAGCUUCUAUCCCGACCGGUUUCCAGCCUCGUCACCGCCGUCAGAGGUGAGAAUUCCGGUCGGGUUGCAAACCAGGUCGCUGCCCUCACUGUGGCGCUCAAUUAGCACCGAUCCGGUCGAGUCUUCCUCACUCACCAACACAACGAGGAUUGCGCUGAGGAGAGGAAGAGUUUCCGACUAGUGCCGCCGUCUAAGUCGGCCGGAAAAGUCAGGUCAGGUCGACCGGGUCUAGGUCGGGUCAGCUGAAGAACUUUGAUAGCUACAGUUCGGGGAGAGAGAGAGGGAAAGGGAGAAAGAAAUGGUUCCGGAAAAAACGAAAAGGAAACCUAAAACUUUUCUUAUUUAACCCCAAAUUCCUGUAAAGCCACGAACUUCCACUGACCGUAACUUUCUCAUACGAAGUCCGUUUUACUCGUGCCACGUGUUUACAAACUUGUAUCGUCGUGCUCUACAACUUUCGUGAAGAAAGUUUCUCAAGAAACCCAACAGAUUAGAAAGUCAACUCUUGACUCUUGAAAACCAUAAAACCGUUUUGGGUGACUUAUGCAUCCGAACACUUCCGCCCUUCCUUCGAACCUCAAAACACACUAACUUCUAACUCGAAAAUUCCUAAAUAAUAUUAGAAACUAAUACAUAGGAAUAGGCAUAUGUGUGUCAUGCUUUUGAGUCUUCCUUAACUAGUUUGCCUAUUGAACCUAGACCAUGGGAUCUCCAAUGUUGCUAGGUUAGGUUCCCGCCAAGUAAUGACUCAUUGUAUGGGCUUGAGACUCAUUCCCCUCGAUGUAAAUACAACUUGCUCUUUAGUUAGGCCUUUAGUCAAUGGAUCGGCUAGAUUUUCCUUUGAUUUGAUGUAAUCCAAUGCUAUAACUCCAUUGGAGAGCAAUUGUCGUACUGUAGCAUGUCGUCAUCUUAUAUGCCGAGAUUUCCCAUUGUACAUUUUGUUUUUGGCUUGAUGUAUGGCAGCCAUACUAUCACAAUGAAUACAAAGGGGUGUUAAAGGCUUAGGCCACAAUGGAAUAUCUUCAACAAAAUUUCUAAGCCAUUCGGCUUCUUUGGCAGCUUUAUCCAAAGCAAUGAAUUCCGAUUCCAUUGUUGAUCGUGCUAUACAUGUUUGUUUGGAUGACUUCCAUGACACAGCUCCUCCACCAAGUGUAAACACAUAACCACUUGUGGACUUACUUUCCGUACUACCCGAGAUCCAAUUUGCAUCACUAUAUCCUUCCAAAACAGGAGGAUAUUUUGUAUAAUGUAGACCACAGUUCAUUGUAUACUUUAAGUACCUUAAUACUCUUAUCAAAGCAUGCCAAUGGUCUAUACUAGGAUUGCUUGAAUAUCGACUUAAUCGACUUAUUGAAUAAGCCAAAUCCGGUCUUGUGCAAUUCAUAACGUACAUCAAGCUUCCUAUGAUUUGUGUGUAUUCCAGUUGAGACACACUCUCACCAUUGUUCUUUGCAAGCUUAUAUGUUGGAUCAAAUGGAGUCAUCAUCAUUUUAUCAUAAUAGUGUCCAAAUUUCUUUAGCACUUUCUCCACAUAAUGAGAUUGAGUGAGUAUAUAACCAUUACUAUCUCUUUGAAUUCUCACUCCAAGGAUUAAAUCUGCUAAUCCCAUAUCUUUCAUUUCAAAUUUGGAACUGAGCAUCUUCUUUGUGGAAUUGAUAAUGUCCUUGUUUGUUCCCAUUAUCAACAUGUCAUCCACAUACAGACAUACAAUGAUACAAGCAUUUUUGGUUUGCUUGAUAUAAACACAAUUAUCACACUCGUUUAUGGUAAAUCCAGAAGACAACAUUGUAUAAUCAAACUUCUCAUGCCAUUGUUUUGGGGCUUGUUUAAGUCCAUAUAACGAUUUAACAAGUUUGCAGACUUUCUUCUCUUGCCCUUUAACAAUGAAGCCUUCAGGUUGCUCCAUAUAGAUUUCUUCCUCUAACUCACCAUUUAAGAAUGCCGUUUUGACAUCCAUUUGGUGUAUCUCGAGAUCAUAUAUAGCAACAAUUGCUAUUAGCAUUCGAAUGGAAGUAAUUCGAGUGACAGGGGAAUAGGUGUAAAAGAAAUCAAGACCUUCUUUUUGUCGAUACCCUUUUGCAACUAGUCUUGCUUUAUAUUUGUCUAUGGAACCAUCUGGUUUUAACUUCUUUUUGAAUAUCCAUUUAUAUCCAAUUGGUUUGUUUCCAGGUGAUAAAUCAACCAAUUCCCAUGUAUGGUUAUUCAUAAUGGAUUCCACUUCACUUUGAAUUGCUUCCUUCCAAUAAGGUGCUUCUACAGAUUCCAUUGCAGCCUUAUAUGUCUGAGGUUCUUGUUCAGUUAGAAAAGUCAGAAAAUCUGAACCAAAGUCUUUUGCAACUCUUGCUCUUUUACUUCUUCUUGGUUCCAAUUCUUGCUCUUGAACCUUUGAAAUAGAAGCAUUGUUAUUAUUUUCCUGUGUUUUUGGAUCUUCAUGUACUCUCUUCUUUGUAGUACUUGAUCUAUCUUUGUAUGGAAAUAUAUCCUCAAAGAAUUCAGCUUCAUUGGACUCAAGAAUAGUGUUCACAUGUACUUCUUCAUUUCCAGAUUUGUGAACUAAAAAUCGAUAUGUUGCACUGUUAUUUGCAGGUCCAAUAUAUACACAGUCUACUAUUUUUGGUCCAAGCAUUUGCAUCUUUGGAGGAGGAAUUCUAACUUUAGCAUGGCAACCCCACACUUUCAUGGUUUUAUAUGUAGGCAGCCUACCUUUCCAGAUUUCAUAUGGGGAUUGAUCAUUCCUUUUAAGAGGAAUUUUAUUCAAUAUUGAGUUUGCAUACAGAAGACCUUCACCCCAUAAACUGUGUGGAGCACCUGAACUGUUUAACAUGGAAUUUAUCAUUUCUCUUACGCUCAGCAACUUCAUUUUGCAUUGGAGUGUAGGGUUUUGUUGUUUGAUGAACAAUUCCAUGUGUGGAACAAAAUUCAGAGAAUUCAUUUGAUAUGUAUUCUCCACCACGAUCUGAUUUGAGUGUUUUUAUCUUCUUGUCUAAUUGAUUUUCAACUUCAGCUUUGUAUAUCUUAAACAUACUCAAAGCUUCAUCUUUACUAGUUAUCAAAUAGGCAUAGCAGAAUUUGUUGCAAUCAUCAAUGAAUGUAAUAUAGUAAUUCUUUCCAGAUCGACUUGGAGUUGAUUGGAAGUCACAGAGAUCAGUAUGAAUCAAUCCAAGUACUUCGUUGGAUUUUUCAACACAUUUGUAAGAGUGCUUUGCAUACUUUGAUUCAACACAGAUUUCACAUUUAUGUUCAUCAGCAUUAGUAUUGCUGUUUGAGAUGCAUUCUAACUUAGGACUGCAUUUUGGUAACAAUCCCAAGUUGAUCAUCCUGUCUAGACAACGAUAAUUCACAUGACCUAAUCUUGCAUGCCAUAAAUCAACUGAAUCAAGUAAGUAGAUAGAAGCAGUGCUAUUGCCUGCAUUAUUAUUAUUAAUAUCAGCCGUAGGAAUUACAUUGAGUUUGAACAGCCCCUCAGAUAGGUAGCCUUUUCCUACAUACAUUCCACCCUUGGUGAGUACAAACUUAUCAGAUUCAAAUAGUAACUUAAAGCCUUUGUUGAUAAGAAGAGAACCAGAAAUCAGAUUCUUUCUAAUCUCAGGGACAUGGAGCACAUUGGUCAGUGCAAGUUCUUUUCCAGAAGUGAGUUUCAGUAUCACUUUUCCUUUCCCUUCAACUACAGCAGUACUAGAAUUUCCCAUGUAAAGAUUUUCUCCACCAGAUCCUUGCUCAUAUGUUGCAAACAUGCUUCUUUCAGCACAAACAUGCCUUGAUGCACCUGUGUCAACCCACCAGUCAUUGGUAUUGGUCAUUAGAUUGACCUCAGAUACAACAACAACAAAUUGAUCUUCUGCCAUGUUUGCUUGAUUAUUAUUUCCGGCAGGUCUGUCCUUCUCUUGGCGACAAUCCAUGGCUUUAUGACCAGGCUUACCACACACUCAGCAAGAACCUUGAAUUUUCUUUUUGAACAUAACAGCUUUUGGGGCAGUAGAUGCUCUCUUGGCAGCAGUUUUUCCCUUCUUAUGAUUGUGAGAAAACUUAGGCUUGGAGGUGCUACCUUCAAUCACAUUGGCUUUUGCUUCCAUUGAGGACCAAUCGGUUUUUUCAUUCUUUCUGUUCUCUUCCUCCACACAAAGCUUGAGAAUGAGUUGCUCAAGGUUCAUCUCUUUAGAUAGGUGCUUGAGGUAUAUCUUGAAAUCCUUCCAAGAGGGAGGCAGCUUUUCAAUAAUGGAAGCAACAAGAAAGUCUCAUUGAGUCCCAUACCUUCAGCAAGUAAUUCAUGAGCAGUAAUUUGGAGUUCCUCCACUUGCUUCACCACAGAAUUGGCAUCACUCAUCUUAAAAUUCAGAAAUUUUCCAACAACAAACUUCUUGGCACUUGCAACCUCAGACUUGUAUUUCUUGUUCAAAGAAUCCCAUAGCUCUUCUGCAGUUUUGAAUGUUGAAUAAACAUCAUACAAUGAAUCAUCUAAGGCAUUCAGAAUAUAAUUCUUACACAGAAACUUGUUUUGCUCCCAAGCUUCAACAGCCUUAAUAGUUGCAUCUAGGAUAUCACCCUCUACUGGCAAAUCUGGAGCCUCAGAUGUAAUCACUUAUGCCAAGUUCAGUGUUGUUAGAUAAAACAACAUCUUUUGCUGCCAUCUUUUGAAGUCCACGCCUUUGAACACAAAUGGCUUCUCAAUAUGGUUCUUAACACCAACAGCAGUAGGUUGAUCCAUCACAAUUGUAAUAGAAUUUCUGUCUUAGAUUGUUAGAACAAGGGAACAAUCAGUUAUGGAACAACCCAAUCAACACCAGAUGUUGUGUUAAAAUCUUAUAUUUAUACUUUAAUUACAACAAUAAGAACACAAUUCCUAAUCUAUGAACACAGUAAUAUCAGUUGAAACAAUGAAUUGAAAUCAAAACAAAAUUGAGAGCAAUGAAACUGACUUGAUGAUUUUGAUAGAGGCUUGCUUGCAGCAAUCUCCUAAGACAGAAAUUCACCCCUACACUUGUGCACGUAGAUCUUGGACGUCUGUCUUGUAGGAUACAACUAUCGAACCCAAUCGAUGCACUCCGGUUGAAUCCCUGGCAAACUCUACUUUGUGUUUCUCAUAAAUAUUAAGGGGAGAAGAGAGAGGAGAACUGAAUGAAUCUCCCAUCUGCUUGGGCUGAUUGUCUUUAUAAAGAUGAAGGACAACUUUUGGGGAAUAGAGGUGUAGCUUCAGUUGUUCUGGUUUGAAACCCAGAAGACACAACCUUCUGUUCGUACUCAACUCUUCCAAUAGAUAUAAUCUCUUCCAACAAAUAUCUAUUAUUAUCCAAAUAAUAAAAACAGAUAAUAAUAAUAAUAAAAGCAGAUGGUAAAAUGGUAAAGUAAAAACACAGAUGGUUAAUUCUAAUUUUUACCCCACAUUCUCCAACACAAAUCCUAUACAUAUCGACAUUUAGAGAUACUUGCUGGGAUAAAGCUUAAGGAAUAAGUAGGAAAAGUAGAUGGUAGUCAAAUUUAGCAGUACUAGAGAUGAUAUUGGUAAAAAGCUUAUGUGCUACGACCAAGAUUCUUGUUAUAAUAGAAGAAGAACAGAAGAAUCCAGAUGGCUAUUUGUAUAGCUACAAAGGACAUUUAACACAAUUUAAGGAGGCAAGACUGUAAUUGACAUGACAUGAAUGGAUUAAACAAGACGAAAAGAAAAAGUCUGUUGUGCAAAGGCUAGGUUAUAUCAAGAUUAAAGCAUCCAAAACAAAUGAUACUUUUUACAAUGAACAAGUUGGUAAUUCUGCAUUCAUAUCAUCACAAGUGAAAGGGAUUAAAGUCCCGAAGAAGCAUCAUAUGGAUGAGAACUCAAUAAGAUUCAAGUUUGACAAGCGAACAAAGCUGGCCAAAUUACAGUCAAGAUCAAACAAACAGAAAACAUUCCAACACAAUCACACCUAAACAUAGAUACUAGAAUAGAAUCAAAGCUAUAAAUAAAAUUAUGCUUUCCCUACCUCAAAUCCUACAUAUCAGUAGCAAUCUCCAAAAGCAAUCAUGCAAGCACCCAACAAUUCCAAAGCAAUCCACUCUAUACCAUAGCAAUCCAGCCACCUGAUACAGAAGUUUUCAUAUACGAAUUCAAACUCCCCUCUAAUCGAAGAUAGAUUAAUCGAUUACAAGUAGUUUUGGAAGAUCAAGAAAUUAAUUGAACUUACAAGGAUCAAGCCUUUGUCUAGAUGGAGAAACUCUGAAAUUCUAGAGCAAUGGAUUAGUGAAUAUCCACUUUAGUCUCUUGAAAACUAGAUAAAACUUUGGGUAAGUGAUGGGACGACAUUUUUGAGCAAAGCAGAAGUGCGAAGAAAGAAAAGAACAAAAAGGAGUUCGUGUAUGGUUCAAAUGAAAUCGUACAAGGAAGGCUUGAAUCACCGACACAGAUGAAGAAGCGUGUAUGGUUCUAGAAGGUAGUACANNNNNNNNNNNNNNNNNNNNNNNNNNNNNNNNNNNNNNNNNNNNNNNNNNNNNNNNNNNNNNNNNNNNNNNNNNNNNNNNNNNNNNNNNNNNNNNNNNNNNNNNNNNNNNNNNNNNNNNNNNNNNNNNNNNNNNNNNNNNNNNNNNNNNNNNNNNNNNNNNNNNNNNNNNNNNNNNNNNNNNNNNNNNNNNNNNNNNNNNNNNNNNNNNNNNNNNNNNNNNNNNNNNNNNNNNNNNNNNNNNNNNNNNNNNNNNNNNNNNNNNNNNNNNNNNNNNNNNNNNNNNNNNNNNNNNNNNNNNNNNNNNNNNNNNNNNNNNNNNNNNNNNNNNNNNNNNNNNNNNNNNNNNNNNNNNNNNNNNNNNNNNNNNNNNNNNNNNNNNNNNNNNNNNNNAACAUGUAACCUACUGAUGAAAACUGGUGGAAAUGCGGGUGACUAUGCCUCGCCUCCUACUAGAUCCAAUCCGAACUCUGCAAACUGGGCAAUUUAAAACGAAGGCCCAGGGGAAAACAUUUAAUAACGUUAGAGUGAGUGGACAAAAAAAUAAAAUAAUAAAUAAAAUAUUUAUGUUUCCCCAAAUUAAUUUCUAAGGAGAAAAUCGACUGCAUGCCGCAAGCGAUGAAACCUUUAUCUCAUAAAAUAUCGAGCCUCUUAGACUCUAAAAUAUAUGUAUGUAUUUACACUCGUCCAUACUCCCUAUAUAAAUUCAUGGGUCUAUAUAGGGCUACUACACUCGCGUCCAACGCUCACGUCACGCCUUAAUGCGGUGCUGCACUACGCCAUUAAGGUGGACAGACGGGUGUAUAAAUAUGUGUCCAUACCCCCUAUGUGAAUUAAACACUCAUAUAGGGCUACUACGCUCACGUCACACCAUAAUGCGGCUAUAUGCUACGCCAUUAAGGUAGACAGACACAUAUGGCUAGCUAGCAUUUUAUAUACAUACUCUCUCAUAAAUACAUAUUUAUAUCCACCGAAAAUCCCAUUUUCGGUAACUCUCCAAGAGAAAUAAAAUUCGUCAAAUAAAAUGACGUUAAAAUAUUCCGCAACAAUUAUUGUUCAACCAUGAACUUUAGCAUGCAUUUUAUUUAAAACAAAAGUCCACUCACAAAUUAGGCCUAAGCCUGACGUCGAUCUGGGGUCUCGUCUGCUCGAGCCUCCUCACGUCCUGAUCCAAAAAUAAUAUUAAUUUCCCAACUAAUAAUCCAAUAUUUAGUCAAAAUAGGCAAAAUUACCCGAGAGCCAUAAAUACGCUCAUCAUUGCCUAACUUCGAUAUUCUUAAAUCGGAACGAUCUGAACUUAAAUAUCAUACUCGACAGUCGUAACUACAACCUCCCCAAAAUACGACUUAAAUCAUACGGCCGGAUUCUACAUUAAUUAACCGCCAAAAAUACCAAACUUCGGAAAUUCACAAACCUAUCCAAAUCUCAUCCAAAAAUUCCAUAAAUCACAUCAAUAAUAUCCCCUUAAUAUUCCACAUUUAAAACCCUAAAAAUCUCCCAAACCGCGGCGGCUCCGCCGGCAGCGGCGGCCGGAGGCCAAUUCCGGCGACCUCCAAAACCUAUGAAAUUUUGACAGAAUAAUGCUCUCAUCAUGCUCUAAAACUUUCCUAACUAGCACAAACACCAAUUCCAAGCCUAACUAGGGUAAUCGACUAAAAACAUCAAAAACGCCAAAAAACUUCCACCUCAAAUUUCUCCUUACCUAGCUCAAGAGGGAGUGAGUCCUUUUAGGGCAAGGCUGCUGGGUUGGAGGGCUACAAAACCGAACCAAGCUUGCCCGGAUUGGUGGCCGGAGGAGGGAGUUCCGGCAACGUGAAACCUAACACAGUCGGACCUCUCGGGCCCGAUAUCUUCUUCACGGCGGCGCUAGGGGAGCUGUCACCGGUCCAAGAAGGUUUCUGGGUUGAUGGCCGACCGAACGGGACCGGUGCGGCGGCGGUUGGUGGCCGGACGGCGGUUGGCCGGCGACGGAAAGAUCGGCUGCGGGAGGGAGUUCGGGUGCGGGAAAACCGGGAGGGAGAGAGAGAGAAAAGAGGGCUGGGCUUGACCACCCCUUGGCCCGGUCCAACCUUCUUAUACCACCCAAAUCCAAAAUAAAACACCCCGAAAAAUAAUACCCGAAUAAAAAUUACCUUUUACUAGCUAAAAUUUACCAUUUUUACCGUUGUCAUAUUUUCUCCCACGAAUAAUUCCCCGAAAUUAAUCAUCCCUUAAAAUACCUCUAGGGACCAAUUAAACUAUUAAUUCAAUGACGGAGACGGUAAAAUUUUUAUUAUAAUUAAGCUAGUAAAUAAGGUAAAAAUAUAAGGGUCGGGAUGUCACAUAUAGUUUCUAAAUGGUGGCUGAAUCCUUCUAAACCCCAAACAUAUAUUUUCCAUAUAAAAAUAAUAAUAAAACAAAAGCUACAUAAACAAGAAUGUCUAAUUUGAAAUUAUAUUGCUAAAAACCAAAAUAGCACUAAAAAUCUAUUCCUAAUCAUAUAAUGAAACACACAAAGAAAAAAGAAUGAAACCAAUUAAAUUAAAUAACCUAUUAAAAAUUGAGAUCAUUACACGAGCUCUAGUACAAAAAUAUUCAAUGAUGUUGGGUCGUAGAUGAAUAGUAAAGCUACAUGCAAAUAUUGCAUAGCCUCAAGACGCAAUAGAAAGAUUGGUGCGUAUCAAUAAUGUUCGAGCGACAAACUAAAGUUGCUUGGUCGUAGCCUCAGUGAGACCGUAUUGCGUGUGAACAUGGGGUAUAAGACACUUCAACUUAUAUCCCAAUAAACUUCUUUAAAGAAUGGGUAGUGAGCCCGUAGAAGUAUAAGUAGCAUAAGUAGUAGAUAAUGGUGUAACACGUGACCAUUGUGUUAACACUUCAACCAACACCAUAAAGCAUAAAAAACUGUCCUCAAGUUGGUUGUAUCGAUUUACAAAAUUUGAUGUAAGAAUGAAAUAUUCUCUUUUGUGUCAUUUAGCAUAGGAGGGUCUCGCUCAUAAUUUAGCCAAAAAAUAGGCUUUCAAAACUAGCAAUGAGCAUUGCAGGGGGCCAAUGAGACAUCGAGGGAAGGCUGGUGCACCUCAAUUUCUUGAGGGAUUGACCAGACGGCCUCCGGGAAGUUAGAGCCGUGUUCGGGUGACGUUAAUGUCCCCCGGGUGCCGCCAUUUACCAUCAUGGCGUCACCAUCAUGCUUCAUGAAGAGGCUAGAUCCUGAAUGUCUUCGUUUUGAGCGGAAGAAUAGAUGUCCAUGAGAACUUCUCAAAAAUUCGGACCAUUAUAUCUUUUCCAGGAUGACCGAAUUGGUUAAACCAAAGCCUAUAUGAGUCGGUGUCCCAAAUAUCAUGUUUGGCGACAACAUGAGAUUCGAUAUUCGAAUCGUAGUGACAUACAAUCCACUAAAUUGACACAUGAACUUUUCCAAGAUGCACUUUAGUCCGCAUUCAUGAGAAGAUAUACACAAAAGAAUUCUUGUUCAUUCUCAUAAUGUGUUUUCAAAUGAAAACUAUUAACGUGAAUGUGUUUAAAGCUCAACAUGGUUCGGUUGCCUCUCAAUGCAUAG